rnacentral:lncRNA from 1 species
UGUGUUUGAGGUAGAACCUACCUAUGGUGAUGUUCUCGAAAGAGUGUUUGUAGGGCAUUUUUAUAAUGAAGACACGGAAGUUCAUGCGUGGUCGGAAAUCGAAGGCAUAGGACACUAUCAUUGGUUACAAGGACCAAUAAACUACUUGUCGCGUGAACAACAAUUAGAGUAUAUUGCAGAAACUAUGCGAAAAUUUUUUAACUUCUUACAUUAGUACUAACUCGUAAUAGGAGUACUUCUCAUAGACCUUGAAGCUAAAAAAGGAGGUAAUGUCAAGGACAUACACUAUGAAGUUGUAGAAGAUUUUAGAAGAUUCUAGAGAAGCUUUGUAGUUUGUAGAAGCUACUUGAAAAGUUUUCAAGCUUGUGGAAGCUGCUUGAAAAGCUUCUUAACUUGUAGAAGUUGCUUGAAAAGCUUCCUAGUUUGUGGAAGCUACUGGAGAAGCUUUCUAGCUUGUAAUAUAUAUAAGAGCCAAGACUGAGAGGAUCCUCAGUCUCGACAACACACCUCUUGGAGCUCUAGCUCAUUUCUCUAGUGUUAUUUUUGUACUCAUCUGAUUAAUCUUGUUCUUGUUGAUUGUUCUUGAACUUUUUGUUUAGAUUUCCAGUCAGUAUUCUAAAUUUAUGACACCAGCUACAAUAAGAACCGUGCGGUUGGAAUCUUGUACAAUUUUUAAUAGAGGUCCUAUCCUCUCCUCAGAACCCUCUUCUUAUUUUAUAAUAGAUGUGCGUUUAGGACCUAAUAAUUAUAAAGCCUAUACCUUGAUAAAUUCAAGAGCCUCAGCUUAUUUUUUAGACGUAGAAUUUGUUAAAAGUCAUAAAAUACCAUUAGUACAAAAAACCAAACUUAUUCAUGUAAAAGUUAUAGAUGGUCGUCCAUUAUCUUUUGAAGAUGUUACUCAUGAAACACUUCCUAUAGAUGUAGCAAUAAAUGGUCAUAGUCAUUGCGUAAUCUUUAAUAUAAUUAGAUCUUCUUCUAAUCUAAUUAUUUUAGGUUUAUCAUCGUUUAAAAAGUAUAAUCCUUGCAUAGAUUGGAUUUCUUGUACCCUUGACUUCUCUAAAAGCAUAAUUAAGAGUAAAAUUAAUCCAAUAGAAAGUUAUAAGUCUAGUGCAAUUAAACCUAUAUUUGUAGGUGCAAGAACUUUCUUGCAUAUUACAAAAGAAGAACCACCUUAUGUCAUUUACACCACACCUAUUUUUCUAAUGAUGCGAAGACUUUAAGUAGCAUUUCUAGCUAAUAUCAAGAAUUUUAAGAUGUACUUGAGAAGAAUAAUGCAAAUACUCUUUCAAAACAUCGUCCCUAUGAUUACUCAAUUGACCUUUUAGAAGGAGCACAAUCACCAUUUGGACCAAUCUAUAGUUUAUCACAAAAUGAAUUAGCUGAAUUGAAGGAAUAUAUUGAAGAAAAUGUGGCCAAGAAUUUCAUAUGCCAUUCUAAAUCACUACUAGGAGCUCCAAUCUUAUUUGUGAAGAAGAAAGCUGAAUCAUUGCAGAUGUGUGUUGAUUAUCAAGGACUCAACAUGAUCACCAUCAAAAAUAGGUACCCUCUACCUUUGAUAUCUGGACUUCUUGAUCAAUUAAAUCAAGUUAAGAUCUAUAUAAAAAUAGAUCUACGAGGAGUAUACAAUCUAGUAUGUAUGAAGAAAAGAGAUGAAUGGAAGAUUGUGUUUCAAACUAGGUAUGGACAUUUUGAAUACAAUGUCAUGCCUUUUGGACUUGCAAAUGUAUUAGUUUUGUAAUACGUGAAGUCUUGCUUGAGAAUGCUCGAGGCACUUGGUUGUGGAAGGUAGAAUAAAAAUUGCAGCAAUAAAAUCUUAACUCUAAUAGAAUACUAACUAAACUCUAAUUAGACCAUAACAAUGCUAAGCAAGCUUUAAUCAAAUUCAAAGAAACUUCAAAGGAAUUACAAAGAAAAAAUAAGAAAUAUUAAAGAAAUAUUAAAGAAAUAUUAGAAUUAUCACAAAUAUAUCUCAAAUAUAUCUCAAUUCAAUCUUAAUUUAAUCCUAAUUAAAAUCGUAUUGGACUUCAUUCAAACUUUAGGCCAAAAAUUAACUAAAUCUUAAAUCCUAAAUCCUAAAUCAAAUCCUAACCAAAUCCUAAAUCUUAAACCAAAUCCUAAUCCUAAAUCAAAUCCUAACCAAACUCUAAUCCUAAAUCAAAUCUCAAUCAAAUCCUAAAUCCUUAACCAAAUCCUAAUCAAUUCUUAAAUCCUAAAUCAAAUCCUAAACUCUAAACCAAACACUAAAUCCUAAAUCAAAUCCUAAAUCCUAAACUAAACCUCAACCAAAUCCUAAUCUUAAAUUAAACCCUAACCAAACCUUAAUUCUAAAUCAAAUUCUAACCAAACUCUAAUCCUAAUUCAAAUUCUAAGCAAAUCCUAAAUCCUAAACCAAAUCCUAACCAAACCUUAGUAAUUUCUAUAAUAGAUUUAAACCUCAAUAACUAAUGAAUGAAGCAUUGAUUUUAAGUCAAAUUUUACACACUUCUUAAAUAAUAAGUUGAAAACAAGAAAAAAUAAUUUUAAAACGACCAAAAUUACCAAAUAGACAAUAACUUCAAAAAUGCGCUUGGAUAUUGGUCGACCUCCUUCUCCAAGCUUGAUACCAAUCUCUUAGAGCGAAUAUCUCUCCGUUUUGCCAUUCGAUUGAUUUCAAAAUUUUCAUACACAUAGAAAAAAAAGUCUAAUAUCUUUUUACAUAAAUUUCACUCUAAUCCAACUAGUAGAUUACAAGAAAACUUAAAAACUCUUACUAGACCUAAAAUUCUACUUUUUGAGACCUUGAUCCACUUAAACCUCAAAAAUCCUCAAUUCAAUUGUUAGAUUGGGCUAAGAUUCACAAUACAUAUUAAGCACAACUAUGAACAUUUAUUUACAAAACUCUUGAAAUCCUUAAAAAUGUCAACCCUAUUUUAUUUCAUAAAAUCCAAGUCAUCUAAAAAUAAUCUUGACUUUGUAAAGCUCUUAUCGAGUCAUAACAACUCCAAAUUGCUCAAAACUAAUGCUUAUAAAAACUCUAUUUAGUUUGCUAUCAAAUCCCACUCUUCAAUAUACAAAAGAACCCUGAAGUCGUUGUUGAGACUCGGUUCUGUGCCUCAAGGUCUGAUUUCAACCCUGGUUCAUAACCGAUCCUCUCUGGAUAUCAAUAUCUAAUUUUUCUAAGUAAAUUUUGUUAGAAUUUACUCUUAACUUCCUUCUUAAGAUGCAUGUAUCAUUUAUUUUUCCAAUCUUCUUUGUUUUUCUUUAUUUAUGGUCUUACAAAGUAAGUAGAAGUCACCUUUUUAAAAAGGCAGCAUUGGUAUCUUUUAGUUUUACUACUUUUUUGGCUAUUAACUAUAUUUCUAAGAUAAUUUAUUCUAAUACUUUGAAGUAAGAUCUCCUACAUUAUAAUAAUUUCUACACUCUUUCACCUACUAAUCAUGUUACAUCAUGACACUAGUAACUUUUCAACAAUUAAUAAAUGAUGUGUUUUGAGAGUUUUUAGACGAUUUUGUUGUCUCUUAUCUGGAUGAUAUCUUGAUCUAUUCUAAGAACACAGAUGAACAUGAACUUCAUGUUUGUCAUGUGAUACAAAAAUUAAGAGAUGCGAGACUCUAUGCCAAGAUAAAAAAUUGUAUAUCUUAUACUAUUAAGUCAACUUUUUAGGAUAUAUCAUUUCAAAUGAUGGACUUAUGAUGGAUUCUAAGAAAGUUCAAACAAUUAUGGAUUGGAAGAUUUCAAAAAUGAUAAGAGAUGUCUAAUAUUUUUUGGAUUUUGCCAACUAUUAUCAGAUCUUCAUCAAAGACUUCUCUUGAGUUGUAGCUCUACUUACAUGUUUGACUUGCAAAGAAAAACUUGAGUGGAGCAAAGAAGCUGAAGUAUCUUUUGAAACUUUGAAGUCAGCUUUUAUUUCUGCACCAAUCUUGUAACGUGUUAACUUUUCUAAGGCAUUUUUUUAUAAAAAUAGAUGUAUUAGACUUUUCUUUGAAUGCCAUAUUACCACAAAUGGAAGUAGAUGAUAAACUUCACCCAAUAGCUUUUCAUUCUAAAAUUUUUUUAGCAACCAAGAUUAACUAUGAAAUCCACGACAAAGAACUUCUUGCAAGAAUGAUAUUAUCAUCUAGAAGGUACUUUUAAUCCAGUCACUAUAUAUUCGAAUCAUAAGAAUCUUGAGUACUUCUUGUCAACAUGUAUUUUAAAUCGUCGCCAAGUCUGUUGGAGCAUGUCUUUAUUAAGAUUUGAUUUCAAGAUCACAUAUCAAUCUAGAAAACAACAAGGUUUUUCAAACGCCCUUUUUAGAUAUUCUUAUCUUACACCAAAAGAAGGAAAUGCAUCUUUUCAUUAGCAAAGAAAAAUUCUCUUGAAGCGAAAGCAUUUUCAUCUUUGAGUAAUGAAAUCAACAUUGACUAUUGAUUCAACUCUUGUAAAACAAAUCCAAUCAAGUAUGUCUUCUGAUUCUUUUGUUCACAAUAUUAAGAAUCCUUCUUCUAAGUCCCAAGAUACUUCUAAGUUUGAGUUCAAAAACAACCUAUUCUAUUUUGAAGGUCGAUUAUAUGUUCCAAAAGGAGAAGUAUGAUUACGUGUUCUUUAAGCAUGUUACAACUUUCCAGCAAUAAGAUAUUUUGUAUACAAUAAGACUUUAGAGCUUAUAUCUAAAGAUUUUUAGUGGCCAUAGAUGUAAAAGAGUGUGAAAGACUUUAUUCAAUCAUGCAAUAUUUGUUUGAGGUCAAAAACUCCUUGUCAUCGACCUUAUAGACUUCUUCAACCAUUACUUAUUCCAGAAUAACCAUGGUCUUUUGUUUAUAUGGAUUUUAUUACAGAUCUUCCAAUCUCAAGUUUUUAUGAUUCUAUAUUCGUGAUAGUAGAUCAUUUUAUCAAGAUGGCACAUUUAGUAUUAUAUACAAAAUCUAUCACAUGUGAAGAAACAGCUAAACUCUUUCUUGACAACAUCUAUCGCUAUCAUAGAUAAUCCAAGGAUAUUAUAUUUGAUAAGAGAACUCAAUUUGUAUCAAGAUUUUCAUGGACUAUUUUUAAGAUUUUAAAAGUGGAUAUAAAACUAUCUUCUAUAUUCCAAUCUCAAACUGAUUGAUAAAUGGAGUGUGUUAAUCAAGUCUUGGAAUAGUGUUUAAGAUGUAAUAUCAACUACCAACAAGAUGAUUAGAUAAUUCUUUUACCAUUGGCAGAGUUUGUUUACAAUAAUACAGUACAUUCUUCUACAAAACAAACACCUUUCUUUAUCAAUUAUGGUUAUCAUCUACAACUUGAUACUUUUGACUUUUUAAAAGCUGAUAAUCCUACGACGAAAGAUUUAGAAAAUCAUUUAUCAAAGCUACAUGCAACAAUAAAGGUACAAUUAAUAGAAGCUCAAAAACAACAAAAGAUCAAUGUGGAUGUCUAUCGAAAGGAGCAACCACUAUUCUACAUAGGUGACAACAUAUGGUUACUUUGUCAUAAUAUCAAGACCACUUGUCCUUGUGACAAGUUGGACUAUUGUAGGCUUACACCAUUUCCUAUUUUUAUACAAAUUAAUCUAGUUGCAUAUCGUUUAUACCUAUCGGAGUCAAUAAAAAUCCAUCCAGUAUUUCACAUGUCUCUUCUUGAACCAUACAAGACAAUGGACAUACCAAAAAGAAGACAAGCUCUACCUCCUCCUAUAGAAGUGGACAAUAAUGAAGAGUUCAAAGAGGACAAAGUCGUAGAUUCAAGGUAGCAUCGAAAUAAAUUAGAAUAUGUUGUCCAUUGGUGUGAAUAUGAUAUUAAUGAACAUAUAUGGGAGCCAAUAAAGAAUCUUGCAAAUGCAUCAAAGGUAGUGGAGCCUUUUCAUUGACAACAUCCAUCAAAAUCAAGAUGAAAACCCUCUAUAUAAAAAAAAAUAUAUCUAGAAAAGAUAACAUUCUACUUUCAAUCCUUGUUUGUAGCUUCUUUGUAGUUGUGAGGCUAAAGAGAUGGAGAAUCAAAAACUAAUGGAUUCGAUUGAAGAGCCUUCGUUUGCUAAUAUGCUAGAUGAGACAUUACGAUUGUCAUAACCUUUAAGAUGAUGCAAUCAAGAUAAAGAUCUUCAAGACAACAUGUUUUUUCUUGAAUAGAUGGCGAGAUAUAAUGUAUUUGGUAUCAUGACCUUGGAAGAGACUCCCGAUGUUUGAUACUUUAUUUAAUUAAAUGACCUUUAAUAGGAGUUGUUUUUUUUAAAGAUAGUAAGAUACGUUUAAAAGAGAAUAGAAAAAAAUUGAAGACAAAUAUUAGUAAAAAAGGGAUGAAGAUGUUUAUAAAGAAAGCAUUUAAAAUCUCAAGCAAUGAAGCAUUAGCAUAUUAGAUGGAAGAAAAUUCAAGCAAAUUUUAAGCAUAAAUCUUAAAUUUUCAGAAAAAUCUAGUUCUUUGUAGUUAAGUACAAUAAAUUAUGCUAAAAAAGAAAAUAUUUCUACAAAUAAUUUAAAACAUGUUGGCAAUAAUAUUUGACAAAUUAUCACAUGGAAUGAUCUAGUAGAUAGAAUAUUGAUGCAUGCUUGUAUUGAAACGAAUCAAUAUGAAGUAUUAAUAGAAGAAAAAUGAAUAAAAAAUUAAAAUAACAAAAGGCCAUAAAAAAAAUUAUAAGAAAAGAAAAAGUACAAAAAUAAAAAAAUUCUACGUAUGAAGUGAUAAAAAAUAAUAUUUCUACAAAAAAAAGGAAAAUUGUGAAAAAAAAAAAGACUUCUACUUAUGAAGUAAUCAAGAAGAAAGAAAAAGAGCUUCAAAGUGAUGAUUUGGCUCUAUUUUCAAAACUAGGCAAAAUUAGCUAUUCUUAUCAAUGUGAUAAUUCCAAAAGAAAUAUGAAAAAUUACUAUAUUUGUAGAAAAUCAAGUCACUUUAUUAGGAAUUACUAUAAAGCUAAGAAAAGAAAUAAAGAGAAGGCUAACAAUGCUUGUAAUAACUUUGAUGGAGAUGACUAUACUUUCAUGGCAAGUGAAAGAGCUUUUAUAGCUACUAUGUCUAAGUGGAUUAUAGGUUUGAGUGCUACUAAGCAUAUGACACCAUAUAAAAGUUUAUUUAAUACUUAUAAAGAAAUUUUAGCAAUCAAAGUUUGCUUGAGAGACAAUGGCAUGGUACAAGCCAUUAAAAUUGGAUCUAUUAUUGUAGACAUAGUGUCACGGACAUAUAUAUAAUUACCUAUAUGAAUAGAUAAAAGUAUGUAAAAGUAGAUAAAAGUAGGUUAAUUGUGUAAUAUCUUCUAGAGAAGCUUCUUAGAAGCUUCAUAGACGCUGCUUUGAUUUUAUAGGAGUCUAUAGUUGACUUUUAGGCUAGAAACUUGGUCAACAAGUUAGCCAUGUGCCACACAUGUUGGAAGCUUAAAGAAGAAGCUAACUACGUGGUCCAUCCAUAGAAAACUUGCCUUGUAAGCAAAGGCAUGUGGCCUAGAAAGUCAACAUAUAUUGGAGGUCUUAUAGAACAUCGCCAUGUGGCUUCUAGUUAGAUAGUAUAUAUAGAGGCAAGAGUGAAGCCCUCUUCACUCUUGUCAACUCCUUUCUUGCUUCUAGUCUAGUUUCAAGGGUCUCUAGUUUUCUUGUAUUUUGGCAAUAGCCAUUCCAGUUUCUUUCUUAAUAUACAUAUUUCUAUUUUGUCCUAUUUCUUUUUUGAGAAAAGUCUCACUUACUCUUUAGCUUUCAUCGAGUUCUUGUCCUUGACAGAUUGACAAGAGUACACUUACAAUAUCAGAGCUUUGUCUUUUCUUGAUUAAGAGUGGAUUACCCCUUUUUCUUGAUAAGACAUAAGCGCAUUAGAAGUUGCGGAUUACCCUCUUUUAAACUGAUAUUGUUCUUAGUAUUUUCUUUGUUAUCAAUUCCUCUCUUCUAUUUGUUUUGAGCGUUAUUAGACAUCUUCUCUUUUCUAAGUGCUACUAUGGCAGAGCUUGUUGAAAUGAAGAGUACAAUGGCACAGAUGCAAGAACAAUUGAGGGAGUUAAUGCUUGCGAUGCAUCAACUCAAUUUACCACCACAAGGAGCAACAAGAAUGGUAGGAAGUGAAGAUAUAGAGAUGAUUGGGGCUGCUUCAACAUCUGCACCAAACCAUGUCCCUUCUCCCAGAAUGGAACACCCUUCGAGUGUUAGAGAACCGAGAGUUGCCUUGCCCGAGAAGUUUGAUGGUACCAGAUCCAAGUUUCGAGGAUUCAUCAAUCAGGUCCAACUAGUGAUUGAACUUCAACCCCAGAGCUAUCCAACUCCAGGGUCACAAGUUAGAUUCAUUGGUACACUUCUUUCAGGUUCAGCAUUGUCAUGGUUUUCAUCUUUUCUUGAACGACGAGAUCCAAUAUUGGAUAAUCUGGAGGCUUUUUUGGCGGAGUUUCGAUCCAUGUUUGGAGAACAUGAUGCAAUUCGUGUUGCAACCAACAAGAUCCGUAUUUUGCGACAAGGCAAUCGAUCAGUAACAUUAUAUGCUUCGCAAUUUCGACAACUUGCAACUGAUAUCAAGUGGGAUGAUGCCGCACUUGUGAGUCAAUUUCUCUACGGAUUACAAUAUGAGGUAAAGAAAUUGAUGCUUAAUUUACCUGAUCCUCAAACAUUGAGUCAAGCAAUUGACUUUGCUGUGAAGUGCGACAAUCGACUUUUUGAAUUUUGAUCCGAGAGUCGCACAAGUGGGCCUCAACGUUACUACAAUUCAAUGGCAACACCGACGUCUCCUCAACACAUACCUUCGGAAAUAGAGGAUAUGCAAAUUGAUGCGGUACGUUUCAAACCUCUUACUGAGCAAGAAAAGUCUCGUCGUCGACAAGAAGGAUUGUGCUUAUAUUGUGGAGAACCCAAGCACACUGCUCAACAUUGUCCAAAGAAGCGACGUAACUACAAAAUGAGGAGUACGGCUGUCAAAGAAGACAAUAUGUCAGAAAACGAGUACGUCCAGCUACAAUAGGGACCGUGCGGCUGGAAUCUUGUACAACUUCUAAUGAAGGUCCUAUCCUCUCCUCAGAACCAUCUCCUUGUUUUAUAAUAGAUGUGCGUUUAGGACCUAAUAAUUACAAAGCCUCUGCCUUGAUAGAUUCAGGAGCCUCAGCUUGUUUUUUAGAUGAAGAAUUUGCUAGAUGUCAUAGAAUAUCAUUAAUACAAAAAACUAAACAUGUACACGUAGAAGUCAUAGAUGGUCGUCCGUUGUCUUCUGGAGAUGUAACUCACGAAACACUUCCUGUAGAUGUAGUAAUAAAUGGUCAUAGUAGUUGCGUAAAUUUUAAUAUAAUUAGAUCUCCCUCUAAUCCAGUAAUUUUAGGCUUAUCAUGGUUAGAAAAGUAUAAUCCUCGAAUAGAUUGGAUUUCUCGUAAACUUGAUUUUCCUCAGAGCAUUAGUAACAGUUCUAUUAACCAAGUAAAAAACCAUGAGUCUAGUAUAGUAAAACUCACACCUAUAGGUGCAAAAGCAUUUAUACACGCAGCAAAAGAAGGAUCAACUUUUGCUAUUUAUGCUGCACCUAUUUCUGAAAGCGUAAAGACUUCAAGUGGCAUUCCAAGUCAAUAUCAGGAUUAUCAAGACGUUUUUGAGAAAAAGAAUGCAGAUAUUCUUCCUGAGCAUCGCCCAUACGAUUGUUCAAUCGAUCUCAAGGAAGGAACUCAGCCACCAUUUGGACCAAUUUACAGUUUAUCGCAAGAUGAGUUGGCUGAACUCAAGACAUAUAUUGACGAGAAUUUAGCGAAGAAUUUCAUACGCCAUUCAAAAUCUCCAGCAGGAGCUCCAAUUUUAUUCGUAAAGAAAAAAGAUGGAUCUUUACGAAUGUGUGUUGACUAUCGAGGACUCAACAAGAUCACAAUCAAGAACAGGUAUCCAUUACCUUUGAUAUCAGGACUCCUUGACCAGUUAAAUCAAGCUAAGAUCUAUACAAAAAUAGAUCUAAGAGGAGCAUAUAAUCUAGUACGAAUCAAAGAAGGAGAUGAAUGAAAGACUACGUUUCGAACCAGGUACGGACAUUUUGAAUAUAAUGUCAUGCCUUUUGGACUCACGAAUGCACCAGCUGCUUUUCAACAUCUCAUGAAUGAUGUAUUUCGUGAAUUCUUAGACAAUUUUGUCGUCUGCUACCUAGACGAUAUCCUGAUUUAUUCUAAGAAUGUUGAAGAACAUGAAAUACAUGUUCGUCAAGUAUUACAAAAACUUAGAGAUGCAGGAUUGUACGCCAAGAUAGAAAAGUGUGUAUUUCACACUACUCAAGUUGACUUUUUAGGAUACAUCAUUUCAAAUGAUGGUCUUAUGAUGGAUUCUAAGAAAGUCCAGAUAAUCAUGGAUUGGAAGAUUCCAAAGACUGUGAGAGAUGUCCAAUGUUUCUUGGGAUUUGCCAAUUACUAUCGGAUCUUCAUCAAAGACUUCUCACGAGUUGCAGCUCCACUUACACGCUUGACUAGUAAAGAUAAAUUCCAAUGGAAUCAAGAAGCGGAAGCAGCAUUUGAAGCCUUGAAGACAUCGUUUGUCUCUGCACCAGUCUUAUAUCGUGUUGAUUUUUCCAAGGCAUUUUUUAUGGAAACAGACGCAUCGGAUUUUGCCUUGGGUGCAGUUUUAUCACAAAUGGGAACAGAUGACAAACUUCAUCCGAUAGCUUUUCAUUCAAGAAAAUUCUCAGCAGCCGAGAUCAAUUAUGAGAUCCACGAUAAAGAACUUCUUGCGAUCGUGGAUUCCUUUCAUGAAUGGCGUCAUUAUCUAGAAGGUGCUUCUAGUCCAGUCACUGUGUAUACAGAUCACAAGAACCUCGAGUAUUUCAUGUCAGCACGCGUGUUGAAUCGUCGUCAAGCUCGUUGGAGUAUGUCUUUGUCAAGAUUCGAGUUCAUUAUCACUUAUCGGCCAGGAAAACAACAAGGUUUGUCCGAUGCCCUGUCUAGACGUUCUUAUUUUGCACCAAAAGAAGGAGAUGCAGCUUUUGAGCAACAAAGAACGGUCCUCUUGAAACCGGAGCAAUUUCAUCUCCGAGCAGUGAAUUCAACACUGACUGUUGAUUCAACUUUUCUCAAGCAAAUCCAGUCCAGUAUGUCCUCAGACCCUCUUGUUCCUGAUAUCAAGAAUAAUUCUUCCAAGUCUCAUGAUUCUUCUAAGUUCGAGUUCAAGAAUAAUCUAUUAUAUUUUGAAGGACGCCUAUAUGUUCCAGAAGGAAAAGCACGUUUGCGUGUUCUUCAAGCACGUCAUGACUUUCCAGCAGCAGGUCACUUUGGAUAUAAUAAGACUCUGGAACUCAUAUCAAGAGAUUUUUGGUGGCCACAAAUGUGAAAGUCAGUCAAAGACUUUGUACAAUCAUGUGAUAUUUGUUCAAGAUCAAAAAUUCCUCGACAUCGACCUUACGGACUUCUUCAGCCAUUACCUAUACCAGAACAACCAUGGUCUUCUGUUUCUAUGGAUUUCAUCACAGAUCUUCCAAACUCAAGAUCUUAUGAUUCUAUAUUUGUGAUAGUAGAUCGUUUCACCAAGAUGGCACAUUUUAUGCCAUGUACAAAAUCUAUCACAGGUGAAGAAACAGCUAAGCUUUUCAUUGAUAAUAUCUAUUGCUAUCAUGGAUUACCUAAAGAUAUCAUAUCGGAUAGGGGAACUCAAUUUGUGUCGAGAUUCUGGAGGACUCUUUUCAAGAUUUUAAAAGUGGACAUAAAACUAUCUUCAGCUUUCCAUCCUCAAACUAAUGGACAAACAGAGCGCGUAAACCAAGUCUUGGAACAGUAUUUAAGGUGUACCAUCAACUACCAACAAGAUGAUUGGACAAUCCUUCUGCCAUUGGCAGAGUUUGCUUAUAAUAAUACAGUACAUUCUUCCACGCAACAAACACCUUUCUUUGCCAAUUAUGGCUAUCAUCCACGACUUGAUACUUUUGAUUUUUCAAAAGUUGAUAAUCCUGCAGCAGAAGAUAUGGCAAAUCGGUUGUCAGAGUUACAUGCAAUAAUGAAGGCGCAGUUGAAGAAAGCUCAAGAACGACAAAAGAUAAAUGUAGAUGUAUAUCGUAAAGAGCAACCACAACUCAACGUGGGUGAUAAGGUAUGGCUACUUCGUCGCAAUAUCAAGACCACUCGACCUUGUGACAAAUUGGACUAUCGUAGGCUUGGCCCCUUUUCUGUUUCUGAACAGAUCAACCCAGUUGCAUAUCGGUUACAUCUACCGGAGUCAAUGAAGAUCCAUCCUGUAUUCCACGUGUCUCUUCUUGAACCAUAUAAGACAGUGGAUAUACAAGGAAGAAGACAAAUGCCACCGCCUCCUAUAGAAGUAGAUAAUAAUGAAGAAUUUGAGGUGGAAGAGAUAUUAGACUCAAGGCGGCGCCGAAAUAAGCUGGAAUAUCUUGUUCAUUGGCGCGGAUAUGAUAUUAGUGAGCGCACAUGGGAGCCAUCCAGGAAUCUAGCAAAUGCAUCAGCUAAAGUCAAAGUUUUUCAUCAACGACAUCCAUCAAAACCAAGAUGAAAACCUCUCUUAUAAAAGAGACAAGAUUGAGGCAAGAUAACAUUCAAUUUCCUAUCCUUGUUUGUAACUUCUUUGCAUUUGUGACGCUAAUUAGAUGGAGAGCCAACAACCAGCGGAUUCAACUCAAGAACCUUCGUUUGCUGACUUAUCGGAUGAGACAUUGCGAUUGUCACAACCUUCAAGACGACGCAACCGAGAUGAAGACCCUCAAGAACGACAUGUUCUUCCUCGAAUAGAUGGUGAGAUACAACGCAUUUGGUAUCACGACCUUGGAAGAGAUUCUCGAUGUUUGGUGAUAUUAUUGGAGAUAGGAACGACUCCUGAUGGUAUUUCAAAUGUAUUAUUUGAAGGAAGUUAUGAAGGCCUCAACAGUGAUCAAAUAACAGGGUGGUCUUCUCGCCCUGGAAUGGGACACUAUCGAUGGCUAAGAGGACCCAUCAACUAUCUUCGAAGAGAACAAAGAUCAGAGUAUGUAGCAAAUACAAUUCGCCGCAUAUUAGAUUUUCUCAAUAUAUAAUCACCGCUCCUCGUGGAACUCGUCCCUAGAAGGGGGGGUAAUGUCACGGACAUAUAUAUAAUUACCUAUAUGAAUAGAUAAAAUUAUGUAAAAGUAGAUAAAAGUAGGUUAAUUGUGUAAUAUCUUCUAGAGAAGCUUCUUAGAAGCUUCAUAGAUGCUGCUUUGAUUUUAUAGGAGUCUAUAGUUGACUUUUAGGCUAGAAACUUGGUCAACAAGUUAGCCAUGUGCCACACAUGUUGGAAGCUUAAAGAAGAAGCUAACUACGUGGUCCAUCCAUAGAAAACUUGCCUUGUAAGCAAAGGCAUGUGGCCUAGAAAGUCAACAUAUAUUGGAGGUCUUAUAGAACAUCGCCAUGUGGCUUCUAGUUAGAUAGUAUAUAUAGAGGCAAGAGUGAAGCCCUCUUCACUCUUGUCAACUCCUUUCUUGCUUCUAGUCUAGUUUCAAGGGUCUCUAGUUUUCUUGUAUUUUGGCAAUAGCCAUUCCAGUUUCUUUCUUAAUAUACAUAUUUCUAUUUUGUCCUAUUUCUUUUUUGAGAAAAGUCUCACUUACUCUUUAGCUUUCAUCGAGUUCUUGUCCUUGACACAUAGUUGUGAAGGACCAAAUCAAGAAAAUUAUGUUGAAUGAGAUCUUACAUGUGCCAAAGAUGAAGAAGAACCUCCUUUCAGUGAACAAACUUGUAUCACAUGGUUGUAAGGUUCAAUUUGAUAAGAAUAGAUGUUUUAUGAAGACAUUGGAUGGAAAACAUGUUACCGAAGGCCUUAGAGUUGGCAACCUCUACUUCAUCAAUUAUAAGAAGGUGAAUAGAGUAGAAGUUGCAGCAUUUAUUGAUUUUUCACAAGUUUAAAAUAAAUUUAGAAUUUGGCAUUAAUGACUUGGUCAUUUGAAUGCCAAAAUUAUGAAGGAGCUUCAAUCCAUAAUAAAUGGCUUGGAUCUUAGUCAAAUCAGUCACAAUAUUUUGACAAUUGCUUGUAAAGGAUGUAUAUAAGGCAAAGAAAAAAAAGCUUUAUUUCUAAGAGGAGUUGCAAUACGUGCUACCAAAUUGUUGGAAAUUAUGCAUUUUCAUAUUUGUGGACCAAUAAAGACACCAUCAAUUAGAAGAACAAGGUACUUUGUCACAUUUAUUGAUGAUUUUUUAAAAAAAGUAUGAAUUUACAUAAUUAAAGGCAAUAGUCAAUAUUUCUCAAGUUUUAAAGAAUUUAAGGCUCUUGUAGAGAAAUAAUAUGAAUGCAAGGUGAAAAUGUUGUAUAUGGAUAAUGGAGGUGAAUACUUGUUAAAAUAUUUUCAUGAAUUCUUGAAGAUUCAAGGUAUUGCAAGACAAUCCUCUAUUCCUUACACUCUACAACAAAUUGGAGUUGCUGAAAGAGCAAAUCACACUAUUGUAAAGAUGGCAAGGAAUACGCUUCAUGCACAAAAUCUUGGGAUGAAUAUUCAGUCGAAGCAGUGGUAAAUGCAAUAAGUGCACUCACAUCAAUGACUCCAAAAGAAGCUUCGAGUAGCAAAAAACCUUAUCUUUCACACAUAAGGAUUUUUAGAUGCAUUGCCUAUACAAAGGUAUCAAAUUGUAUGAAGUCCAAAUUUAAUACAAAAGCUACAAAAUAUGUCUUUGUUGGAUAUUGUGAAGGUACCAAGGCAUAUAGGUUUAUAUAUUUAGAAACCAAGAAGACCAUUAAGAGUUAUUAUGUAGAAUUUUGGAGCAUAAGAGAGCUUAUGAAUACUUAGAAAUGUAUCCAAGUAGGAGUAAUAGUGUGUUUGUGGAUACAUCUUCAAUUUAAUAAAGCAAGAAGAAGAAGAUGAUGACAUUGAUGAUGGUGGAAAUUCAAAUUAAGAUAAAGAGCCAAAGAAGUUAGGCCAUUGUAUUCCUACAAUUGCUAAAACGAGUUUUGAAGAUAAUGAGGAUAUUGAAGAUGAUGAUGAUGAAGAAUACCAAUUUUUGAAUGUUAAGGAGCUAGUUUUAAGAAAGAAAAAACUUACAGAAAACCUUGGAAUGAAAGAAGGUGAAGCUUCAUCAAGUGAAACGAGAUAUCUUUUGAGAGAUAGAAAAUAACUUGGUGCAUGAUGGAAGAAUCACAUCUUUCCUCAAAUAAAUGAAAAAUAUGUCAAUAUUGCACUCCUUGCUGAUCCAUUGAAUUUGUGUAAUACAAUGAAGUCCACAGAUGCUAUGAAAUAGCAGAAUGCCAUGGAAAAAGAAUACAAAUCACUCAUAGACAAUGAAACAUGAAAAUUGACUAUACUUCCAUCAAAUCGAUCUUUGAUUGGUUGUAAGUGGGUAUUUAGAAUCAAAAAAAAUGCAAUACAUAAUAUUAUGAGAUAUACAUUUAGAUUAAUUGUCAAAGGCUAUUCACAAGUUGUUAGUGUGGAUUUCAAUGAAAUAUUUGUUUUUGUGGCCAAAUUCACCACUAUUUGAACCAUUAUUGCAAUUAAAGCAGCAAUAGACUUGAAGAUGCAUCAAAUGGAUGUAAAAAUGGCUUUUUUGAAUCAAAAUCUAAAAGAAGUCAUUUACAUAGAGCAACUUCAAGGAUUUGUAGAAGAAGACAAACAACAUCUUAUUUAUAAGUUAAAAAAAUCUUUAUAUGGACUCAAUCAAUCUCCAAAGACAUGAUACUAACAUAUUGAUACAUUCUUUGUGAAUGAAGGAUUUCAAAAGAGUAAAUGUGAUCAUUCUUUGUAGAUUAUACAAUCAAAUAAGUUCAUAUUGAUUGUCAUCCUCUAUAUUGAUAAUUUAAUCAUCUUAACCAAUACUAUGAAGAUGAUGGAUUGGUUGAAGGCAAAGUUAGAAAAGAAAUAUGAGAUGAAUAAUUUGAGAGAACUUUACUAUUGUUUAAGAGAAGAAUUUGUAAGAGAUCAUACUAAGAAGACCAUUACAAUGAACCAAAGCAAGUACAUUGAAGAAGUGUUAAAAUGAUUCAGUAUGGAAGAGUGUAAGCUUAUAGGUACACAUUUGGAGGCCAAUUUGAAGUUGAUGAAGUUUAUAGAAGAAGAGUUGAUUGAAGUUGAAGGUUAAAUGUAAGGUGUUCCAUAUAAGGCAAUAAUAGGCUUAUUUAUGUAUACAAUAAUUGGUACAAAGGUGGAUCUUGCAUAUGUGGUGAAUAUUAUGAACUAAUACUUGUCAAAGGCUAGAUCAAUCCAUUAGGCAACUAUCAAAAUGAUCAUGAGAUACUUAAAAGGUACUUUGCAUUUCAAAUUGUACCUUGGAUAUGAUAAUAUUAAUUUGUAUGGUUAUUAUGAUGCAGUUUGGAUUGGAAAUACAAAUGAUAGAAGAUCAACAAUAGGAUAUGUAUUCUUUGUUGGAGUAGGACCUAUUUCAUAGAAUUGAAAGAGGUAACCAACAAUUAUAAGGUCAAUAAUGGAAACAAAAUAUAUGACAGCAAGUCAUAGUGCAAUAGAAGCAAUAUGGUUAAGACAACUUUUGGAGGACAAAUGGUUGUACUAAUAGAAGGAAAUCCAAUAGAGUGUGACAAUCAAAGAUGUCUUGCAUUUGCAAAGAAUCCAAAGCAUCAUUCAAAGACCAAGAAUAUUGACAUUCAACAUCACUUCAUAAGAGAGAAGAUUGAAAUGGAAGUGAUUGAUAUAAAGUAUUGUGCAAUGGAAGACAUGCUUACUGAUUUGUUGGCAAAGGCAUUAGUAAAAGAUAGACAUCACAUGUUGAUAAAGACAUUAGGAUUGAAAACCUUUGACUGAUAGUAAAAUAGGAAUGUUAAAGUUGUUAAAGUAAAUAAGUAAAAAUUACAUAUAAUUUUUUCAAAAAAAUGGCACAAUGUUGUGACUUCAUAGUCUGUUUUUCAACCUUGGACUCCUACUCCAAUUUAAGUUCCUGUCCCAACUCAAGUUGACCAACGGUCAUUAUCUCAUUGUCAUUACAAUUUCAGAAGCUGGAUUUCGAUAUUGCACAUAGACCCUGACACCAAACCAAACCAAAUGCUUAAUCUCCAAAAUAGCAUGCUCUUCAAAUUUUGAACACUCAUUACUCCCAACUAAAUAUUGAAGAACAAUUACUAUGAAGUCACAACACUUGGUAACAACUAUGAAGUCACAACAUUGUGCCUCUUUGGCUCUCGGUGUCAAAGUUGGAUAAGCGGUUUAGGAAAUAUUGUUGACUCUUGCAAUGAUUUCUUUGUUUCCUUAGCUGCAUUUCUUCAACCGAUGAGUAUGUGAUUAUUUUUUAUGUUAAUUAUUAUGUAGUGUUGCUUAAAGAGCAGCGAUGAUUGGAAAUUCGAAAUCGAAGUCAAUGACUUGAGAACUCUAGUAAUGCUAUCAAAUGGCACAUGUACUUAUUGAAGACGAGCAGAGAAGUACUCGACGUGUAUGCUCAGCUCGUUUCUUGCGUAAAAAGGCGGAAUUGAGCUUGCGCUGCUUCCAUGAAGAUGAAUUAUUUUUGUGAUUUGUGCAUUGUAAUCUACAUUAUCACUGAUCUCCCCAGGGAGCACGAUUAGAUAUCAGUAUGCGUCGACUUAGAAAGUGAGCCAGGGAAGUUGGAAGUGGUGAUGAUCUAAUGCUGAUAUAAGCUCUACUCAAAUGGGCUAACAACAGUGGAACGUCUAUGAACUUUAUUCCUGUUUCAGCCUUUGAGGAUUCGAUGCCUGUGUCACAGAUCCAUAUUGGAGGAAGAGGAAGAACGAGGCGUUGCACACAUAGUGGAGCACUUGGUUUUUAGAGUUACUCUGAAACUUACAAAUCAUGACAUCAUUCGCUUUUUGGAAAGCAUCGGCGCUGAGUUUGGAGCAAAAUGCGUCGACAUCACCUGGUGAGACUAUAUACGAACUCAUGGUUCCUAUCGAUGAGCCCGAAAUACUAUCUCAAGCUCUUAAUAUCCUGGCUGAGUUCAGUACUGAGGUUGGUGAUUCCCGAACUUGACUGCGACCGGCUUCUCUCUCUCUCUCUCUCUCUCUCUUUUCCUCGUUUUUCGGUGGUAACUAAACCAUGUAUGAAUAAUCGUCUUGCCAUAGAGUUCUCCGAUCAAAAGGCGAACGUGUCUGAAGCGAUCGGUAAUUCUCUCUAAGUGUCUUAGAAGUCCCGUAGUGGGGUUUUCAGGCUUUACCCGUGUUGCAAUUGCAUGCAGCUCAUUUAUGUGGUUUGCACGUGUAGAUCCGAAUAUCUGAUGAGGAUCUAGAGAAGGAAAGAGGCGCUGUCUUAGAGGAAUUGAGGGGAGGGAGAAAUGCAAUGGGUCGCAUUCAAGAAGCUCACUGGAUGUUAUUAAACGUUCUCAGGUAUGCUUACAUUCUUUCAUUUUUUUUGUCUGUUAAUUCGACCUUACAAUCACCACAAAUUCACUACUAAAUGCAUCUUUGAGCACUUUGAAUUGCGUCGACCAAUCCAAAUAAAAUUUAGGGGGUCUUAGUCCUUCUAAGUUGGAGAGUUUUUCCAUGUUCAAAUGUGACGUCUUCAUGAUGAGAAGAGAGGAUAGAUCAGAUUCAAAAGAUGGAUUAGAGGGUAAAUCCUCACCAGUAGAAGUGGGUCACCGUCUCAAUUCGUUGCAUGACCUUUCUUUCAGAGAUCGCUUUCCAAACACUAGACAUCAAUUACGGCUCUUCCAACUACAGAGAGCUCUGAUGACUUAGUGGUAUUCUUGCAGUAUGCCAAUCGGCAACCAAUUGGAUUAGAGAAAGCUAUAAAAAAAUGUUUCGGCGUCACGAGUCAAAGAUUUUUUUCACCUCUGGUAUAGACCUGAACAUAUGGCCAUUGUAGCAGUUGGAGAUUUCCCAGAUACUGAGGUACUCUCUCGUAGCUUACCUCUCUGUUUAGUUGUAAGAUCUGGAAACAUUUUUACUUUACUUUACUUUAAUUUUUUUAAUGUGUCCAGGUUAUGGUUGACGAUUGUAUGGUGAUUUUGAGAAAUUAGGUGUCAUUAUCAUAUGUGUGCAAGCUGCCUGCCUUUGUUGAACAUUGUUGUGUACGUGUGAAGCUUGUUUUGCCAGCUCUUGGCUUUACUUCGCAUUCUGAGUAUAGUGUUUUUUGUAUGAUGAAUUGCAGAGUGUUGUGGAGCUCAUCAAACACCACUUCGGUGAUAGGAAACCGCAUGAUAGAGGCAAUGUUCUGUCUACGAUACCACUGUUCCCUGUCCCCUCACACAACGAGCCUCACUUCUCAUGCUUUGCUGAAGCAGAAGCUGAUGGUGUAAGUGUCAACUUCAUUUUGUUUCUUGUGUUAAUUCAUGAACCCAUUUUAUUGAUCUUUGAAUUUGCUUGUUUGAUUAGCUGCCUACCACUUAAACCGCUCCUUGUUAAGCGAUCUGAAACGUUAACUGGGCCGCUGACUUUGUCUAUUCACCUGUGAUCAGUCCACCGUUAUGAUAAGCAGCAAGGUUCCUGCAAAACAGGACACAAAAAUUAAAGAUUAUCCGUUUCUAAUCGCUGAGCAGAUGUUCCAUAGUGCUUUAAAACUGAGGUUUUUUUAAAAUCUCCAGGCAAAAGAACCCCCCAUUUUUCUCAUUCAUCUCAUCUAGCUCGAACCGGUUCGUCCCGUGAAAGCUUACAUCAUGUCGGCUAACUGUCAAGAGCGUGGAACGUUACAAGCACUCGAACAGAUGCUUACAGAGGUAGAGCACUCCGGUCCACAUACGCUCAAUGUGCAUGCAUGAGCUCAUUUGAGAUACUCACCUCCACAAAAAUCUUGUUUUUUAUGAUUAAAUCUUUCUAUUGAAAGAUAACAGCUCAAAUAUAUUGUUGAAGAAAUUUACCGGUUAAGUUUAAGUUAAGCAAUUAUUUUUGCUCGUAGUAUCCCAUAGUCUUAGCUAUGUGAUUUGUGGGAAUAUUAUAAGGUUGCAAGAGUUCGCCGGCAUGGGUUCUCUGAGCCUGAAAUAGCUUUUGUUCGUGAAAUCAUAAUGGCAGACAUUGAAUCGGAAUAUGUAGAAAGGGACCAGAUGCAGUCCACAAGUUUGCGCGAGUAUUUACAGGUAUCAGUAACUCUGUAAUUUUAGGAAUUCUCUUGCCGGUUUACUGUAUUUUGUGCUGGCUGCUACCUGUUUGCUACAUUCAUGCUCUUCAAUAGUAAGAACAUUGAGGUUCAGUACUUGUGGCUCGGUCGCUCCAUACCGAGCGCUUGUGAUUAUUUUGACGAUUUAUCUGCUUUUUGACAUGCUAAAUACCAAAAAGUAAAACUUGUACAGAGGGUAGCUGGAGUUUCGUUCUUUGCAUGUUGUAGAUGUUGUGAGAAUAUUGCUCUCGCAAUGAUACUUGAAUUGAAUUGAUGAACUCACUCAACAGCACUUUCUGCGCGGCGAGCCAGUGCUUGGCAUUGAAUAUGAGGCUCAGCUUCAGAAGACUCUGAUACCAGGUCUGUGUUUAUUCGCCUGUUGGCAGCUGAUCAAAACAUUCAUAUCUUACCGCACUGAAGCAAUCAAUCCUAAUUAACAGAGAUUUACUGUAAUUGCAUGCCAGACUGGGUAUUAUUGAGUGAAUGUGAGUGCGCUCAAUAUUUGAAUUUUUCAUUGGCCAGACAUCUCAGUGGCUGAAGUUACAAAAAUUGCUGAGUACUACCACACCAAGUGCAACUGUGUUAUCAAAACGCUAGAACCGCGUGCACGUGCAACUGAAAGGAAUUUGAGGGCCAUGGUGGCCAAGAUACAGGCUCUCGAGGGUGGAGACAUUGCCCCAUGGGACGAAGAACAUAUCCCUGACUCUAUUGUGGAUAAGUUACCUACACCAGGGUAUAACUCUUUCUCUUUCAGUACACAAGCUUCAUUAAUAGAUUAUUCAUGAUUCCAGAUGUUUUUUUGUACACCUUAACAUAUUGUUGGGUGUCUCGAGGCAUCUGGCAAAAGAUGAUUUAUGGGGAUUGCAUUGACCUUUCAAGAAUACUAAGCGUAUCAAUGUAUUAGAUAUUGCUGCUUUCUGUCAGGUCUCUCGGUCCUUCAGUAGAGCAGAAUCAAAUUUCAUGCUGAUAACAUCAAGUUCUUGUACUUGUGUGUGCAGUGUAAUGGUUCAUUCUGAACAGUUUCAAGACAUUCGAGCAACAGAACUAAUUUUAAGCAACUGGAUGCGUGUUUGCUACAAAUGCACAGAGUUUCUCGAAGAUCAGGUCAUUGACCUCUUCCCAAUGAAUAAAUUGUCGUCUCGUAUUUGCUUUUGACAACUCAGGCAUUUCGUGGACAUUUUCUAAAUUUUUUUCCGUUCUACGAUUGUUUUGAUAUAAUUUUUCAUGACUUUCAAGUGGUUUCUGGUGAUCUCAGGUGCUCAUAAUUGAUUAUGCCUAUGGCGGUCUCUCUGAGGUCGACGAAAGUGAUUUUAUCUCUUGUUCCAUGGGCUCAAUCAUUGCAGGUGAAAUUGGUGUUUUCGGACACAAGCCAGCAGUUCUGCUGGAAAUUCUAGCACGCAAACGUGCUGAAGUAGGCACCAAAGUAGGUGCCUAUGUGCGCACUUUUUCUGGAGAAUGUUCGCCAACUGAUCUGGAUAGAGCUCUUCAGGUAUUGUUGUGUUAAUUGUGAACCCUUGUGGUUGGUUCAGGGGAUCAACUAGUUGAUUCUUUUCAUCUGAUAAUUUAGUAUGGUUACAGUACUAAUAAAGUUCUCUCAAAAUGUAUAGCUUGACAUUCAUGCUUGCUUUUCGCAGCUUGUCUACCAACACUUUGUGGCGGAAGUAGUGCCUUCCAAUGAGGAAGUGCAAUUUGUGAUGCAAAUGUUUCUUGAAGGGAUCAAAGCACAAGAACGAGAUCCAUUCACAGCAUAUGCGAAUAGAGUUCGUGAGCUCAAUUAUGGAAAUUCAUAUUCUGAACAUAAUAUCUAAAUUGCUAGAUAAUUCUAAGUAAAUAAUUUGCUUUGUUCCUUCAAUCGGGUAGGAGAGUCGAACACUUGAGGAUAGAAAGCGUAGAUUGUGCAAGUCAUGCUGAAGAUUUGGUCUGCAGGCUCAAGAACAAUGGAGAAUUUCAGCAAGGUCUAAAGCAACGGCUGUGACUAUGAAAGAUGCUCUUUCUCGUAUUCUCUCAGUCCCAUGCAAAGAACAUUACACCGCAGUUGCGUUGAUUCCUAGGGCUCCACGGCUGCAACUGAUACUUGCAAACCUCGCCAGAUUGGAGCAGAACCUAAGUAAAGAGAGUAAGGUAAACUAAGGACGAUCUAUUAUUUCCUAAGUUAUUUUGAUGUGGUAGGUUGUGUCAGGUGCAAUUAUGUCACGUAGGUGGAUCUUUCUUUGUCAAUACAUGACGUGUCCAAACUUGUUCCUUUAUUUGUUUAUUUAUUUAUUUUGCUUUCAUUCAGUAUGUUCUAUUUUGAGAUGAUUGGUUCUAUACAGGACUCAUAUUUGUAUCUACUGGUAGUUCAUGAAUCCCUGCUUGUUACUUUCCGUAUGAAUUGGUUCCUUUUGUAGAAGUGAAAUAUCUGUGCACUGAGCGUACGUAAUCGAGACUUAGCAUAUUUUCUAAGCAAGCCGUUAUAAAUUUUGCCCGUUCUGCCUGCUUGAAUUCUAGUAUGAAGAACAGUAGCUAAAGUCUUAUUUGUCUUUCAGGUAGCAAUAGCGACAGCUGGUGUUGUUGUUAUUGGAACAGCCAUUUGGAGAUAUACUGUUCGACGAUGAAGUUAAUAACAACGAGCCUUGUACGCCGAGCUGUUCACUAUCUGUGCCACUUAACCGCUGACUCCGAAGUCGGUAUCUGUCCACUCUUCUCCGCUGACAUUGGAAUCAGACGCUUUAAACUGUAAAAUUCUAGAGUUUGUAAUUUGUAGUUAUGCCAAUUUGUUUCACUUAGCUGUAUCUCUGUAAAGUCUUACACAUUGAAGGGGUUUCGGGGCUGAUUUCUGUUUUCGAUUAGAAGAUCAACGUGUAUUAGGAUAAAAAAGCUGUCCCCUUAAAUGUAGCGUCCGGCUUAACUUAAUUCUUUUGCAAAUCUAUUUGCUGUGAAAGUCACGUCUCUUCUGGAAAUUUAGCAGCUGUAUCCUCAUCGUUUUUUUUUUACAACACAUUUGUAAUAACAAUUAGCUGUACCAGUAGAAUUAUUGUACCAGAGUUGAAGAUUCGAGGGUCGUCAAUCUGCUAUGUUCAUGGCUGCUGGUGUUCUUUCCUGCAUUUUAUCUGUUUGGUACAUUGUUUUCGCAAGACGGGAAAAAUGUGUUAAGAUUCUGCAAAACAUCUUUCUGCUUCACUGCCUUAGUUUCUUGAGUUUCAAGGUUUUUUCUUCUUGUCACUAUCUGUGGAUUUAAAGAUAUAUAACAUCCAUAUAACAUUGGAUAGGAAGGUGGCCUUCUGCACAUAAAUUAGACAUUACUUCCAAUAAUGAUUGCAUUUACAUAUAAAUGCACAAAAAUAAUUUCUUUUUUGAUUGAAUGUAACUCUUAUUUACUAAUUUUUCACUUUUCUCUACUACACUAUUCUCAUUUUUUAUUGUUAUUGUUAGUAUCAUCCAAUAGUAUUGAAUUUUGCAAUGAUAUUGGUGUUAGAUUUUGCAUGCUUGCUAGAGAGACUCCAUAAACAAGACAAGUGCAAACAUUGUGGGUAACAAUUUGAUUACAAGCUCCACACUUUUUAUUCUUUGGAUUGUCCCAUUUUAUCAAUUUGAAUUCAAAAUGAUCUCUAUAUAUUGAACUUCCAAAGGUUAAUUCAAAGAGCAAGUUUAUGCUCGAUUAAGGAUUUUGUCAACAAUGUCAAAAUCUAGUGCUAGAAUUGCCUACUUUAGAUUAACUUGCUAGAAAAGAAUCAAAUUCUUAUGUUUUUAUAUAAUUCUAUUAAAAAGCUUUCAUAAGCUUGAAUUCAUCAUUUGUAGUUGUCUUUGUUCUAUGAAAUUUGAAACAUCAAAAAUAGGUUUAUAUAGCCACCAAUAUUAGAGAAAGUCCAUCACCACAGGCUUUUGUUUCUGCUUAUAACUUUGCUUGAUAGCAUGUACACAAGGUAUGCCAAGUAUUUUUUGACAAUAUAUUAAUACAAUAAUCUAUUAGUCAAGAAAUGGGGAUUUAUGGUAUUAUUAUCAUAGAAUCAAUUAGAAGGUAUUUUAGAGCAUUUUAGUAGUUAAAAUCUUACAAUCUAAUUGGAAAUGCAUAACAAAAAAAAGUUCUAAUUAUACCUCAUUGAAUACAAAAUGAAACACUCUUAGCAACACUUGAUCAAAAAUAGAUUUAUUUUUUGCUAAGAUAAGAUGUAUGAUUUAAGUCUCAAAACUUUCUUAGUAGUAGCAUGUUAUUAUUGAAAGUUUACAAGUUCUAGUUUUUCUUAUAUAACAAGAAGAACCUAUGUCAAUACCUUAAUCCACGCUUUCACAAUAGCAUGCUCUCCUUCAAAUCAAGAUAUUGUGAUGUGGCCCAAAUAAAAUUGUUCUUCAUUUAAGCUCCCAUAAUUUUUUUUCUUGUAAAAUAGCCAUGAUUUUUAAAUUUAUUUCCACACAAAUAGUACCAUUAAUGUUAUAAAUUUGGUUCAAAUAGCUAUAUAAUUUUUCUUUCUCUUAUUGUAGUAUAAUGCUAGCUAUAUCUUCAUGAACUCAUCAAAUUCAUCAUUUGAUGUAUUGAUAGAUUUUAAAUUUGUAAGGAUGUUCUUUUUACAUAUGUCAAAUACAUAGCAACACUUUUGCAUUUGGAAGCACUCUAAAAUGACAAUUAUCAAAGCUAGUUCUUGAUUUGUAAGAAAAAUCAAGUUGUCUUAAAGAAGGUAGUUUCAAAAUAAUUUUUUCACUUGCUCCAAAGUCCAUCUAUAGUGAAAUUCUUCUUCACCACCUAUGAAUCAAUAAAAUAGUGAAAAUGACAUUGGCAAAAGAAAAUCCAUUUCAUAUAGGAACAAUAUUUGAUACUUAUUCAAAAAAACAACAAUCAAAAGUAAAUAAUAAUUUCUUAUACACAAUUGAUAUGUCACCAUCUUUUAGAAUUAAGAAAAUUAAAGGUUUGUUUUGUAAGUGUAAUUGAGAAGAUUGAUAGAAUUUGAUGAAUUUCUUUUGGCAAUCUUAUGAACAAUUUUUGGUAUAAAAAGAAUUGCAUGACCUUGUCAUUUUUAUUAAUUUUGAUGUCAUACUUAUCUCUUUCUUGAUAAGUAUAUCUACCAAAACUUUGAUUGGUUGUCAACUUGUAAUAGUUUCUACCUUCAAUUUGUAUCUUUAGUCAUAGAUGUCUUUAUAUACCAUUGGACAAUUGGUAAGGUAGAGGGUUUUUGCAAUGACCUUAGAAGCAAUAUCAACUUUCAAUAAUAUAGUUUAUUAUGUGCUUCUAGUUGGCAUUUAUCUUCUUGGCAACAACUUAGGCUACUUAUUUUCAAUUGGAUUGGUAACAAAAUUGAAAAUAAGUAGCCUGCGUUGAAAAUAAGUAGCCCAUGAUUGACAUCCCAAUGAUGAUCUAUUUUAAAAAAAAAUUAAAGAAUUAUUUAAAAGAAGAGUCUAUUCUUAUACUAUUUGUAUUCUUCAAUUAUUACUAUCUUAUUGCAAGCUUCUUACUCUAUAUGCAAACAAAGUCUAUUAUUUUUAGUUCUUCAUAUAGAUAUAUAUGUAUAUAUAUAUAUAUAUAUAUAUAUAUAUAUUUUUUUUUCAAAUUGUUACUUUUGAACCAUGUAUCAUUUUUCUUUUGGAAAGUGUUCCAUUGUCUUUUGAGCUUCUUCAAUGGUCUUAGAAGAUACAAGAAGUAAAUCUUCUAACAAUAUCUUAUCAAAAGAUUAUAGGAUCUAUAUCUAAUACCCUUCAAAUAUAUUAAUAGUAAAAAACAUAAAUUUGUUCUUAAUGUUUCUAAUUCUAUUAAACAAAGACAAUUCGAAACAACAAAUAUAGAUUAAUAAACAAGAGUUUUUUAGCAAAAUUGUUGAAAGAUACAAGAGCUUACUAUCUCACUAACAAAUUAAUAUAAAGUGUGUGCAAAAUCUUUGAUCUAGUACAAAUUCACAAUUAUAGACAAUCUCUUAGAAGUUGAGACCCUUUUAGAUUUAAAUUGGUAGGUGGGAACAAUAACCUAAAGUUCAAGAACUAUAGAGAUUGCAAUCAAUAAAUUAUAUUUGUGUACAAAAUCUAAAGCUAACAUAUGAUAUUGGUGUACAAAAUCUAAGGGAUAAUAUUGUCAAUAGCAAUUGGGAAUGAGAGCUGUAUAGAUCAAGGUGAUGAAUAUAGCAAAUAAAAGUUGUAUUUGAUAGAAAAAGAAACUCUUUCUUUGCAUUUUUAUAUAAAGGUUGUCAUUACUAGGAGUAAUGUCCUACUACUACAUUUCGAUUAUUCUUAUUAAUAUUAUUAUAUUUUGAAUAUUCUAUGAAUGAAUCCUUAUGGAUUUGUUUAUGCUUUAAGUUAUUUAUUUAUUUUCUUUUUCUAUAAAUAUGUGAAUACUGAGAUGUGUAUGAUGGCAUGGAAUCUUCCUGAAGUUCCAGAACCAUUAGGUAGUGAACAUUGAAUGCAUCCAGGAAAAGCAGAAAAUAGAGUUUAUAAUGCUACGGUUUUUAUUCCAUUUAUUUGGGGUUUUGUUCACCUAUCACCAUUGUAUUAUGAAAAGUAUAAAACGAACUGGUUUAGGAACAUGGUCAAGAAUGAUAAAUAUGAAAUUAUUAUUAUAAUUAUCAUGUUUUGUAUUGAAACACCCAUGACAAGAGCCAUCGAUAUUGGUAGCUAUAAAUGUAGCAACAGUUAUCAACUGAACGUGACCCACCAAAACAUAUUCGAACACCUUCAGUCAAGCCUUCCUUGUGUUGCAGGGUAUGUUGAGACACGAUACCGACAAAUAUUUAAACAAAUAUAUAUAGAUUGAAAGAAGCUCAUGAAUGAUGCAACAUUUAUGAACUGGAUACGUCAAGAGAGUCAAAUGCUCAGAACCCCUUAAAAGAGAGCACUCAAUGCCUGAGAGCAACUUGACAGCAACAAGUGUUGGCAAUAUGGUCACCGGAGAAGCCACGCAGUGGCUCACAGAGAUGACUUGAAAGCUGGGUUUCCUGGGAGGCUAAUGAACCGUAUCUAGCUGCGAAUUCAAGCUCAGUCACUGCUGCUUAGUGAGACGUAAUGCUGCGGUCAUCACACAGACGUGAUGAACUGGUGUAGCGUUAGGUGUGAUCCAGUUCAACUGAUAGAUCGUGGGCAUGAGACGUGCGAGGCUCGUCGAGCACAAUGCCCCUCUUGCAGUCCCCGAACUUACUAUCCUCUAACGCAAAUGCUUGUGACUUGCGGUGUAUAUGACAACACAAUGUCAUAGAACAAGCUGAGAAAUGAGCCUCUCUCUCUCUCUCUCUCUCUAUCUCUCUCUGUUGCUCUCUUUGGGUUAGCUGCAGAAGCGAGCUGAAGGUGCGUAUAAAUUCUGGUGAUGAGAGAGAAUCGAAGCCUUGAUGCAAAAGUUGGGCCCAUGCCACAGGAUGCCUAGCUGAUAUACAUGCACAAGCCAGGACUGAAAUUGUUGUCUUAUUGCGAUUCAGUGGAUGCGCAAUCUGUGAGGAUCUCUUCACAUGUUUGAUCAUAUUUUAGUGGACGUCCGGUUAGAUCUGUGUGGAUCGAGGGUCGCGGUGCAGCCGACGGCGAGAGUGACCGGGAUUGCACGAUGGUCAAGCCAGAUUUUACACAAUGUCGGCUCCGGAAAUUUUUGGGUAGAUUCAGUCUUAACUCGAAAACGACCGGCUUUUCGCUUAAGAGAGCGACUGCUACCUUAUUCCUCGUGAUUCUCCCACUGGUAUUGCUUGUGACUUUAUUACAUGAACUUUCGGGGCUCCGCACAGGCAUCUGGCUUUCCACCUCACGGUCUCAGGCUCAAGGUCCACGCGAGUCUUCAGAAACAGCAAGAAAAUUCCUCAGUCGAGCGCAUGGUCAAAAUCCGAAGAGGUUAUCAGAUGAAACUUAUCCACUGCAGCGCCCUCUGAAUCCGAAAACUGUUAUGUCAACUGUAUUUUUACGGGAGAGUAACAUUAAUGCUAGCAAGUUCGACCUUAGACGGGGAGAGAUUCGUGCCUACCGACCACAUGGAGUGGCGGCGCAUUUCUUUUUGCAACUUGGGACGUACCGGAGCAGCCCAAGAGCGUUCUCCACCGCCGGGAGCAUUCAACGAAGUUUUGAAGACUGGUUUAAACCUCGGUUUCAGUGCGAGUGGAUCGGCAGUAAUGGGACAGCGGUAAGGGCUAAAGAGGCAAAAAAGAUUAGACCAGCACAAUCCUUUAAAGGUUUCUACGAUUCCCUCAUCAUCAUCUGCCAUUUCGAUGAAGACGUGGGAACAGAUGGGCUUGGAGGCAAGCUCUACAUGAAGUACUGGCACCAAGUCGACAAGUACCGAACUCCCGAGACCUUUCUGGCUCUCGUCGAAGCUCCUUCCGAAUACAACGCUAGCAUGUUUGAGCCUCCGUUUGCAUACGACAUUGUCUAUUGCGGCUCUCCCAUUUACGGAGACAUUAGUCCGCAACGAGUUCGCGAGUGGGUGGCUUACCACACCUACGUCUUUGGCAAUCGCUCCCACUUUAUCUUGUACGAUGCAGGUGGAUUCCACGAUGACGUGCAGAAGGUGUUGGAGCCAUGGGUGAAGCUGGGCCGCGUCACUGUGCAGAAUAUUCAGCAGAUCGAAAUGUAUCCCGCUUACUACCACCACCAACACACGGUCGUCAACGACUGCCUGAUGAAGUCCCAGUUCCUGGCCAACUGGACCUUCUUCUUCGACAUGGACGAGUAUUUGUUCGUGGAACCUCCUCACUCCAUCACCAAGUUACUCGAGGAAAAAACCCAGCAGGAUGUCUCCGUGAUCAGAUACACUGGAAAGCGGAUGUCAACUUCGAUGUGCAGCCUGCCCAAAGCAAAUGUCGAUAACGCCACUCGCGAUGCGAUCAAUUCCAAGUCGGUUUAGUUUCUGAUCACUUUGUUUCUCCUUUUCUGUUUUCGCACACACUUAGACUGGUCAUAGAGUCCUUGGAACUUGGAUUUAAAUGGAGCACGAAGUCCUGAUUGUUUUUCGCGGUUCUUUGAACUGGCCUUAGAUUGUGGGGCUUCGAGAAAUUUCUCCUCCACUGGCACUGGGAGCAUGGCCCAAGGGACCCCAAGUAUGCCGUCCAGGCAAGACACAUGUGGGCGGUGGAGAUUCAUAACGCUGUCUUGGCUAGGCGUGGCCAGAAUCGGCUCCUGCAAUACAGAGACCACAUCUGGUUCCAUCACUUCCAUGGAUUCAUAAUCAACCGCGCCGAGGGGUGCCGCGACUUCGUUGAAGCGUCGGAGAACAAGGCAAUCGCUGUCGGCAAGAGCCAAUACUCCGGCGACUACACCAUUGCUCGCCUUGCCAAGGACAUCAAACAGUUUGAACAAGCCAUGGUGGGAAAGCUACCAUUCAUCUUGUAAUCUAGAAUCCAUUUCUACCACACAUCCUUACUGUCUUUAUUUCUGGAAAUUGGCUGAGCUUGUCACUGCCUGACCUCCGAUCAGAAGAAGCUCAGGGGACCCUUCCUCGGUGGCCCGGCAAAGUUCAGAUUGAGGAACUAACAGUGUUUAUUUCUGUAUGGACGAGGUGUUCAUAUGAGAUGGGAAUACCAAAGCAGUCGUGAUGAUCAAGGUGUUGGCGAAAUAAGCGCCUAGGGUUUCCCCCAUACUAGGGCUGAUACUUGGCGGAUACCUAGCUGAUACAAGGAUGAACUUAAUACCUACAGUGAUCAACACAGUAAGUGAGAUAUGUUCGAGGAUGGACUCAGCAUAUUUACAAGAAUAGAAUGCAUGUGAACUUUCUCAAACGUAUUGUGUUCAGAAUGUAUAAAUGUUUUCUCAACUUGGAUAAAAACAACUCUCUCUUAUUACGCAAGUGAAUUUCUACAUGGUAUCAAAGCAAGGCUUAGAGAGUUCAUGAGCAACACACCUUUUCUUUGCAAAUAUAAGUGAGCAAAACUUAUCCACAACUCAUUUGUUGAAGAGACAUUUAAAGAGUUCCACUAAUAUAUCAAAUUCUAGUGAUCCCUUGCAAGUUGGCAAGGCCAAGAAGUUGGUUGGCCUUGCCUACAAGGAUGUUUUGUAUUUUAGUAUAAUCAAGGGUUUUGUUGCAAGCAUGUAAAGUUGAGAGUUCUUAUUUAAUUUUGAGAGGUAAAAAAGAAUCUAAUAUUUCAUUUCAUCUACAAAGUAAUAAAUAGAUAGUUGAGGCAAUGCCAAAGAUUCAGGAAGGGAUCAACUUUCUUGCCUUGGCUUGUUUAAAUUGCAAAAGAUUUUGACUCCAUAUAAUAUCCGAUACAAGAUCUUACUUUAUUCAUACUACAACAUUAAAAGACAAAGUUGGAUUUAUGUAUCACUACCUCUAUAAGAUUUUAUACCUUUAUAUCAUCUAAUUCAACUUGAUUAUAGUUGUUGUAAUAGACAGGAUAACUUUUUAAUACACUAUCAUCAAAUAGAUUUGAAAAUUUGACAAAAUAAUGAUAUGGAAGAAUUAGUGCUAGUGGACUAAUUUGAAUAGCAAUCAACAAAGUUUCAUCUACUUGAGCUUGCUAUACUAUAGACUCCAACUUCCAUGUUUAUUAAAAAGAUGCACCAAAAUUCUUAAUCUUAUAGAUCAAAACUUUAUAGAAUUGAAUUAAUUGGAUUUAUAUAUCUAUGUUGUAAGAAUAAUUAUUUAAAUCAAAAAUAAUUAUAAUCUUCAUCAUAUUAUCAUGUUUUCCUUCUAGUUGAAACAUACAAGUGUGAUAUUUUUCUAAUAAUGAUUUCUUUUGAUUGUCUUGUAAUAUUUUAUGAUAUAGAGGCUUGAUAAUGUUAAGCAAGGAAGUUAGUUUAUAAUUUAGUGGAUCUAAAAUCUUUAUUUGUAUAAUUAUUGAUAAAUAUAGAAUAAUAUUGUGAUCUAUUAUGUUUUGCCAAUAUUAUUCAAGUAUAAAUUUAAACAAUCAUCUUUGGAUAUAUUGUUGUGAUCAAAGAUAUUUAUUAUAAAAAAAAAAAGAUAUUGAGUAGGAAAAAGAAGGAAGAUUAGAAUUUUUUAACUAUUUUUUUAAUAUCCAUUAGUUUAAGUUUAUUCUUGAACUUUUUUUCUUAUAGGUUUUGCAAAGAUAUCUACCAAUUGUACAAGAAAAGGAAUAUAUUCAAGUUCAAUGUUGCCACUUCCUAUUUUUUUACAAGUAAAAUGGUAAUAGAUGGCUAUAUGGCGAUUGCGAGGAUUUACUCUUAGAUUAAUUGCCAUAGGAAUUGAAAUGAGACUGGAUUAUUUCUAAGCUCUAAGACCCUUCUAAACUAUAGUAAUAUAAAUCUAGCCACAACAUAGGAUAGUAUAGACCAAAAUAAAACUAAAAAGAUAGGACAUGAAAGGCAAAAUAGAGCAAAAGAGAAUAAAACAAAAUUAAACAGAAAAGUACAAAAUCAAACUUUACUAGGAAAAAAGGACCAAAGCCAUAGAUGAUCAGAUAUCCAAAUAGCUAUGGCCAAUCCUAUUUAUACUUUGUCCAACCAUCCUCGAACUUUCUAAAAUGUUUCUAAUGGUGGACCUUAUUUAGAUAAUUACCUUAAGUUCUUUUUAGAAUGUUCCAUGAUAGAUCUUAUAUAAACCACCAACUUAGUCCUAAUUUUAGAAACUUCUAAAAACUUUUAGAAUUUUUUUAAACAUGGCUCCAACUACCUAUCUUUAUGUGUUGACAAUGUAAAUAUCUUAUCUAUACUUCAUUACAAUUAAUCUCUGUCUACUAAUGCAAAAUGUCUUUGUUUUGCUCCCAAUGGUAUUUCUAAAGUGUUUCUUAACAAUAGAUGAGGUUUUGUGCAGGUUCCCACAUUGCAUCAUAGAUAGGAUAAUCUUAUUAGAGGACUUUAUUCUAAAGUUGAAGAUAUCCAUUGUGAUGACAAAAAAAGCAAUGGUCCAAAAUUCUAUCUACUUCAUAAACUUGUUAGUUAUCAAUUACAACUAGAGGUAGUAGUAGUGGUUGAUAUUGAUCCAAAAAGUGCCUUGCCUCAAUAUGAAAUUCUUUGAAUUGUAAAACAUAAAAGACCAAAUGAAUUCAAAUAUAUGGUGGAAGUUCAAGGCAAUAUGCAACAUCAAAAAUCACUACAAAAAUACAAAAAGAUCCAAGUCACUAAAGUGCCAACUUACGAAAUUGGAUUGAUAUAACAAGUAGAAAGUUGGCACUGAAAAGUAACACCCAAUAACCAUCUUGGAAGAUCUUAUGUUGUCGGUGGUUAUCCACAUACUACUUCUAUCAAUUCUAUGUAAUAAAAAGGCAAUGUUGUACCUCCUAUAGGGCUAUUGUAAGUCAUUAUAUAAAUUCUUCCAUUUUUGGAUUGUUGGUAUCAAUGGGAGGAUGGAAAGUUGCUAGCAUAAUAAGAUGUUGACGAAUAUUAAGAAAGAAUAGUGAAUGAGUGGUAUUUGCUUGAAUACUACCAUCAAAGUAAGUAAACUCCAAAGGCAUCAAAUAUUUAUCUUAGUCAUUAUGAUGAAUCGCCAUAAAUGUCUAUAAUAUAUCUUCUAAGGUAUAAUUUUCAAGUUCUAUUUUUCCAAUUAUUUGAAGAUGGAAGGUUAUGGAUAUAAUAAGCUAUGGAUAUGGCAAGCCGUGUGCCCAAUAGCUUAAACAAAGCUUGCUAAAAAUUUCUCAUGAAGCAUGGAUUUUAAUCUAAAAUGAUAACAUGAUGUAAUCUAUGGUGACAAAAAAUAAUAUCAAAGAAGAUCCUUGGAAGUAUUAAAGCAUCAAUAUUUAAGUGCAUUGCAACUAAGUGAAGUUGCUUUAAGAGUUGAUCCAUAAAGAUAGCAACUAUUGUAUGAUUGUGAGGCAUCUAGGACAAAUACAUAAUCAUAUCCAUAAUUACUUGCUUCUAACGUAUAAGUGUUGGAAUUGGCUACAAUAGUCUAGAAGAUAUUGUAUUGUAUGCUCUAUUUCAUUGGCAUGACUCGCAAGAGCUCACAAAAGCUCAAACAUCAUAAUCUAAACUUGUCCAAAAUUAUAUGCUUGAGAUCCAUUAUAGAGUCUUCUCACGCCUUAGAUGUCCAGAUAUUAGAAUAUAUAUCCUUCUUGAAAAAUACAUGUCCAAAGUAUAGCAUUGUCAUAUAUAUAUAUAUAUAUAUAUAUAUAUAUAUAUAUUCUUCUUAAAAUAGAGCAAGCCAUCACUAAGAUAGUAAUCUUGAUAUUGUACAUUGUUUACUUUCAACCAAUCAAUAAUCAACUUAAAAUAAGCAUCUUCAUCCAUAGCUUUUUUUUAUUUUACUCCUCUAAUUAGAUUUGAAACAACACUACAAAUGGUAGCAAUUUUUGCCUUGUCUUCUCAUUUAAGCUUUAAGUUUGAUUUGUGCAAUAAGAUAUUUGGCACAAUAUAUUAUCAUUCUUGCUUCUAUUCAAGCUGAAUAUUGAAGAGUUGCAAUUGAUCUUUUCAAAGAUGAUGUUAUGAUUUCAAAUUUUUCAAAUAUAAAUUAUGUAGUAGGGACCAAUGGUGAGUCCAAAUAGUCAUUAGCUUCUCUAACAGAUAGCAUUGCCACAUCUUUGUGGCAUAUACAAUUACUAAUUGCUCUCAAUCACAAACAAAAUAAUUGCACUUUGCUCUUUUGGAUUUGCAUGAUUCAUAUGCUACACAUUAAAGGCUCCUACCAAAGUCUUAUUAAAAGAGUAUACAACUAAUAAAUUUAGACACAUUAAUAUCAAGUAUAUAGAGAAGGUUGGAAUCAUACAAUUGUGAUAUUAGAGUAGUAAUGAGUGUCUCUUUCAACUUAUUAAAGGUCCUUUUGUGCUCUAUUUUCUAUUUAAAUAGAAUAUUCUUCUUUAAUAGGCUUAUCAAUGAGGCAACAAUGUAUGUAAGUUGUCAAACAAAAUGGCAAUAAUAUCUAGCAAGGCCUAAGGAUAAGUAAACUUUAGAAGCAUCUUUGGAAGUUGGCCAAUCUUCCACCACUUUCACUUUAUUCUACUCCAUGUGCAUGUCUUUGGAGGACAUGACAUGCUUCAAAAAGAUAACCUCCAACUUUCAAAGUUUAUACUUUGAUUGCUUAUAAUAAAAGUGACUAUCUUAUAGCCGACAUAGUAUUUUUUAUAGAUGUUAUUCAUGCUCUUUAACGAUUUUACUAUAGAUUAAGAUAUCAUUGAUUAAAACAACUACAUACUUGUCCAAAAGAUUUCAAAAUAAUUUGUUAAUAUAACCUAUGAAGGAGGUUGAAACAUUGGUGAGGCCAAACGAUAAAAUAAGCCAUUCAGAAUAUCCAUAGUGCAUAUAAAAGAUUGUAUUUUUUCUAUCCUCUCUUAAAAUAGGUAUCUAUCAAUAGCCACUCCAAAGGUCCAAUUUGCUAAAGAUGGUUGCACCUCAAAGUUGGUCAAGAAGAUUAUCCACACAUAGAAGUGGAUAUGCAUUCUUAAUAGUUUGCUUAUUGAAGCCUCAAUAGUCAAUUCAAAGCUAAAGUCCACUAUUUUUUUUAGGUGUAAAGAGUACAAGUGCUUUCUAUAGUGACAUGCUUUUUCAAAUGAGGCCCUUUUCUAGGAGUUCAUCUUAUAUCUUUUACAAAUUUUCAAGUUCAUUUGAUAUUAGGCAAUAAAUUUGCCAACUUACUGGUUUGGCUCCCAACAAUAGUUCUAUUUGGAAGGAGGCACCUCAAUCAAGUAGCAUACUACUAGGUAGGUCGGUUGAAAAGACAUUUUGAUAUUCAUGUAUGAAUUGCUUUAUUCAUUCUAUUCUUUUGGUUGUCUUUUCUACCAUUGAAGCAAGCUUUGGAACUAUCUUAUAUAUUGAUUAUUUAUGCUAUAUUUGCUUCUUCAUAAAGAUUAUUUCUACAUGUAAGCCUUUAUUUGUAGAAUAUUUUUCUACUUCACUCAAUGCAAAGGUAUGAAGAUUCAUCUUGCAUCUACCAUCUUUGAAGGAGAUUGUCCUUGCUUGUCAAUCAACUUAUUUAUUUUCUACCUCUAGCCAUAGCAUACCAAGGAUAAUAUCAUAUCUAAGCUUUGUUACCCUGAACUUCUCUCUUGAGAUAUAAGUAUCACUUAACCUCAAAAUUUCUUUCUCACAAAUCUCAUUCAAUACAUUCUCUUAGUAAUUUGCUAGGUAUAUAUUCUCUCCUUUAAUCACCUUGGUUUUAAUUCCAAGUCAAUUGGUAAUCCCACUCAAGCUGUAAUUUUUUGUAGAACCGCAAUCCACAAGGACUUAACAUAAUUGUCUUUUUAGUUAAUUCAUUAGAUACACUAAUUAAUUUUUUUAAUAGUUAUUUGAAGUCAUGCCAUUUAUUUCUAAGAGACAAUAGCUACUUCCAAUACUGACCCUCAAUGCUAUUACUAAGAAGCCCCAUUUUUCUAUUCCAUUUUUUUUUUAUCAAUUUGGUGAAUUUCAAGAUUAUAAAUCUACCUUGAAUUGUUUCUCCAUAGAUUUUGAUAUUUUAAACAACCUUUGAUUUACUAGCUUGAUUCCUGACAAUAAAAACAUAAUCUCUUUUAUGUGAAUAUUUAUCAUUUCUAUAGUAUCAAUGAUCUUUAUAGGGCAUCAAUCUCCAUUGAUGUUGGUUGUUGUGCCAUAAUACUAGAUAGCAGCAUAGGACUUUGUGCUAAAAGUUGUACUUGAUAAUUUUUGAAAUCUAUAGCAUUGAUCCUUUCUAUAAUCCUAAUUAUUUCCUCAAAUAUUUGUAGAUCCUUUAAUUCUACUUCUUAUUGGACAACAAAUUUUAACCCUCGUAUAAACCAAUCAAUCACCUUUGCCUUUAAAAUAUUGCCAAUUUAAAGAGAUAAAGACUUAAAUUAGAUGACAUAAUCUUCCAUUGAACUAAAUUACAUAAGGUUGGCCAAUUGAUUGCAUGUUAUCUUCUCUAUAUUAAUAGACCAAAAUUGAUUCCUAUACUUGGUCUCAAACUCCUUCCAAUCAUAAAUUCGAUCUUAAGCUCUAUAGCUUUGAACUUGAUGUUGCCACCAAAUGGUUACGACACCUCUCAAAUUCCUUCAAUAGUUUUUGCCUCAGAUAAUUGGAGGUAUUGUUGCAUAUUAAAGAGCCAUUGAUAUAUAUCUUCUUGUCUUGAAGUCUUAGAAUAUGUAUCGGACUUACUUAAUUUCAGCCUAGUAGAUGUUAACUCUCUUAUUCUACAGGCUUCUAUUUGUCCUUACAAAGUAGCUAUCACACUUAAAAGGUGUUGUAUUUGAAUCUCUAUUUGGGAUUGCUUUGCUAUAUCUCCCGUGCUAUAAUUUCUUUACUUAAUUUUGCUACUAUAAUAUCUUAUCUUCUUCUAAUUGACUUCUUAAAAUUAUCUUAUAAUAGCAUCAAAAUAAUACCUUAUAUAGCUAUAACAAUUGACUUCUAAUAAGACAAUGGCUAUCAACUCACUACCAAAGAACACACUUACAUUUGCUCUGAUACCAAUGAAAUACGAUUGAAUUAUCUCUAAGAUUUAAAAUCCUUUUAAAUAAUAGGAAUAUAAAUCACAUCACAAUGCAAGACAACAUAGAUUAGAAUAAAAUUAAAUAUUAUGGAACAUAAAAGGUCAAAAAAAGUAAAAGAAAAUAGAAUAAAAUCAAACAAGAAAGUGUUAAAUCAAACUUUACUAAGAAAAAAGAACCAAAGUCAUAUUUGACCAAAUAUCCAAAUAUCCAUAGCUAGUCCUAUUUAUACUUUGUUCAACCAUCCCAUAACUUUUUUUAGAAUAUUUAUAAUAGUAGGCUCUACCUAGAUAAUUGCCUUAAGCCUUUUUUAAAAUAUUCUACAAUGAAUCUCACAUAAACCACCAACUUAGUUUUAAUUCUAAAAACUUCUAAAAACUUCUUGAAAACUUCUCAAAUAUAGCUUCAAUUCCUACCUCUAUAUGUCGACAAUGCAAAUAUCUUAUCUAUAUUCCAUUACAAUAAUAUUGCUAAGAUUGUCAUAGUAGAGAUGAAUCAAUUUUUGUAUUACAAACUGAAAAUCUUCAAAAAAUUUAAGAAAUCAUGUUGUGGUUUUGGAGGCUUCUACUAAUGCUUAAUACUUUGCUUUGAAAGAUGACAAGGCCAUUGUGGCUUAUUCUUUGAAUGCCAUAUGAUUGGACGAGAACUUAGCUUGAAGAUGAAUCAAAUAAUUGAUUUUGUAUUUUGAUAGUUACUGGCACAAUCAAAGUCAAUGUAGCUAUGGAAGUUAUUAUUUCUUUUAUUUGUAAACAAAAUUUUAAAGUCUUUUAUAUGUCUAAUAUAUCUUAGGAUCUUUUUUGUAGCAAGAAAAUAUAAUAAUUGAAGCUUUUGUAUGAAUCUACUACAAACUCCUAUACAAACUUUUAUGUCAAAUUUUGUGGUUAUUAAAUGAAGCAAUGAACUUAUUAGACCUUAGUAGAGUGUUGGAUUGCAUUCUCCCUCUGCUUUGUUAAUAAUAAGCUUGCAUUGUUCAUUUAUUAAUAUAGUAGCAAGCUAAAAAUAUUUCAUGCUAUAACUUGUAAAUAUUUUUUUAGCAUACAUCUUUUAGGUGAAAAAAAAAUUCUCUUUGCAUGUGGAUGCAUUUUUCUUUUAGAUUCAUCAUAAUAUUCUUUUUCAAAAGCUUUGUCAUAAAAAACCUUAGAUUCAGUUAUAAUUUCAAAUCUUUGAUCACCACAAUUGAAUUCCUAAGUAUAAGUAGAUUAUCUAUGUAGAGAGUUAGUAAGGCAAUGUUAUGAUUUUUUGUUCUUUUAUAUAAAUUAUAUUCUCAUAUAUUGGAUUUAAAGUCUUUGUAUUUAAAGAAGUGGUCAAUCUCAUUAUAUUAUUAAAAUAAAUAAAUAAAAUUAAAAAUAAAAUAAGUUACUUUAUAAAAAAUAUUAUCUUAAAUAAGUUAUAGAUGAUCAAAGGAUUACUACUUGGUAUAUGGAAAGAAAAUUUUAUGGAUAUAGGACGAAGUCAAGGAUCAAGAAUCAAAGUCAAGAAGAAAAAAUAUUAACUAGGAAUUAUCCAAAGAUUAGAUAAGAAUAAUUAAUAUUUGACAUAGGAUACUAUCAUGGUUAGUAAGAUGCCAAAAAAUCUUAUGACCAUGUAAGUAAAAUUUUGAAAAUGGAAGUUGUCUUUAAAAGCAACAACCACUAUCUAUAAGUGUUAGAAGUGAGAGACAUUUUAUUCCAUACUCUCUUUAUGUACAACUUUACUAAUACUAAGUAUUGUGUCUUCAAGGUAUUUUUUAUUCAAUAAGUUAUGAUCCCACUCACCUUUAAUUGUGAAUUUUGAAGUUCUUUGAAGUCUUUCUUGUUGUAAGGAGUAGAUCUUAUGAUUUUUGCUGAUAUUAGGAUUUGGUAUCAUUUAACUUCAUUCUUACAUCUAAUUUUGUUCUUAUUUGUUGUUAAGUACAUUCAUGAUCUUGAAGGUUGUUAGAUUACUUAAAAUGAUGUUUUAGAAUACUAAUGUUGUAUUUCUUUGCUAAGUCAUAUCAUUUAUGAUCUAACAUUGUACUUUUAUGUGAUAAACUUUUCAAGAGAUCUACUUAUAAUCAUAAGAAGUAUUUUAUGAAGUUAGAAGUAUUUUAUGAAAGAAGAGAAAUGAUUGAAGAGUGGCAAAGAAUAUUCAAGAGGUUUAGAUAGAAUAUAAGACUUAUAAAGAUACUUAUAAGUAAAGUUGAAAAUGAUUAAAGAGUGAAAUCAUAAGUUUAUUUACAAAGAAGGCAUUCUGGGUUUCUAAAGCAAUAAUACAUUCUUAUUAAUUUUAAGAAUAUUGUCUUUUCUUUCUUUGGUUUUUUUUUUAUAAAUCCCUUUAUAACUCAUAAUAUUAAGUGAGAGAGAGAGUUUGAGAGUAAUUGAGAAUUUUAGAGGUGACAACUUCUACUAUUGGGAGAAGAAAAUGGAGCUUUUGUUGGCUUCAUUGGACUUAUCAAAUAUUAUCAAUAAAAGUGAAGAGCCUCCAAGACAUGAUGCUAAUGUCAAGAUGAAAAAAGAAUAUAAAUAUUGCAAAAAAGAGGCCUUUGAGAUGAUUGCAACAAAUCUUGAUGAUCUCAAUUUUUUUUCAUGUAAUUGCUUGUAAUAGACUUGUAGAAGCAUAGAAGAUUUUUUGUAAUAUAUAUGAAAGUAGAAACCUUACUAACAUUCUAUAGACAAAAAGAAAGUCCUUAAAGAUAAAGAUGGAAGAAGGAGAUGAUCUCAUGGCUCAUGUCAAUAAGGUAAAAGCACUUGUAAAAUGACUAACAAUUCUUGAUAAGCCAAUUGAUGAUAAUAAAUUGUGUUGACAUUGCUCAUGAGCCUUCUAAUUUUGUGAUGAAAUAUAGCUAAUAGGUAAAAGAGUAAAGAAAAUAUCAUACUUUAGAAGAUCUUAUUUCAUAAUAUUAUAAUAAAUUAUCUUAAAAAUAUAAAUAAUAAUCAAAAGAUAAUAAAACUAAAAAUAUAAAUACUACUAUUUAUAAAAUAGGCUUCUACUUAUUUUGUAGGACUAUAAAUAAAGUACAAUAAGAUAUAAUAAAAAAUUAAGAAUAUAGGCAUAUAUAUAUAUAUAUAAAGAAAUUAAUACUUGAUUAUAGAAAUUUCUUUAAGAAAAUAAGAUUUGAUAUUUAAAAAGAACCAAUUGUCAACUAGGAUCAAAAUUAGAUUCUUAAGUAUAAAAUCAUGUACCUACAAUGACUCUAGGAUUCUUUUAUAAAUUGAAGAAUGAGGUUUAGAAGAAGACUUAAUAAAGUUUUUUAAAGCAUUAUUUUCAAGAAAUUUGAGUUUGUAAUGACUUUGUAAGAACUUUACAAAUUUAAGAUUGUUUUAGAUGAUUUUAGAUCUUAUAAAAUAAAAUAGAAUUUAUAAUUUGAAAAGUUUCAUGAAUUUGGAAGCAAAUCUAUGGAUGAAAUUUUGUAGAAUUGUGAAUAUAAUUGUGUUGAAUUCAUGUUGUGAAUUUGAGCUUAAUUCGACGUUUGGAUUGGAGUUUAUUGAAGAUCAAGUGGAUUAGGGUCUUCAAAAUUAGAUUAUCAAGCCCAACAAGGUCAUCUAAGAUUUGCAACAAUCUACUAAUUGGAUUGAUGUGAUUUUUAUUAGAACUGAUAGUUGAUUUGACUUCUAAUACUAAUUCAAAAUUUGAGAGCAAGUUAAUAGUUCAACUAGGAGUUAUUGUUGCUAAAAGAUCAGCAUUAAGGUCAAAGAUGGAGGCCAGCCAACACUUUAGUAGAUUAUAACGUUUUUCUCUCAUUUUAUAAGUUUAAUUUUCUUCAAAUUUGAUGUGUUUGUUAUUAACUAAGAGAUUGAGAGGUAUAUAAAAUUAAGCAAGAUCAAAAAUUUAGUCAAUAGAUACUAAGGUUCUAAACUAUCUUAGGCUUAAUUUAAAUUGGUUAGAUUUUAGUUAGAAUUUAUUUAGGAUUUAAUUAAAAUUUAAUUUAAGAUUAGGAUUUAAUUAUAAUAUAAUUUAAGAUUUGAUUAGAAUUUGGUUUAGGAUUUAGAAUCUACUUACGGUUGAUUUAGGAUAUAGGAUCUAAUUAAGAUUUUUUUAGAAUUUUAUAAAGAUUCUUUAAGAUUCUUAUAGAUUUUUUUGAAAUUUCUUCAGGAUUUUUUUAAGGUUUUUAUGGAUUUCUUUUAAAUUUAUUUAUGAUUUCUUUAAAAAAAUUCUAGUAUUUCUUGAGUAUUUUUUUAUUAAUUAUUUAUGAUUUUUUAAAAUUUUCUUUAAGAUUUUUUUGUAUUUUUUUAUAAUUUCUUUAAAAUUUUAAUUAAAUUUGAUCAAUAUCCAUUUAUAAUUAUUAAAACUUAAUUAAAAUUUAUAUAUGAUUCUAUUAGAGUUAUCAAGAUUUUUUAUUGAAAAUAUUUUUUUUACCUUCUAUAGCCAAGGGCUUGGCAUAUUCUCAUGCAAGACUUCACGUAAAACAAUAGUGAAGUCUUAGAACUAUCUCAUUAUGGCAUUAGAAUCUUUCAACAUGAAAGAACUUACUAUGAAUUAUGUCAUGUAAAGACUUGUCCAUGAAGUGACUAAAAAGAAAGAAAAGAAGUUUUAAAGUGAUGUUUUGAUUCUAUUUUCAAGAUAAGGCAAAUAUAGCUAUUUUAACUAAAAAAAUAAUUUAGAAAUCAACAUAAAAAAUUACUAUAUUUAUAAAAAAUUAUGUCACUUUUCUAAAAAUUACUAUAUAGCUAAGAAUAGAGAUAGGAAGAAUACAAACAAUACUCGUGAUUAUUUUGAUAGAAAUGACUAUGCUUUCAUGGCAUGUGAAGGAGCCUCUAUGAUUUCCAUGUCUAAGUGGAUUAUAGAUUCAUGUACUACUAAGCACAUGACACCAUACAAGUAUUCAUCUAACACUAAUGAAGCAAUUUCAGAAAUAAAAGUUUGGUUGAAAGACAAGAACAUGGUACAAGCCAUUAGAUCUAGGUCCAUUUUGGUGGAGAUUGUUGUGAAGGACCAAAUCAAGAAGAUCAAAUUGAGAUAAAUCUUACAUGUGCCUAAAUAAAAAAGAAGUUCUUUUUGAUGAGAAAACUUGUAUCACAUGGUUAUAAGUUUCAAUUUGACAUGAAUGGAUAUUUUAUAAAGAUAUUAGAUAGACUAAAUAUUACCAAAGGCUUAAGAUAUAAAAAUCUCUACUUCAUCAACUAUAAAAAGGUGAAUGAAGUUGAAGUGGUAGCAUUUGCUAAUUUUUCACAAGAUCAAAAGAAGUUUGAAAUUUGGUAUCAAUGACUUAAUUAUUUGUAUGCCAAAAGCAUAAAGAAGCUCCAAUCCAUGAUAAAUGACUUGGAUCUUAGUCAACUCAGCUAUAAUACCCUGCCACUUGCUUCUAAAGGUUGUAUAUAAGACAAACAACAAAUGGCUUUAUUUUCAAGUCGAGUUGCAACAUGUGCAAGCAAAUUAUUAGAGAUUAUAUAUUUUAAUAUUUUUAGACCAAUAAAGACACGAUCAAUUAAAGAAAUAAGAUAUUUUGUCAUAUUUAUUGAUGAUUUUUUAAGAAAGGUGUAGAUUUACAUCUUUUGAAGCCAAAAGUAAGUGAUUUUAAGGUUUAAGGAGUUUAAGACUCUUGUAAAAAAAUAAUGUGAGUGCAAGCUCAAAGUGUUAUGUACUGACAAUGGAGGUGAGUACAUAUCAAAGAUUCAAUUGUUUGAUAUGUUUGAAGAUUCAAUUGUUUGAAAGAUAGAAAACAACUUGAUGCAUAAUAGAUGAACCACAUCUUUCCUUAAGUAAAUAAAAAAGAUACCAAUAUUGUAUUUUUUAGUGAUUUAUUGAAUUUGUGUGAUGCUAAGAAAUCCAUGGAUGCUAUGAAGUAGGAUAAUGCUAUAAAAGAAGAAUAUAAAUCACUCAUAGACAAUGGAAUACAAGAAUUGACUCAACUUCUACCAAAUUGAUCUUCAAUUAGUUGUAAGUAGGUGUUUAGAAUGAAGAAAGAUGCAAUGGAUAAUAUUAUGAGAUGCAAAUCUAAAUUAAUUAUCAAAGAAUAUUUACAAGCUAUUAGUAUUGAUUUCAAUGAAACAUUUGUUUCCAUGGCAAAAUUCAAUACUAUUAGAAUCAUUGUGAUAAUUGGAGCAGCUGUAGACUUUGAAAUCCAUCAAAUGGAUGUAAAAAUUACUUUCUUGAAUGAAAAUCUAAAAGAAGACAUCUACAUGGAUCAACCUCAAGGAUUUAUAAAAGGUAAACAACAUCUUAUUUAUAAGUUGAAAGAAUCCUUGUAUGAACUCAAGCAAUCUCCUAGAGCAUGAUAUCAAUGCAUUGAUACAUUCUUUGUAAUUGAAGGAUUUAAAAGAAGUGAAUUUGAUCAUUCUUUACAUAUAAUACAAUCAAAUGAACUUAUAUUGAUUGUAAUCUUUUAUAUUGAUGAUUUGAUUAUCUUAAGUAAUAUCUUAAAGAUGAUGGAUUAGUUGAAGGUAAAGUUUAAAAAAAAAAAUAUGAGAUGAAUGAUUUUAAAGAGCUUCAUUAUUAUUUAGGAAUGGAAUUUGUGAGAGAUCGUACCAAGAAGACCAUUAUAAUGAGUCAAAGCAAGUAUAUUGAAGAGGUAUUGAAAUAAUUCAACAUGGAAGUGUGUAAACCUAUGAAUAUAUCUUUUGAGGUCAGUUUGAAGUUGAUGAAGCUUAUAAAUGAAGACUUUGUUGAAGUUAAAGGUCAAAUAUAAGAUGUUCUAUACAAAGUAGCAAUGGACUCAUUUAUGUAUAUAAUGGCUGGUAUAAGGGUGGAUCUUGUAUAUGUGAUGAAUAUUAUAAGCCAAUACAUGUCAAAGGCUAGACUAAUCCAUUGAGCAACCAUCAAAAGGAUCAUGAAAUACUUAAAAGAUACUUUGCAUUUCAAAUUGCGUCAUGGAAGUGAUAACAUUACUUUAUGUGGUUAUUAUAAUGAGGAUUGGAUUGGAAAUAAAAAUAAUAGAAAAUCAACAAUAGGAUAUGUAUUUUUUAUUGGAGUAGAGGCUAUUUCAUAGAAUUGUGAGAGACAACUAACAAUUGCAAAAUCAACAAUAGAGGAAGAGUAUAUAAUAACAAACCAUGGUACAAAAGAAAUAAUAUGGCUACGACAACUUUUGGAGGACAUUGGAGUGGUACAAAUGGAAGUAAUUCCAAUGAAUUGUGACAAUCAAAGAUGUCUUGUUUUUGCAAAGAAUCCAAAGCAUCAUUCAAAGACCAAGUACAUUAACAUUUAACAUUAUUUUAUAAGAGAGAAGAUUGAAAUAAGAGUGAUUGAUAUAAAGUAUUAUGCAACAAAAGACAUACUAGUUGAUUUGUUGACAAAGGCAUUAAUAAAAGAUAGAUAUUACAUUUUAACAAAGACAUUAGGAUUGAAACCAUUGUUUAAUAGCAAAAUGAGAGUAUUAAAGUAAAUAAAUAAAAAUUAAAGUAAAAUAAAUUAUUUUGUAGAUGAUAUUAUCUUAAAUAAGUUGUUAAUGGUCAAAGAAUUGACUUUUGGUAUAUGGAAAGAGCAUCCUAUGGAUAUAAGACGAUGUCAAGGACUAAGAGUCAAAGUCAAGAAGAUAAAGAAUUAACUGGAAAAUAUCCAAAGACUAGAUAAGAAUAAUUAAUAUUUAACUUAAGAUCCAUUGUGGUUUGUGAGAUGCCAAAGGAUCCUAGUCCAUGUGUGUAAAAGUCCAAGAAUAGAAGUUGUCUAUUAAGGCAGCAACCACCACUUAUAAGUAUUAAGUAUUAGAAAUGAGAGACAUUUUACUCCAUUUGCUCUUUGUGUGUAACCUUGCUGAUGCCAAGUGUUGUAUCUUCAAAGUCUUUUUAUUCAAAACAUACCAUGAUCUAAAUACUUGCCAUAAACUAUAGUAAGUUUUUUUAAGUCUGUACUCUAGAUGUCCUUUGCUUGAAACUAAAAAGCCUUUAGAUUGUUUGAAGUAAACUUUUCUCAAAGAUAAUAUCCAAUAAAACUCCCUACCACUUGUCCUUUCCAAAUACCAAAAUAGUGUUAUUUUGUCUAAGAAACUGCCCUACUAACACCAAGUUAGGAACAUAAUAAAUGUUAUGCAAUUUAUUGAUGUUUGAAUUAUGCAGCAGAAUUACUUCAUCAUGCACUUUCAAAGAGUGAGUACGUCCGUCGGCAGUAUCCACAUUGACUUGUUGCUAGGGACUUUCUAAAAUGAACAGAUCAAGAUCUCCCAAAAAAUGCUUCAAGGCUUUGGCGCAACCUUGUCAAUGACCCAAUCCUUCUUUGAAAUUGAAGCUAGCAAAAGAACAUUCAAUGCAUUCUAGAUCUCUUCUAGGGUAGGAUCAUAGGACUCACCAGGGUAAUCUUUGAUGAGGUUUGCUUGUGUUCUCAGCCUGCUCCCCCCCGUGAUCGGAAUCGGAGCUGGUGCCAGGCAGUAGCGAGCCAGGUGUUCGAUUUUGUGACACAUGUGACACUCCACCUCCUUAGACCUUCUUUGUUAAUUAUAAUGAUCAAACUGUCGAGGGCCAAAAGCUAAAUUGUGACGAUGGCGGCCACAAAUUGCAUUUCUGAUCCAAAAAAUAAAGGCUUCUUCAUGAGGAUCCGAUUGAAGUUUUAUCUCCGUUACUUCCAUCUGUAGGCGGACAGACAGCUUUGCUAGGGUGGGUGGUGUUUGUUCGUUGCGAAUGAUCCGCACCAGCGUCUCGAACUUGGGCGGUAGGAUUUUAAGGAUUUUGUAAAUAAUGAUUAGGUCGGAGGGAAGCUCAUUAGCUUCUCUGAGAUUGUUGAUGAUCUCAUGAACAAUCUGCAUGACGCUCGCUACAGUCAUGUUAUCGGGCAUUCGCAGGUUUUUCCACCUAUCCAGAGUAGUCAUCACGUCUGCUAUUGUUUGGUUAAAAUACAAAUCUCACAAGAUCUGCUAGGCUUCAGUUGGAUCUGAGAUCCGUGCUACACAAAGCUUUACUAUAUCAGUAAGAGAGUGGCACAAAAAUCCCAUUGCUUUUGUUUUCCAUCUACGAGUCUUUUCCUUGUCAAAAAACUCAGAACGAGGUGUCCUCAUGGAGCUUAUCUAUUCACUGCUGUUUCUAUCCGAAACUUGGCUAGUCUCUGUUAUGUCGGGGGUUUCUCCAUGCACAGUGUUUGAUUGCUGAGGAGCUACCACAUACCAAAGAUCCUCUCUUUCUAACACAAUUUGGAUAGAUUUUUACUAUGUUGUGUGAUUCGCUGGACCUGCUAAAAUCUUGUUCGCAGCCACGAUUGAGUCCAUCAUUCACUCGUGGCACGUCUGGACUGAAGACUCAAGUCUCUAAAACUAUUCUGUUCAGAAUCCCGGUCACUACCCUACUCUCUCAAUCUGGCUCUGAUACCAUAAAGUGCACAAAAUAACUCAAGUAUCUCGCGGUAAUGCGCAUAAAAUAACUGGUGAAUCUCAUACUCACAGUGUCAACCAGGCCAAUGCAGGCCCAACAAAACGAUUUGAUUAAUCUACUCAAACAGUAAUAAAAGUACAUGGUCUUCCUACGUUCCCUACAGUGAGAACGUGGAUGGAUGCACGAGGAUGUGGAACAGAAGUGGGUGAUCUUCAACAUAUAUUCGGUACAAAGAUUGCAGACGUUGGCCACAUAUCGGCAGUUGACUCAAGAGCGCCAUGCCUGAUCCUUUUCAAAAUAAGCAUCCAGUACACUCACAUGAAAAAUUUCCCACAAUUGAUAAUUUCAGAGCAAGGGUGGCAUCCCACAACAUUCCACGUCAACUGAACAAAACUUAGUAAACAUUCAGCUCAUCGCAGGGAGACUCAGCUCGCCAAAAAAAAAAAAAAAAAAAAAAAAAAAAAAACUCAUGAUUGGCAUAUUCAUCCAACAGCACCAGCCGAAGCAGAGACCGGAGCACGUGCUUCACCAUACGAACAGUGAAUCGAUCUUCGUCGCUACAUCCGACACCACAAUGAGCACAUCAUAGAUAUGGGUAAUUAAUUAGGUGUUCUCUUCCAACGCAACAAUAACUGAUGCAGUGAUUUGAGCAAGAAAUGUUGACCGACAAUGGAUAGCAACAUUGCAGCUCCGAUGCGAUGUAUGCAGGACAGCGCAGCCUCGAACAAGAAGCAAUCAAGAUUACCUGGAUCGUGCACAUAAUGUACACUUCCGGAAACAAGCAUGCGCACACACAUUCGCCAUAGCCUGAACUUUUCGCAGCGCCUCCAGCAUACGCGAGAGUGGUGUGCUCCUUGGAGGACGUGUCUGUGCACGAGCUUGCUUCUCACCGUCGCAGGGGUCGUGGGUUUUGGAGCUUCUUUGGACGCCUCCCCAGCUUUGAAGCUGCUUUCAGCCUGUGGAGUCGCCACCUUCGGCUGUGGUCGUGGCAGCAGGUUCGUUGGAAAAGCAACCCGUUCUUGUCGUGAUUGGAUUGGAGAGAGCCCGCGGUGAGGGUGAUUGCGCGCUGGAUCGGAGAUGGGUUUGUCGAGAAGUUGGGUGAUGGCGUCGGAAGUCGGUGGACUGGAUUCCUUUGCCUAUCUGUCCGUAGCUCCAGGUUUCCGUAGAGCGGGCGUAGAAAUUGGGGGUGGGAGGUUUGCAGGGUCUGGGUGGUUGUGUGGUUCGGAUUGUGGAGAUUCGGGGGGGAUUGUCUGAUCCCUAACCAAUUUUGAGGUGGUACGAGUGACGUUGAGCGCACAGAUGGGGAUAGCUGUUAGGUUAAGCGGUAGAAGUGGAGCGAAAGGUGCACUGCCGGAUUGCGGUGCGGAUCUGGCACGAUUCGUCGUUUUGCUCGAUUGUGUGCGGGACGCGCCGUUAUGGCAAUAGCGUGGUGAGGCUUAGGUCGCGGAUCUGUGCACGGUGGGUUGGGAAGCGGAGAUUGUGCGAUGGUCGAUACAGGCACGGCUCUGUUUCAGGUGGAGUGUCGGCGGUGGGCAGGAGAGUGGUGGAGUCCCGGUUUGGCACUCUCAAUUGACGGGCCACGAGGAAUGCAAUGUUGGUGAGGUCGUAGCGGUAAUGCGUAUGCGGUGGCUUUGCGUCGAUGAGGAGGUUGAGAUUGGUAGAAUUUCCCAGUUGCGUCCGGGUUGCGAGGUUGCAGAUAGGCGACAGCAGCAGCGAGUGGGGCAGGAGGUUGGGAGCGAUGUGCGACACUGACGGGGUAUGCGUGUGGCAUUUGCAGGGGGUAGAGUUCGGUGGUGGCGGCGACCGGGCCGGUGGUUGUCGGCGCUUGGUACUUCCACUGGCCGAGCUGGUGGAGCUGCGGAGGCACGCUUGACAUGGUGAGGGACGGCGUGUGGAGGUGCAAGGGUCAGUGGGAGACCUAAGCGCCCAGCCGAUCCACGGGUGUGACGGAUUUGUCUGGGCUGGGGUGCGCGAGGGUGGGUUGUUGGCAUUGGUUCGGCGAGACGGGCGUGGGCGGCGUUGGAAGGGGAGAGAACGGAGCGCAGGUGGAUCGCGAGUGUGAGUGAUGGCGGAGAGGAACGGCAGCCCUCUGCUGGGGCGGCAGAGAAGCGUGGGCAUGCCUCCUCCGCGAUCCGGGCAGGGGGCGGGGUCGGGGUCGGGUUCGAUCAACUCCGUGAAGAAGAGCCAGAAUUACGCGGCCAAGGCCGCGGCAGCGCGGCUGGCGCAGGUGAUGCAGGCGAAUCGCGAUUCCAUAGACGACGAGGAGGAGGACAUGGACAUUCCCCGUUACAGUCCUUACAUCCCGAGCGCGAGGGAUUCUUCGAGGGAUCAGUCUCCUCACUUGGCUCCCAGGGGGCGGUAUGACAGCAGUCCUGCGACUCUGGGGAGCACGUUGCGGCCGUCUGCGAACCCCCGGGGUGCGCUGCGGCCGACGACUCUGGUCGCUGCACAGCAGGCUGCAGUGCAGCGACCGCGGCCGGUGCUGCCCCCGGCUGCGGCGAGGUCGACGUCUCCGACGCCCGAGCCGCUGGUGGAUCGCGCGCGGAGGUUCUCGUCCGAUUCGCUGCCUUCGUCGUCUGGGAGCGGGCGCGAUUCGUCGGGACCGAAUUCGAGGAGAGAAACGGCCGCUCUGCGCGACGAGAUUGACAUGCUGCAGGAGGAGAACGAGACGCUGCAGGACAAGCUGCGGAUGGUGGAGGAGAGGUUGGCGGAGAGGGAGCUGCGGUCGCGGGAGCUGGAGAAGCAGGUGACCGCGCUGGGAGAGGGGAUCUCGCUGGACUCGCGCAUUCUGAACAGGAAGGAGCAGUUUCUGAAGCAGCGCGAGGCCGCCCUGAAGGCCGCGAAGGAGCAGAGCAAGGAUGUGAAGGACGAUGAGAUCGCGGCGCUGCGGGAAGAGGCGGAGAUGGCGAGGGAGGAGGCGGUGGCGGCAUCGGAAGCGGCUCGGGAGGUGGAAAUCGAAGUGAAGGCGCUGCGGACGAUGACGCAUCGGAUGAUUUUGACGCAGGAGGAGAUGGAGGAGGUGGUGCUGAAGCGAUGCUGGCUGGCGCGGUACUGGGAUUUGGCGGCGAAGCAGGGGAUACACCCAGAGAUCGCGUCGGGGAAGUCGGACUUCUGGUCGUCGCUGGCGCCGCUGCCGCUGGAGGUGGUGCUGUCGGCGGGGCAGCGCGCGAAGGAGGAGCCGAGAGGCGGGAGCCGACAGAGCGCGGCAGCGAAUGCGACGAAGGGGAGGACGCGGGACGUGAACGACAUCACCGGGGAGGGCAACAUCGAGAGCAUGCUGGCGGUGGAGAAAGGGCUGAGGGAGCUGGCGGCUCUGAAGGUGGAGGACGCGGUGAUGCUGGCGCUGGCCCGUCACCGGCAGAAGGCGGACGCGCGGCAGUCGAUGGACGGGCUGAAGGGGCCGGACGCAUUCGAGCUGAGCCCGGCGGAGGUGGAGGAGGUGCAGUUCAAGCAGGCGUGGUUGGUGUACUUCUGGAGGCGCGCGAAGACGAACGGCGUGGAGGCGGACUACGCGGACGAGUGCAUACAGCUGUGGAUCAGCCGGGCGAUGAUGCAGCCGACGGUGCGCGACCUGGUGGACGUGGAGCGCGGCUUGAUGGAGCUUCAGAAGCUGGGGGUAGAGGAGCAGCUGUGGAACGUAUCGCGGAGGGAGAUAGCGAACGAGGCCGCGAACCAGAAGGUGGAUGUGCUGGAGGCGCUGCAAGCGCCGAGCAGCUUGCAGAGGGUGACGAGCGCGCCCACUCUGCAGUAGGGGGGGGGGGGGGGGCAACGUGGAAUUUUUUAGGCCCACGUUGGCGCGAUAGUUUAGGACGGGGGCACACACGGAAGAGGAGCCCACAGUGAGGGGAGCGGGAGAGAGCCCGGACAUGAGCGGCAGAUUGUUGAGUUGAGGGAGGUAGGGCGGCGGAACGGGGCAGAAAUUCGCAGGGCCGUUUGCAGUGGCAGUUGCGGUGGGCGGCGGUGCAGGGAGGAGGGUGGUGCGAACGGGAGCGUCGGAGUCGUGAUGAAUGCGUGAAGUGGAGCAUGAGCGUGGCGGGAUGACAAUGCCAGGGCUUUUGGGGUGGGACUGGACGCGAGUGCAGUGGAGAGGAGGAGUUUGCGGGAUGGUGGGGUUGGAGGAGGGCGGAUAGUGAGGAGCAGUGCUACUUGGAGGGGGGGGUGUUGGAAGCAAUGCAAACACGGGAGGCUUGACGGCGUGGGUGAGAUGUUUAGAUCUCGGCCUUGAAUGGUGCGGGAAAGGACAGUGGAGUGGAGGUGUGGUUUGUGGAGGUGGCGGAGGUGGAGCAGUUGGUGAUAUGGGAGGAGUUCUGGUAGGUGGCAGCACAAAGUUUGUAAAGUGAAGGGCCGGCGGUGUGAAGGUAGUUGAGUGGUGGUAAGGUUACAGCAUUGGAGCGGAGGAACCAUCGUGAGCGCUCGACAUGUUAGAAGGGGGUGUCACUUGCUGGAGGUACGCAAUUGGCGUCGGGGGUGGAGUCCCGUGAGUUCGUUGUCCAGUUAUUUCGACCCCUUGGCAGGCUGGACUCAGGACGCUGGGUAUGACGCAGUGAACGGUGGAGUGGUUUAGGGACAUUCUGAACAAUGACGUGGUGCUGCGUAGUGUAGCGUAAACGCGAAGGCAUGAUAGUGAUGGCAGCCGUUGACGCCGUGGGUGCUGUAUUUGAAAGAAUCAAUUUCAACAGGCGGAGGUUUAGCUUGGAAGUGUAGGGAACUUGUGCAAAUGCGACGACUAAUGAGCUUAGAGAUGGAUGAUGCAGGAUUUGUUUGCAGUCCUUCAUAGGGAUGUUUUUACUCUGCUUUUUUCUCUCAACGCAGUUUCUCGAGAAGUGUGGAAUGAGAUGUUGAAAAGGUAGGAAUUCUAAUUCUUACAAUUUUGGUGAUAGGUUGUUUGUACCAUGGGUUUGGCCUUUUGGGGAAUGGCUUAUUUACCCUUUCUGCUCCUCACCAGGGGCGCUUAUCGGUGUUUGUCCUGCAGUCCGCAGGAUUUGCCACAUGGAGCUGUGACUGGAAAGGCGGUUCAGUUUAAGGAUGGUGCUUUCAAUCCAGGACAUACAAUUUCAUUAAAAUUCUUUCAUUGACGUACAUGCGCUGCAAUAUUUCCGUUACAGGUUUCGCGGCAUCGUCGUUUUAAUGUCGCUAUUGUCUGCUAUCCAGCUGCUCAUGUCGUCCGUAAAGGUGGCUUCUGAUUUUAUAGGUUAAAUUAGUGUGCGUGGCAUUUGUUACUGCCAGAGUCUUGCCUUGUCACAACGGAAAUGCGAAAUACACCGGUCGCGAACACGCAUAUUUCCCCUUCUAGCGGCGUUUCUGUUUUGGACUCUUGAGUAAUGCACAUCCAAUUUCACUGCGCCUGAAAUCUGUGCUGUGAAAUGGCAAGCACGUUUGAUGGAACCUUGCACAGGUUCAUCCUGGAUGCGUCAUUCUGAGAAAAUGAAUGUGCACUGUGCAAAUACUCUCUAACGAUUUUAAUAAUUUGAAGACGAACCAAUGUGCUUAAAACAUGCUCUUCCGAAAUACCUUUGCAUAACUAUUGAAGUAGCAUAUUUAGAGAAGUUUUAAAAACUACCCCCUUAUUCUUAGGGCUGGAAAUCAUUUUAAUACUACCAUGAGGAUAUUUUUUCAUGGUUGUGGUGUGCGUGCUUAACAUUUAUGUCCGAAUUUCCACAGUGACACUAAUGUUCUGAAACGAAUUACGUUCAAACUUAUGAGUUUUCGAUUGGUUUUUGUAAUUCAAGGGCACUACAUGGAGAGGUUUAUUUUAGUAUAAUUAAGUUUGGAUGACUAUUUAAAGUCUUCUGAAUCCAUGAUAGCGUCAUGCAUUUUCUGAGUCCCAAAAUUUAUCUCUAAUUUCAGUCAGGAGGCCUACUCCUUUUACUCGAAUGGUAACCGUGAAUUUGCUGGUCGAGCUUUUACAUCAAUCUUUUCGACAGCGUGGAACUCGCUUUUGAUUACCUCUUCUGGGGUUGUUCUGGCGUUGUAAGCCUUUGGUGUAAGUUGUUGGGGAGGGGGGUUGCGAAUUUCGUUACCAACCCUUCGAUGCGAUGUUCGAAUUCUCCGAUAUCGUCGAUGUCGUGCUGUAUGCUUUGUAUGUGAUAGGCGGUGGUUUCGAGACGGUGACGUAUGUUGCAUCCCAUUAGAGGGUAAGCAGAUCGGGCACGAACUCUUUGCCUGUACUAAGCCACGGAUGUCGUUCUUAGUGGGAGUGUUUGUGGUUUGCAAUUGCGCUGCAGAGGAAUGGAGUGGGGUUUCCAUUGGUGUUUUAUUUAUUUAUUUUUAUUUUAUUUUAUUUUUUUUGUAUUUGUAGGCCUGGGUUGUGUGCGUGCGCCUCCGAUGCAGGGGUCGGUUGAGUUUGUGUGGAUCUGACAGCGUCCUGGUGUUGCCUCAUCACAUUCCUCAAUCUCGACGAGGCACGGCUAAUUUGAACUGAAUUGUUGUGUUCCGUGUCCGCAAGUGUUUUUAGCACGCAGAUUUACGUGAUGGAGCUAUGGAGCAGCCAUAGCGAAGGAUGAAUCAGGGUGUAGGAUAGAGUGGGAAUUGAGCUAAGAAUUGGAGGAAUUUUGCACGUAAAGGCUGAUAGGGCGGGGUUGGAGCGACCGGAAAAAUGAGGAUUUUGACGGAGCAGAGCAUGGUGAUGGCAGUGCGACUAGGAGCGGAGGUGAAGGACAUGAUCGAGCUCUCCGUGGUCCCGGUGAUGAAGGUGCUGACGAUGUGCGCAUUGGGGACGCUGCUGGCGCAACCCAAGAUAAAUAUCAUCACUCCUGCUGCGACGAGGCUGCUGAGCAAGCUGGUGUUUGCUCUGUUCCUGCCGUGCCUGAUCUUCACGGAGCUCGGGGGGUUAAUGACAUUUUCUAACCUGGCGCAUUGGUGGUUCAUUCCGGUGAACGUGUUGUUGAGUUACUUCAUAGGUUGCAUAGCUGGGGUGAUAGUGGCUUUAGUGUGUAAGCCACCAGCGCGGUUUUUCAGAUUUACGGUGGUGAUGACGGGGAUCGGGAACGCGGGCAACCUUCCUCUCGCGAUCGUCGGGUCGAUAUGCCACGGGCAGUCUCAUCCUUUUGGCAAGAGGUAUGUAUCCUGGGAUUUUUGCUUUUUGCUGGAGGGAUUCAAGCCGGGACGCAUUCUCUUUGGGUUUGUGCUUAUAUUUCUCGGGAUUGGGGGUGUAGGUCUCUGUUGAUAUAUGUUUGUAGGGACUAUCGAUAUACAGGUGCAAUCAGUCAGGAGUGGCGUACGUAGCCUUCUCGCAGUGGGUCGCAGUGAUCGUGAUUUACACGUUUGUGUAUCACAUGCUGGAACCACCUAUGGAUUACUACGAGCUGGUCUCAGAAGAAGCAGAGUCGGAUGCAUCGGUGAAAGGGGUUGAUGCGGCAGUGGCAUCUAGGGAGGCGGGCGAGUCGAUGCCUUCGGUGAUAUCUGCCGAGUGGCCGGACGUGAGGGAUGCAGCGACGGAAGACUCGCGGACGCCUUUGCUGGCACGUUUCUUUCGGAACCUUUCAGUAUCAUCUCAGACCUCAACAGGUGAGGAAUACUCGAGGGCACAGGGCGUGGAUAGUGAAGCAUGAAAUUACUAUUCUCUAAGUCCGUGGAGACGUGGAAAUACUUACCAAUGGGUGCCAUGCAGGCGGAGGUUUAGCUUUGGAUGUGGUGGGAAUGCAGAGAGAAUAUACCCAUUAGAGGUCUGUUAUCCAAGUUACUCUGCGAUAGCUGGAGUAGGGAUGCGGGUUUUAACUAUUUUGUGACAUGACAUUCAUAGGUCUUCCGAGUCUUCCUACUGUAGUAGUGGUAUUGCGGGUGGAGUGAUGGAUUGUUAAUGGACUGGUCCCGAUUCCAUGUUCCUGAGUUUGGGGGGAAUUGCUUGGUGGCAUUGCAGUGGAAGGAGAUAGUCCGAGAGCAAUAAUUCGUUGCCUUGCGGAGCCUCGCAUGGUGAGAAAGAUCCGCGUGGUUGCGGAGAAGACUCCGAUCCAACACUUGAUGCAGCCCCCAAUUAUAGCCUCGGUGAUGGCCAUUUUGGUGGGGAUGUUUCCCAGCACGAAUGCUCUGUUGUUCGGAGACGACGCGGUGCUCGGGUGGUUCACUGACAGUUUGACCAUACUGGGUGCGGCCCUGGUGCCGUGCGUGAUGUUGGUGCUGGGCGGGACCUUGUCAGUAGGACCGGGAAGUUCCGAGCUUGGUUUGAGGACUACAAUCGGUAUCACAGUCACUAGGCUAGUGCUGUUGCCUCCUAUUGGUAUCGGAGUGGUUCUGUUUGGGUGCAAGCUAGGCGUGGUUCCACAAGGUGACAAGAUGUUCAUGUUUGUGCUUCUGCUGCAACAUACGAUGCCAACAGCCAUCCUGUCUGGAGCGAUGACGAGCAUGCGCGGGUACGGCGAGCGGGAGGCUUCGGCACUUCUGUUCUGGCAGCACAUAUCUUCGGUGGUGACGAUUGCCGUGUACAUAGUGAUUUACCUGAAGAUCGUAAGCUACCUUUAAUUGGUUUGAAGAAGAAAUAGGUGGCACUGGCACGGUGACGCCGCGGAGGCUGUGGCCGACACGAUUGCAGCGGUUGCGUUUGUGCGGUGGGAGUUGAAAAGCAAUAUCAUGUCGCAGGGAAUACGCUUACCUCUUCGAAUUGGGGGCGUUUUCAAUGAGAUUGCUUUUAUAUGGCGAAUCGCGUGGAAUAAUUGCUGCCUGGAAUAGUACGACGUCCAGGCUGUUCGAGCAACCAGCGCUGCUGGUGAUGAGCUGGAGGGUCGCAACCGGCCAAUAUGUUGCUGGGUUGAAGACAUUCAUGUGCAGUACAUUUGUCGAGAUUGAGUUUGCAACAGUUGUAGUAAUAACAUUCCAAUUCCCCCAGCAGGAUGCACGGAUAGAAAGUUAAACGCAUAUUUAUUCAUGAAUAGUACCUCAAAGGAGUUUUUUUUUUUCUUUUCCAUCAUUUUGUUGCUGCACCGAGGCUUUGUACAUCUUUCUCCUUCACAUUCGUCAUAAAAUUGCGGACGUUGAUGUUGCCACUGCAAUACGGUGCAUGCCUGGCAUGAUCUAGUAAUACACAUCCUUUCUCCACAUAAGUACUCUGCACUACGUUUUGUUCCUUACACAUUCUCAAUGAGACAAAAGCUUGAUGGGAGGACUCUUGCAACAAGACAAUAAGUCACUGAAAUGAAACAAAGCAUGUUGCAAGUGUGUUGGAGAGAAAUAUUUAAAUCAUCUACCUUCUUUUCCUGAUGUCAUAUUUUCAUUCAACUGUGAUAUUCCACACAAAAUUUUUUAGAAUCUAUUUGCAAACCAUUAUUUAAGAUGAAGUAUUACAAAAUUCUAUGUGUAGUGGAUAAAAGAUACAUUAUUCUAUUGUGGUGUAUAAUUUUGCAAUAUUUUUUGUUUUUGUAAUACAAGACAAAGCUAUUGUUCACAUUCUUCUAUAUUCUUGGAAUAGAUAAAAAUAUCAUCUAAAUAAAAUAAGACAAAUUUAUCUGAAAAUUUACAAAAAACAUCAUUCAUCAAAUAUUAGAAAGUUGGUAGAGCAUUUAUAAGUCCAAAAAAUAUGACAUUAUAUUCAAAUGCCCAUAUAAUGUUUGAAAUGUAAUUCUUCACUUAUUCCCUUUUUUAAAAUAUGUAUUAAAUUGUAAGAUUCUUAUAGACCUAUCUUAGUAUAGAUUUUAGCUUCACUCAAUUGAUGAAGAAAAUUCAAAAUCAAAAGUAAAGAAUAAUAAUUUUAAAUGGUUAAUUAUUUAAGUCUACAAUAAUCUAUACAUAUGUAUAAGGAUCCACCUUUUUUUUUCAUAAAGAAGACCAAUAUACAUUUUUGUAAAUUUGAAUGUGAAAUAAAGUUCUUUGUAAAAUCAUUUUAAAAUGGUUUUUUUAGGUGCCUUUUGACAUCAUAUUUAUUUACAUACUUAAUCAAUGAUUCUACUAUUCAAAAUCUUAUUUGAAGAAUCUAAUUAUGAAAAGGCUAACAUAAUCAAUCUAUCUUGUAAUAUAUAGAUGCUACUUAAUGCAACAUAAAAGUUGAGUCAUUAUUAAUUGACAAUCUCGUUGCUCUUUAUGAAAUUUUUGUAUAGAUUGUAGAUUCAAAAUAUAUUUCUAGACACUAGAUUCAUAUUGCAUUAACAAGAUUAAAUGUACUUAAUAGUUUGCUCUUUAUACUAGUCUUAGGCAUAAGAAAAAACUUGUCUAAAGAUUUGUCACAUUUUUUCUACUAGCAAUCAAUUUUCUACAAGUAGAUUAUUGCUUUAUAAAAAAAUCAAAGAUUUACACAUAAGAAAAUCCUUUCUUAUUAAUAAAUAAUUUUUUUAAACCAAUCAACUUUUAUUGCUAUUUGUAAAUUUAUCUUUAUAUUAAUAAUUUUUAUUAUUUUUAAAAAUCUAAAAUUUUCUUGAAUUUUUUUUUAUAAAUAAGAAACAUAUACUCUAGUAGCAUCCAUGAGGUGUAAUCCAUGUAUUUUUAUAAAAUACCAAAAAGGAGAUUAUAUCUUAUUAAGUUCUAAGUAGUAAAUAUCACUUUGUUUGAAAAUAGAUCUAACUUGCAUAUUAUCCUCAAUACUCAAAUUUGAAAAUGUUAUUGUAGUAUUAGUUAGAAGUUUUUUAGCUUAAAUUUUUAUACUAAAAUUAAAAUUAAAAGAUUAAAAUAUAAUAUGCAAGCUUGAUAUUAAUGUUCCAUAUACUUAAGGCUUUAAAAAAAAGUCAAGACAUAGUCUUAUAUUAAACUUUAUAUCAAUUUGAAUUUCUACUUCUAAAUUUUUUUCAUUUCAAAAAUAUAAAAAAUCUUUAAUUUUACUUGAUAGUAAUUAAAAGCAAUCCCCUCUAUACAAACUGAUUUUUUAAAGCUUGUACAAAGAUAACUCAUAUGGAUCUUUAUGAAUUAAAAGACACUUGGAACUUUGGAUCUUUGGCUAUUGUCCCAUUUGAAGUAAGAUUAAUAUAUUCAAAUCACUUAAUAUAUUUGUUUCAUACUUGCAAUUUCUUCCAAAAAUGGUUCCAAACUUUAGAAUUUUAGAAGAUUCUCUAAAACUAAGAAAAAAAAAUCUUUUUUUUACAAACUUAGAGUUUUAGGUUCAUGUGUCAUUCUCCCUAUUUGAUUUUAUUAUAGACCUAGAUAUUUAUGUGCUAUUUACUUUGAUGGUUUAAAUGAGUUACAAGGAUGUAUUUUUUUUUGUUGAGUUUUAAAAAAGUUAAACUUAUGUCUCUAUCUAAAUGUGACAGUAAUAGGAACCAUUAUUUCAUCAUAGAUGGAAUCAAACAAAGAUAGUAAUUCUUACUAUAAUAUUAUUCAAAAUAGCUAUAAUUGUUUGAAUUAUGAAACAAAGUGUAUUUCUUAUGCCACAUUCAUGUCGAAAUAUUUCUAGCCAAAUUAUUCUACUAAUUUAAUGCCUUUCUUAAAGAUUAAUCUUUUAUGUUUUAGCUUGCUAAAGACGCACUUCUUCUAUCACUUUAUCAAAACAAGACAAAAACUCCUUGCUUCAUUACUAGACUAUGCCAUCAUUAUAAAUACUUGCAAAAGACAUCCCCUUCUUCAACUUCUAUUGUAAAACAUAUAUAAUAGACAUCCUAUCUUUAAGUUAACAUUUGGUUCUUCAAGAAAAAUCUUUAAAUAAUGAGAAUUAAACACAAUGGUAAAAUCUCUCACCAUGUUAAAUGUCUGAGAUAUAAAUUUUGUAUAUAGAAGAUCAUUAAUGUAGGAAUACUUUAUACCAUGUCAAGAUCUUGAACCUACUCGUACACCUUGUCAGAAACCACUCUUAUGCAAACCCAAAACCGCUGUAAAGAAUGUAGGAGGAUUUCAAGUGGAUUCCAAGUCCACCAAUGAUCGGUAAGCUUCACAACAAUGAAGGCAGUGUUUUCAUGUGAUGAAAGUGGUGGUUUAACCUAUUCUUAUGGAUGGUUUUUCUCAAGUCUAUGACUCGGUUCAUGGAUGAAAUGCAAAAACUGCUUUAAUAAUUUUUAUCAAUUCAACCACUCAAUUUCUGCAGCCCGUCAGAACCUUAUUUCUCCACUCAAAACAACUUUUUUCCAAACCCCCCCGAGAUAGCUGAAAAACCUUAAGGGUUCAAGGUAUUCUGACAUUAUUGAUUACACCUAAAACAAAGUAUAAAAUUCUUCUGGUAAAAAUGUCAAUUUUGAAGCAUUAGUCAAAACCUAGAGUGCAAAAUGGGUCUUUUGCAUUGGAACUACUGAAAACAUCACUUGGUAUAAAAUAAUUGUAACAAGUAGUCCACUUUGUUCCAAAAUCUUUCUUAAUGCCGACACUUACCCAUGGUUGUAACAAAAACAACACCCCUUCUUCUAGGCCGUGAAACCAGACAAAAAUAAAAUAAAAUAAAAUAAAAAUACCAUCCAUUUCUGUGCAUAAACCAGAAAAGAAAAGAAAAACAAAUGUACUAAUACAUUAGACAUGGGCAUUGCUGAGGAAAAUUCCCAAAUCAUUGUCCAAUUCAACUUUAUUAGGCAACUUUCUUAACAAUCAACUAGAUCUCCUACCACAAACGAUUAUUAAAAACGAUACUCAAAUUUCAAUUCAUCAUGAUCAAACCAUGGUGCUUAACGCAUCAAUAACAAUAUUAAAUACCACGAAGCAAAUAACUCUAACACGAUACCAAAACGAAUGACAUCGUCUCUACUCUCUCUAACCAAAGCAAUCCGAUUACCUAAUUAUAGAUUAGUUGAGGUCUAAUUACCCCGCAAGACAUCAUCAAUGGUUUGACAACACUGAGACAAACUUGCAUUGAAGGGACCUAAAAGAAGCCUGCUAAAUCAGCUGAAUCCUGCUGACUGUCGGAUAAAGAGCACACCAGCGCCACUGCUGGGGAGCCAGUGGAACGAAAGCGACGAAACACGCAAGAACUAGUAAAAGAUAUCCGCUAAACUGCCACGAUUACAUUUCAAAAAUUGAAUAAACAUCUCAUUCCACACUUCUCGAGAAACUGCGUUGAGAGAAAAAAGCAGAGUAAAAACAUCCCUAUGAAGGACUGCAAACAAAUCCUGCAUCAUCCAUCUCUAAGCUCAUUAGUCGUCGCAUUUGCACAAGUUCCCUACACUUCCAAGCUAAACCUCCGCCUGUUGAAAUUGAUUCUUUCAAAUACAGCACCCACGGCGUCAACGGCUGCCAUCACUAUCAUGCCUUCGCGUUUACGCUACACUACGCAGCACCACGUCAUUGUUCAGAAUGUCCCUAAACCACUCCACCGUUCACUGCGUCAUACCCAGCGUCCUGAGUCCAGCCUGCCAAGGGGUCGAAAUAACUGGACAACGAACUCACGGGACUCCACCCCCGACGCCAAUUGCGUACCUCCAGCAAGUGACACCCCCUUCUAACAUGUCGAGCGCUCACGAUGGUUCCUCCGCUCCAAUGCUGUAACCUUACCACCACUCAACUACCUUCACACCGCCGGCCCUUCACUUUACAAACUUUGUGCUGCCACCUACCAGAACUCCUCCCAUAUCACCAACUGCUCCACCUCCGCCACCUCCACAAACCACACCUCCACUCCACUGUCCUUUCCCGCACCAUUCAAGGCCGAGAUCUAAACAUCUCACCCACGCCGUCAAGCCUCCCGUGUUUGCAUUGCUUCCAACACCCCCCCCUCCAAGUAGCACUGCUCCUCACUAUCCGCCCUCCUCCAACCCCACCAUCCCGCAAACUCCUCCUCUCCACUGCACUCGCGUCCAGUCCCACCCCAAAAGCCCUGGCAUUGUCAUCCCGCCACGCUCAUGCUCCACUUCACGCAUUCAUCACGACUCCGACGCUCCCGUUCGCACCACCCUCCUCCCUGCACCGCCGCCCACCGCAACUGCCACUGCAAACGGCCCUGCGAAUUUCUGCCCCGUUCCGCCGCCCUACCUCCCUCAACUCAACAAUCUGCCGCUCAUGUCCGGGCUCUCUCCCGCUCCCCUCACUGUGGGCUCCUCUUCCGUGUGUGCCCCCGUCCUAAACUAUCGCGCCAACGUGGGCCUAAAAAAUUCCACGUUGCCCCCCCCCCCCCCCCCUACUGCAGAGUGGGCGCGCUCGUCACCCUCUGCAAGCUGCUCGGCGCUUGCAGCGCCUCCAGCACAUCCACCUUCUGGUUCGCGGCCUCGUUCGCUAUCUCCCUCCGCGAUACGUUCCACAGCUGCUCCUCUACCCCCAGCUUCUGAAGCUCCAUCAAGCCGCGCUCCACGUCCACCAGGUCGCGCACCGUCGGCUGCAUCAUCGCCCGGCUGAUCCACAGCUGUAUGCACUCGUCCGCGUAGUCCGCCUCCACGCCGUUCGUCUUCGCGCGCCUCCAGAAGUACACCAACCACGCCUGCUUGAACUGCACCUCCUCCACCUCCGCCGGGCUCAGCUCGAAUGCGUCCGGCCCCUUCAGCCCGUCCAUCGACUGCCGCGCGUCCGCCUUCUGCCGGUGACGGGCCAGCGCCAGCAUCACCGCGUCCUCCACCUUCAGAGCCGCCAGCUCCCUCAGCCCUUUCUCCACCGCCAGCAUGCUCUCGAUGUUGCCCUCCCCGGUGAUGUCGUUCACGUCCCGCGUCCUCCCCUUCGUCGCAUUCGCUGCCGCGCUCUGUCGGCUCCCGCCUCUCGGCUCCUCCUUCGCGCGCUGCCCCGCCGACAGCACCACCUCCAGCGGCAGCGGCGCCAGCGACGACCAGAAGUCCGACUUCCCCGACGCGAUCUCUGGGUGUAUCCCCUGCUUCGCCGCCAAAUCCCAGUACCGCGCCAGCCAGCAUCGCUUCAGCACCACCUCCUCCAUCUCCUCCUGCGUCAAAAUCAUCCGAUGCGUCAUCGUCCGCAGCGCCUUCACUUCGAUUUCCACCUCCCGAGCCGCUUCCGAUGCCGCCACCGCCUCCUCCCUCGCCAUCUCCGCCUCUUCCCGCAGCGCCGCGAUCUCAUCGUCCUUCACAUCCUUGCUCUGCUCCUUCGCGGCCUUCAGGGCGGCCUCGCGCUGCUUCAGAAACUGCUCCUUCCUGUUCAGAAUGCGCGAGUCCAGCGAGAUCCCCUCUCCCAGCGCGGUCACCUGCUUCUCCAGCUCCCGCGACCGCAGCUCCCUCUCCGCCAACCUCUCCUCCACCAUCCGCAGCUUGUCCUGCAGCGUCUCGUUCUCCUCCUGCAGCAUGUCAAUCUCGUCGCGCAGAGCGGCCGUUUCUCUCCUCGAAUUCGGUCCCGACGAAUCGCGCCCGCUCCCAGACGACGAAGGCAGCGAAUCGGACGAGAACCUCCGCGCGCGAUCCACCAGCGGCUCGGGCGUCGGAGACGUCGACCUCGCCGCAGCCGGGGGCAGCACCGGCCGCGGUCGCUGCACUGCAGCCUGCUGUGCAGCGACCAGAGUCGUCGGCCGCAGCGCACCCCGGGGGUUCGCAGACGGCCGCAACGUGCUCCCCAGAGUCGCAGGACUGCUGUCAUACCGCCCCCUGGGAGCCAAGUGAGGAGACUGAUCCCUCGAAGAAUCCCUCGCGCUCGGGAUGUAAGGACUGUAACGGGGAAUGUCCAUGUCCUCCUCCUCGUCGUCUAUGGAAUCGCGAUUCGCCUGCAUCACCUGCGCCAGCCGCGCUGCCGCGGCCUUGGCCGCGUAAUUCUGGCUCUUCUUCACGGAGUUGAUCGAACCCGACCCCGACCCCGCCCCCUGCCCGGAUCGCGGAGGAGGCAUGCCCACGCUUCUCUGCCGCCCCAGCAGAGGGCUGCCGUUCCUCUCCGCCAUCACUCACACUCGCGAUCCACCUGCGCUCCGUUCUCUCCCCUUCCAACGCCGCCCACGCCCGUCUCGCCGAACCAAUGCCAACAACCCACCCUCGCGCACCCCAGCCCAGACAAAUCCGUCACACCCGUGGAUCGGCUGGGCGCUUAGGUCUCCCACUGACCCUUGCACCUCCACACGCCGUCCCUCACCAUGUCAAGCGUGCCUCCGCAGCUCCACCAGCUCGGCCAGUGGAAGUACCAAGCGCCGACAACCACCGGCCCGGUCGCCGCCACCACCGAACUCUACCCCCUGCAAAUGCCACACGCAUACCCCGUCAGUGUCGCACAUCGCUCCCAACCUCCUGCCCCACUCGCUGCUGCUGUCGCCUAUCUGCAACCUCGCAACCCGGACGCAACUGGGAAAUUCUACCAAUCUCAACCUCCUCAUCGACGCAAAGCCACCGCAUACGCAUUACCGCUACGACCUCACCAACAUUGCAUUCCUCGUGGCCCGUCAAUUGAGAGUGCCAAACCGGGACUCCACCACUCUCCUGCCCACCGCCGACACUCCACCUGAAACAGAGCCGUGCCUGUAUCGACCAUCGCACAAUCUCCGCUUCCCAACCCACCGUGCACAGAUCCGCGACCUAAGCCUCACCACGCUAUUGCCAUAACGGCGCGUCCCGCACACAAUCGAGCAAAACGACGAAUCGUGCCAGAUCCGCACCGCAAUCCGGCAGUGCACCUUUCGCUCCACUUCUACCGCUUAACCUAACAGCUAUCCCCAUCUGUGCGCUCAACGUCACUCGUACCACCUCAAAAUUGGUUAGGGAUCAGACAAUCCCCCCCGAAUCUCCACAAUCCGAACCACACAACCACCCAGACCCUGCAAACCUCCCACCCCCAAUUUCUACGCCCGCUCUACGGAAACCUGGAGCUACGGACAGAUAGGCAAAGGAAUCCAGUCCACCGACUUCCGACGCCAUCACCCAACUUCUCGACAAACCCAUCUCCGAUCCAGCGCGCAAUCACCCUCACCGCGGGCUCUCUCCAAUCCAAUCACGACAAGAACGGGUUGCUUUUCCAACGAACCUGCUGCCACGACCACAGCCGAAGGUGGCGACUCCACAGGCUGAAAGCAGCUUCAAAGCUGGGGAGGCGUCCAAAGAAGCUCCAAAACCCACGACCCCUGCGACGGUGAGAAGCAAGCUCGUGCACAGACACGUCCUCCAAGGAGCACACCACUCUCGCGUAUGCUGGAGGCGCUGCGUAAGGGGGAGGGAGAAAGAGCAUCCAUGUUCAGGCAUGGAGUCUGCAAUGGGAUAAGUGAAGCCUAUACUUGCUGCACCACUCUCCUUUGGUCAAUACCCGCCGGAACCAGCCCCUGGCUUUGGCGCAACCUUUUUCGCAAUUCACAGCAUUGGGUCGUUCUUACCCCUCGGGUUCCGUGUUUGUUAAUAUUAGAGUGAGAGGUUAUGCAGUGGAUGUUAGGUAUUUUAUUGUCGUAAAUAAUUUUGAAGUAUGGGUGGUUUGAAAUUACCGCGCUAUAGUUACUGUUGGAAGCUCCAUGAUGACCUGGGCUUGCAUAUUAUCUGUUCUUUAAUGUAAUUCUGAAACGGAUAUAUUUGUCGCCUUGAAUUUCGUGUAUUUGUAUUAUUUUUUAUUUUAAUACUGGCUUCAAUAUCAGUUUUUGGCGCCUGUUUUUAGAUUCUACGAUUUGGUCUUCUUGACAAGUUGAAUGAUACAAAAGCAGUUCAUCAGGAUUGGUCAAGCCGCAGCUGUGCUACAGCAUUACUUGAAGUGAAGUUAUUAGUUCAUAUUAUGCAGGCGAAUGUUAUUAUCAGAGACACGGAAAGAUAGACAUAUUGCGCAAAUUGCCUGGACCGGAUUUUGCCCUUCUAUAUCUUCCAUCCCAUUGUGUAACUAUCUUCGGCAUGUUCCAGCAGAAUCUUUCAACUUGGCGACCAACUCUUCUACAAGACGACCAGUCGAAGAAUCAGACAACGGAGGCCACUUAGCAGGACAUCCAGCAAAACUGUGACAUGCUCUAGAGUUGAGAGGAUGUUGAACUCGGCUAGCUUUUAAUCUUUGCAAUACACUGUCCAUUUAUCCAAUGAAAUGUAACGCUCCUCUUUCUUCUAGCUCUCACUUUGAACCUGAAACAUACACAAAGAAGGUAUGUCACGGGAAAACACAAUACAAACAACGCAAACCACCCGCAGCAGCUCCAAGGAUCCAUAACCGGACCCAGGAAUCGUCCUAUCCGGAGAUUGUCCCUAGAUCCGUCGGUCGGCGAUCAACGAUCCCGCUACGACCGAUAGUCGCAGCGCGACCCUGUAAACCCCGUCGCGACUCUGGAAGUCUUGCAGCUACUCUGGAUUUCGCCACGGCCUUGGGAGUCCUGCCACGACUCUGUGAGCCACUCAGCGAGCUUGACCUAAGGUUUAAUUAGGAUUUUAAUUAAGAUUAUAAUAAAAAAUUAUUUCUAAUAUUUAUUUAAUUUUUUAUUAUUUCUUUUAAAUUUUCUAUUUUUAGUAUUUAAAAAGAUUAUUGUUAUUUUUUAAAAUAUUUAUUUUUAUAUUUCUUUAAAAUUUCUUAUUAUUUUUCUUUCGAAUUAGUUUGGAACUUCUUUGUAUUUCUUUUAUAACUUUUUUUUAAUUUUAUUUUCAAUUGGUCAAAGUUCAAUCAAAAUUAUUAAGGUCUACUUAAGGUUAUUUAAGAUUCUAUUAGACUUGGUAGGAUUGUUGUUGCAUUUCUUCUUACCUUCUACAGCCAAGCGCUUGGUGCAUUGUCGUACUGUAAAAAUUUACAGUAUAUAAAAAUUAGUUAGAACAUAUAAUAUGUUCAUAAGACUUGGUGUAUGUUAGAAUGGUUAAAUAGAUUAAUUUAAAGAGAGUGGAUUUAAGAAACUUUAUUUUGAGUUUAUUUUUUUACUUAUAGCAUUUAAAAAAAAAAAAAAAAAAAAAAAAAAAAAACAUUAUUGAACCUAAAUGUUUAGUAUGGAACCUUGAGAGGAGAUUAGAACCUAAAGAAGAAAAUCUUAACUAAUAGGAGGCUUAUUGGAAGGGAUGAAAGCAAGGCAUGGUUGGAUGAAGGCAAAGAAUGGGAAACUUCAUUCCUAUUGGUCAAAGCUCAUAUACAAUGGGCUUCAAGGAGGCUGCCUGAGGCCCUAUUAGGGAUUAGGGUUUCUCUUUCGAGAUCAUUCGAGUUUUGGAGGCUAGGGUCAGAAAUUUUAGGAUUUUGGGUAUAAUUUGGAUAAAGAGUUUGUGUGAUUUCGAGUUUUUGUGAAGGAGAUAUAGGUGUUCAAAGUUAAGGUGUCAAAUUUGUACCUAUUGUCACUCUUUGAAGCAUAACAUAUGCGUACAGAGAGCAAUGAAAGAUCGGCGACUAGAGUUGGAGAGGACACUUUUUUUACUUCACUUUACAUAUACUGUUUGAUGAAUUUCAAUUCUGGAUGAAGGAGUUAUAGACAUUUGAAGACAGCACAUGUAAUUCAAAGGCAGUAAGUGAGUCAAAUUAUUGAUAGUAAUGGUUGGAGCCAUAUCUUGAGUUUUUGGACGAAUUUUUGGCUCAAAAUUUCCAUAGGUGUGAGGUAUUAAGUUAAGAAGCUAUAGAUCAAAGCUUCAUGGUAUUUGAAUACUUAUUUUGUGAGAUAUGAAGAAAUUAGCAUGCAGGUGUAAAUAAGCUAUUGUUAGGGUUUUGGCGAUAUCUCAAGAUCCGUAAUGAAUUUGCAGUUGAUUUUUUUGUGAAAGUUUUUGAAAGUAUAUCAAUACUUUAUGUAAAAUUUAGAAUUGUUUGGAUAGUCUGAUCAUGAGAUAUGAAUUGUUGAAGUUCAAGAAACAUCUUUCAUGAGGAUAUAUAAGGUUUUAAGAUCUUUAUCAUACAUUUAGAUGUUUUCUUGGUACUUGUGCUUGUGUUUUGAUAUAAUAUCCUAAAAAAAGAAUAUAUUAUAUGUAUAAACUUGGUUUUUUAUAUCUUAGACUUGAUUGAGUAUUUAGUGGCAGCUAAAAGCCCAAUGCUUUCUUGAGGCAAACUCUCUCUACCUCGACAUCGUUUUCAAGCAAGAAUACACAUAAUACAAUAUUGUGUCUUUUCUUUGCAAAAGCCUCUUUUGGCUUCUACAAAUUUUUUAAAGAUAAUUAUAUGGAACAUUCGAUAUCACUUCAUUCUUUUUGAUAUGUCUAACAUAUAGACAUUUUUGUGUAAUACUCUUUUGAUCACAUAAGGACCUACCUAUUUUUGGAUCCAUUUAAAAGUGAGGUGUGUUGGAUAAGUGACGUUACUACUAUUCAACUACAUUUUAACUCCUUUUUCAUAAUGUACAUCUUUCCUAUGUUUAUGAGUUUAUUUCUUAUAUGUACUUUGAGUUAACUCCAAUCUAACUUUCAUAAUUUUCAAUAAGGCCUCUCUUUUGGCCAUCCACCUUGUUCUUUCAAUUGAAUAAAAUCCGAAGUGAUUUCAUCACUCUGCCUAAUUCCUAUUAAGUCAAUUGGCUUGAGUGCAUGAAAGCCAUAAACCACUUAGAAAGGUGUAUUUGCUAAAAAUUUACUUUGAGUAGUAUUAAAACUAAAAUCAACUAUGUGGAACUAUUUAAUCUAAUUCUUAUGGUUACUUGCCACAUAGUGCUUUAGAUAUAUUCAAGAACUCCAUUGAUUCUUUUAUUUUGGCCAUCUCCUUAUAGGUGCUAAGUAGUAGUGAGUAUCAUCUUCGAACCUAAUUUUCUCAUGAUAUAUUGCUAGAAUUGAGUUGUGAAUUUCACAUCUCUAUGACUCAUAAUUGAAGUUGGUACUCCAUACAAAGAGAUCCAUCCAUCAAAGAAGAGAUUUGAUGUCAUUUUUAGAGCAAUUUCCAAUUCUUCUUUGAAGUCUUUUGAAAAUAUUGUCAUUAGUAUAAAUCAAGCGAUCUUACUAAAUCUAUCUACAACAAUCAAUGUGGAGAUAGCUUCAUCAUGCUUUCAUAAGUUAAUUAUGAAGUUGAUUGAAAUACAUCUAUAUAGUAGAAAUGAAAUAGGCAAUGGUUCCAAAAAUCCUACCUUUGUUUGUGUAGAUUUUUUUUUUUUUUUUUUUUUUUUUUUUAAUACACUAAGCAACUUCUUACAUAUUGCUUGACAUCUUUUCUUAUCAAAGGCCAAUAGUAAGACUUUGCCACAUCCUUCAAUGUAGUCUUUAUACCUCUAUGUCUCCCACAUAGAGAAUCAUGCACUUCAUACAUUACUUUCUUUUUCUAUUUGCCUUGUGAUAUAUAGAAUCUAGUUUUCUUAAAUCAAAUAAGUCCAUUUAUUUUAGAAAAAACUCUCAUAAGUCUUCUUUGCUCUCUUAUAGUUUUGGUUUGAAUAAAUGCUUUUCUUAUUUCAAGUAUAUCUUCAUCUUAUUUAUAGUCUUUCUUAAUACUUUUGAAAAGUGGGAAAUCAUCACAAUAUACUAUGGUCUUUAGUGACAUUAAAUCAUAGAGUUUUUCUCUCAUAAAUUCUUCCCUUCUACUUAGUGCAUCUUACAUUAACUUAUCUUUGUAUGGUUUGUGGAUGAGUUCAAUAUCCAUUGAAACUAUCAAAUCAUAUCAUCUCAAUUCUUUAGGAGAUGUUUGUGUCUUUAAACUAAAAUACUUAAGAGAAAUAUUGUCAAUAUAUAUCUUGAUUUUUCUACUUUCCAAAUAGUGUUUCAAGUCCUUAAACAAUACACUUCUACAAAUAACUCUUUCUUAUGUGUUGGCAAUCUUAACUUGCUUCUAUUUAGCUUCUUAUUCUCAAAAUUAAUGGAUCUUUUCUCUUGUAUUAAGACUCCACUUAUUACAAAAUCAUUUACACUAAUAUGGAUUUCAAAUUCCUUCUCAAAUUGAAGAUAGAACAAGACUAUACUUGAAACCAAAGCAUCUUUGAUCUUUUAGAAAGACUCUUUAUAAUCCAUAUCAUAUUUUAUGGCCUUAUUUUAUUUUUUCAAGAGACUUUUCAUGAGACUGGAAAUCUUUGAAAAGUUUCUUAUGAACUUUCUAUAGUAGUUUACUAGAUCGAAAAAAAGACCUAAUUCCUUUCUAAGUUUUUGGUACUUCUCAAGUUUUUAUUGCCUCAAUUUUCUUAGGCUCUAGCAUAAGUCCUCCAUUGAUAUUGUAUCCUAAAAUUCCAAUUCUUUUAAAAAUGAGACACUCUUUUCCUUAUUAGUAUAGAAUUGGUUUUUUUAUAAGUUUUUUUAAGAUAAUCUCUAAGUAUAAUUUGUGAUCUUUUUAACUUUUGAAAAAAACUAGAAUUUCAUUAAUAUAGACUACCACAAAUUCAUUACUUUCCUUGUAAAAGAUAGAAUUCAUCAAAGUAUUGAAGAUAGCUGGAGCAUUAUACAUUCCAAAGGACAUAACUACAAACUCAUAUAAAUCAUAUCUAAUUCAACAAGUAGACUUUUCUAUAUCUUCUUGAAUAAUUCUUAUUUAAUAGUAACCACUCUUCAAAUCAAUUCUACUAAAAUACUUACUAUUAUUCAACUAUCCAAUAAGUCAUCAACUCUUGGAAGUGGAUAGUUUUUUUUUAUAGUGAUCUUAUUUAAGGCUCUAUAGUCAAUGUAUAUCCUCAACUUACCAUCUUUUUUGCUCACAAAAAGAACUGCGGCUCCAAAUGGAGAUUUACAUUGUCUAAUGUAGUCUUUUUCCAACAAUUCAUUGAAUUAUUUCUUGAGUUCUUUCAACUCUACUUGAUUCAAUCUAUAAGGUGCUUUACUUGGAGAUUGUGUUUUUAGAAUAAGAUCAAUCUUAUAAUCCAUCAACUUAUUUGGUAGUUGUUCCUUUGGAAAUUUAUUUAUCAAAACAUCUCAAAAUUCCAACAUGAGAUUUUUCACAGGUUUUCAUAAUGUGGACUCGCCUUCAACAACACUUUUUUAUUAAGAAAAUUAUCUAUAUAAAUCACUACUUCUCAAAUUUAAGAGGAAUUAUUCUCCUUCUAACUUACUUUGAAAAACUAUAAGAUUCUAGAUUGACAUAACAUAGGGAGAUUUGUAAAUGGUAAGUAUACUAAUUUUUUAUUCUCUCCAACCAUGACUAUUCUUAACUUAGACUUCCAUCAAAGUUCCAUUAUAUUUAAGUCUAAGAAAGUAUUUCCUAAUACUACAUCUAUUCUAUUAGCAUUAUAUACUAUGAAGUCUUUUUAGAAUCUUUUAUUUCCACAUUUGAAUUUCAUAUCUUUUACAAUCAAGUUAGUUUUCUUUCUACCAUAGGCAAAAGACACCUUCACUUUUUUAGUCGGUUCUUGACCUAAUUCCAAUUUUUUGGCAUAAAUUGGACUCAUAAACAAGUUGGUUGCCUAUGUGUCAAUUAAUAUUGAAACCUCAAUAUUUUUAACUUUAGAAUUUAAAUAAAUGAGUUUCUUAUGUAAACUUAUUAAGGUGGAUUUUCCUUCAAAACCACCUUUUCUUACUAUGAUUUGAAGUUUUUCAACUUCAUGAGUUUCAAACAAUAAAGAAGUAAUAAAAAUUUCACUUACCUUUUUAGGUACUUCUUUAUCUUUACAAUCAUUGGCACAGUGUCUCUUUUGUUGACACUCAAAAUAAGUUGUAUUAGAAGGACUUGCUUUAAUCUUCUUAGAAGUACUUUCUUGGCUCUCGUUAGUCUUGAGCUUAGAGAAUUAGAGACUUGUUUCUUCAAAUCUUUUCUUUCGAAAAGUGAAUUUUAUUGUUACUAUGGAAGGACUUAGCUUUCCUUUAGUAGUUAUACUUCUCUUCCUAAGUUUAAGUCAUAGUAAUUAGCUCACUAUGAUCCACCUCUUAUUCUUCCAUUUCCAAUUACAAAGCCAAAGCAAAGGCAUUAAUUAUGUUGGAAGAAAUAGUUUUCCUCUUCUAGUAUUUUUUUUUUGUUGCCACAUUCAAUCCAUUAUAAAAAAAAGUGUAACAAACACUUUUCAUAAUCCAAUUGAAUAUGAACAAGCUGGUUCUAGAAUUUUGCAAUAUAUUUGAGGAAUAAGAUCUUUCCAACUUCCUACUUUAGUUUGAAAAGUUACAAUCAUUUAAUAAAGUUUUUCCAUUUGCUCUCAAACCUCUCAAUGAGUCCAUUAUAUAUUUCUAUCUAAAUAAUUUCUUUAGCAUAACUAAAAUUAAAUUUUAUUUCACCAUCAAAAAAAUUCAAAGCACUUAUUUUUAAUAGAUCUAAUAAGAUUUUAAUUUUAUCUACAUCACUUUCAAUGUCAUUGGCCAAAUAUCAAUAUUCUACCUCCUUGAAAAACCUCGUAGUUUUUCUAUACUGCAUGUUUCUCUACUUUUUUGGUUGAUUUAUUUUGGCUCUAUGGAAACUUGACUUAUUUUUUUGGCUUUCAAAUAAGGCUUUUUUCUUUACAUUCUUCUUCAUUAUGGAUUUUAUAAAAAAUUAGAUCACUUCUAAUUUCUUUUCAAAUUCUUUAUCAUUUUCUUCUAUCUACCCUUUAGCUUUUUAUUGAGCUUUUGGAAGAUUUGGAAGUACUUUGACUUUAGAAUCUUAGAUUUCUUCCCUCUUAGUCAUUUUCUUCUUCCUCACUUUGAGAAAUUUGAAUUUCUUUCAAACUCUCAAGAGGUUCUUCUUAGACUUUUUUAUGCUCUUCUUGGAUCUCUCUACGUCUUUCUUUUAAAGGCAUUGGAAUCUCUACCUCAAAGAAGAUUUGAUUUUUAAUCAAUUUUCUUCUUGGUUUAGCUUGUUCACUUAUUUGAAUUUUUUGCAAAUUCAUUUCAAGGACCUCUUCAUCUUCCAAUUGUUGAAUAGAAGAUUUUAUAAUUUUCUUCACCAUUUUGAUCAAGCUUUUUUUGACUUAAUCAAAAUUUUAUCAAGAAAUUUUUCUUUAAAGUCUUCAUUCCAAUUUUGAUACAGCAAGCUUUGAUACUACCUGUAAUACUCUUCUUUCUUCUAGCUCUCACUUAAAACCUAAAACAUCCAUAUAGAGAGUAUUACUUCACAAAAAACAUAAAAUAAAUAACACAAAUAACACAAAUAAAUAACACUAAAGAUCCAUAUUUAGCUAAAUCUAGGAAUUGUCUUAUCUUAGGAUAAACUCUAAAAUCAUGGAUUGGCAAUCGAUAAUCUCGCUACGAUUGAAAGUUGCAAUACGAACUUGUAAAUUUUAUUGCAACUUUAAAAGUCACUUGUAUUGCUAUAUUAUAAUUGUUUAUAGUAUAUAAAUAAUUAAAUAAAAUAUAUAAUAUAUUUAUAAGUAUUGAUAUAUAUUAUAGUGGUUAAUAGAUUAAUUUAAAAAGAUUUGAUAUAAGAAAAUUUAUUUUAAGAUUUAUCUAUUUUAAUUAUAGUAUUUAAAUUAUAUAAGAUUUAGAUAUUUAAUAUAAAAUUUUAAGAUAAGAUUGGGACUCAAAGAUGAAGAUCUAAACCUCCAAAGAACUUAUUUGGAGGGAUGAAAGCAAGGUAUAGAUGGUUGAAGGCAAGCGAUAAAGAUCUUCAUCCCUAUUGGUCAAAAGUCAUACCCAAUAGGUGUCACGGCUAUAAUCAUGUAAGUUAAUAAUUACAUAUAGAAAUAGGUAGAAGUAAGUAAAAGUAGGUAAAAGUAAGUUAAUUCUAUAAUAUUUAAUAUAAAAGCUUCCUAGAAACUUCCUAGACGCUGCUUUGACUUCAUAGGUGUCUUUAAUUGACUUUUUGGAUUAGAAACGUGGUCAACAAGUUGGCCAUGUGCCACACAUGUUGUUAGCUUGAAGAUCAAGCUAACUAUGUGGCCCACACGUAGAAAAACUUGUCUUGUAAGUCAAGGCAUGUGCCUUACAAAGUCAACACAUAUUGGAGGUCCUAUAGAACGUCGCCAUGUAGCCCCUAGUUAGAGAGUAUAUAUAGAGACAAGAGUGAAGGCUUCUUCACUCUUGUCAACUCCUUUCUUGCUUCUAGUCUGUUUCAAGGGUCUCUAGUUUUCUUGUCUUUUGGCAAUAGCCAUUCCAGUUUUUCUUUCAAUAUAUAUACUUGUUUAUAUAUAUUUUGUUACCUCUCUUUGAGUGAAUGCUCACUUGUUUGAAUUGUUUUUUUCAUCAAGUUCUUGUCCUUGACAGAUUGACAAGAAUCCACUUACAAUAUCAGAGCUUUGUUUUUCUUUAGUAAGAGUGGAUUACCCCUUUCUCUUGACAAGACAUAAGCAUAUUAGAAGUUUGCGGAGUACCCACUUCUAAACUGAUAUUGUUCUUAGUAUCUUCUUUGUUAUCAAGUCUUUUCUUUUUCUUUUGUCUUGAGCAAUAUCAGACAAAUUUUUCUUCUUAGUAUCAUUAUGGCAGAGCUUGUUGAAAUGAAGAGUGCAAUGGCACAAAUGCAAGAACAAUUGAGGGAGUUAAUGCUUGCGAUGCAUCAACUCAAUUCACCAACACAGGAAAGAACAAGAAUAGCAGAAAGUGGAGAUAUAGAGAUGAUCGAAGCUGCUUCAACAUCUGUACCAAAUCACAUUCCUUCUCCAAUUGUACAACACCCUGUAAGCACUAGAGAACCAAGAAUUGCUAUACUCGAGAAAUUUGAUGGUACAAGAUCAAAGUUUCGAGGGUUCAUCAAUCAAGUACAAUUGGCAAUUGAACUUCAACCGCAAAGCUAUCCAACUCUAGGAUCACAAGUCAGGUUUAUUGACACUCUACUUUCUGGUUCUGCAUUAUCGUGGUUUUCGUCUUUUCUUGAACAACGAAAUCCAAUAUUGGACAAUUUGAAAGCUUUUUUGGUGGAGUUUUGAUCUAUGUAUGGUGAAUACGAUGCAACUCAUGUCGCAACAAACAAGAUCCGAAUUCUGCGACAAGGAAACCGCUCAAUAACAAUGUAUGCUUCACAAUUUUGACAACUUAUAAUUGACAUCAAGUGGGAUGAUGCUGCACUCAUCAGUCAAUUUCUUUAUGGAUUGCAAUACGAAGUAAAGAAAUUGAUACUCAACUUUAUCUGAUCUUCAAACUUUGAGUCAAGCAAUCGAUUUUGCGGUAAAAUGUGAUAAUCGACUUUUUGAAUUUCAAUUCGAGAGUCGUACACGAGAACCUCAACGUUAUUACUCAAUGGCAACAUCAGCAUCUUCGCCAAACGUACAUUCGAAAGUAGAAGACAUGCAAAUUGACGCGAUACGUUUUAAACCCCUAACUGAGCAAGAAAAGAUUUGUCGUCGUCAAGAAGGAUUAUGUUUAUACUGCGGAGAACCUAAGCACACUGCUCAACAUUGUCCAAAGAAACAACGUAACUGUAAAAUGAGGGGUACGGCAGUCAAAGAAGACAACAUGUCGAAAAACGGAUUCGUCUAGCUACAAUAGGGACCGUGCAGCUGGAACCUUAUACCAUUCCUAAUGAAGGCCCUAUCCUCUCCUCAAAACCCUCUUCUUGUUUUAUAAUAGAAUUAUAUUUAGGACCUAAGAAUUACAAAGCCUUUGCUUUAUUAGAUUCGGGAGCCUCAGCAUGUUUUUUAGAUGAAAAAUUUGUUAAAAGUCAUAAAAUACCUUUUGUACAGAAAACUAAACCUGUAAAGGUAGAAGUCAUUGAUGGCCGUCCUUUGUCUUCUGGAGAUGUCACUCAUGAAACUCGCCCUAUAAAAGUAACAAUAAACGGUCAUGUUAGCUACAUAGCUUUAACAUAAUUAAAUCCCCGUCCAAUCCAGUUAUUUUAGGUUUAUCCUAGCUAGAAAAAUAUAACCCUCGAAUAGAUUGGAAUUCUCGUAAACUUGACUUUUACCAAAGCAUUAUUAAUAGUUCUACCAAGCAAGUAAAAAGUUAUAAAUCUAGUAUAGUAAAACUCGUACUUAUAGGUGCAAAAGCAUUUAUAUACGCAGCAAAAGAAGGAUCAACUUUUGCUAUUUAUGCUGCACCUAUUUCUGAAAGCGUAAAGACUUCAAGUGGCAUUCCAAGUCAAUAUCAGGAGUAUCAAGACGUUUUUGAGAAAAAGAAUGCAGAUAUUCUUCCUGAGCAUCGCCCAUAUGAUUGUUCAAUCGACCUCAAGGAAGGAACUCAGCCACCAUUUGGACCAAUUUACAGUUUAUCGCAAGAUGAGUUGGCUGAACUCAAGACAUAUAUUGACGAGAAUUUAGCGAAGAAUUUCAUACGCCAUUCAAAAUCUCCAGCAGAAGCUCCAAUUUUAUUCGUAAAGAAAAAAGAUGGAUCUUUGCGAAUGUGUGUUGACUAUCGAGGACUCAACAAGAUCACAAUCAAGAACAGGUAUCCAUUACCUUUGAUAUCAGGACUCCUUGACCAGUUGAAUCAAGCUAAGAUUUAUACAAAAAUAGAUCUAAGAGGAGCAUAUAAUCUAGUACGAAUCAAAGAAGGAGAUGAAUGAAAGACUACGUUUCGAACCAGGUACGGACAUUUUGAAUAUAAUGUCAUGCCUUUUGGACUCACGAAUGCACUAGCUGCUUUUCAACAUCUCAUGAAUGAUGUAUUUCAUGAAUUCUUAGACAAUUUUGUCGUCUGCUACUUAGACGAUAUCCUGAUCUAUUCUAACAACGUCGAAGAGCAUAAAAUACAUGUUUGUCAAGUAUUACAAAAACUUAGAGAUGCAGGAUUGUAUGCCAAGAUGGAAAAGUGUGUAUUUCACACUACUCAAGUUGACUUUUUAGGAUACAUCAUUUCAAAUGAUGGUCUCAUGAUGGAUUCUAAGAAAGUCCAGAUAAUCAUGGAUUGGAAGAUUCCAAGGACAGUAAGAGAUGUUCAAUGUUUCUUGGGAUUUGUCAAUUACUAUCGAAUCUUCAUCAAAGAUUUUUCACGAGUUGCAGCUCCACUUACACGCUUGACCAAUAAAGACAAAUUCCAAUGGAAUCAAGAAGCGGAAGCAGCAUUUGAAGCCUUGAAGACAUCGUUUGUAUGUGCACCAGUCUUAUAUCGUGUUGACUUUUCCAAGGCAUUUUUUAUGGAAACAAACACAUCGGAUUUUGCCUUGGGUGCAGUUUUGUCACAAAUGGGAACAGAUGACAAACUUCAUCCGAUAGCUUUUCAUUCAAAAAAAUUCUCAACAGCCGAGAUCAAUUAUGAGAUCCACGAUAAAGAACUGCUUGCAAUCGUGGAUUCCUUUCAAGAAUGGCAUCAUUAUCUAGAAGGUGCUUCUAGUCAAGUCACUGUGUAUACAGAUCACAAGAACCUCGAGUAUUUCAUGUUAGCACGCGUGUUGAAUCGUCGUCAAGCUCGUUGGAGUAUGUCUUUGUCAAGAUUCAAGUUCAUUAUCACUUAUCGGCCAGGAAAAUAACAAGGUUUGUCCAAUGCAUUGUCUAGACGUUCUUAUUUUGCACCAAAAGAAGGAGAUGCAGCUUUUGAGCAACAAAGAACAGUCCUCUUGACACCGGAGCAUUUUCAUCUCCGAGCAAUGAAAUCAACAUUGACUGUUGAUUCAACUUCUCUCAAGCAAAUCCUGUUCAGUAUGUCCUUAGACCCUCUUGUUCAUGAUAUUGAGAAUAAUUCUUCGAAGUUUCAUGAUUCUUCUAAGUUCGAGUUCAAGAAUAAUCUAUUAUAUUUUGAAAGACGCCUAUAUGUUCCAGAAGGAGAAGCACGUUUACGUGUUCUUCAAGCACGUCAUGAUUUUCUAGCAGCAGGACACUUUGGAUAUAAUAAGACUUUGAAACUCAUAUCAAGAGAUUUUUGGUGGCCACAAAUGUGGAAGUCAGUCAAAGACUUUGUACAAUCAUGUAAUAUUUGUUCAAGAUCAAAAACUCCUCGUCAUCGACCUUACGGACUUCUUCAGCCAUUACCUAUACCAGAACAACCAUGGUCUUCUGUUUCUAUGGAUUUCAUCACAGAUCUUCCAAGCUCAAGAUCUUAUGAUUCUAUAUUUGUGAUAGUAGAUCGUUUCACCAAGAUGGCACAUUUUGUGCCAUGUACAAAAUCUAUCACAGGUAAAGAAACAGCUAAGUUUUUCAUUGAUAAUAUCUAUCGCUAUCAUGGAUUACCUAAAGAUAUCAUAUCUGAUAGGGGAACUCAAUUUGUGUUGAGAUUUUGGAGGAUCCUUUUCAAGAUUUUAAAAGUGGACAUAAAGCUAUCUUCGGCUUUCCAUCCUUAAACUGAUGGACAAACAGAGCGCGUAAACCAAGUCUUGGAGCAGUAUUUAAGGUGUACCAUCAACUACCAACAAGAUGAUUGGACAACCUUUCUGCCAUUGGCAGAGUUUGCUUAUAAUAAUACGGUACAUUCCUCCACACAACAAACACCUUUCUUUGCCAAUUAUGGCUAUCAUCCACGACUUGAUGCUUUUGAUUUUUCAAAAGUUGAUAAUCCUGCAGCAGAAGAUAUGGCAAAUCGAUUGUCAAAGUUACAUGCAAUAACGAAGGCGCAAUUGAAGGAAGCUCAAGAACGACAAAAGAUAAACGCAGAUGUAUAUCGUAAAGAGCAACUACAACUCAACGUGGGUGAUAAGGUAUGGCUACUUCAUCGUAAUAUCAAGACCACUCGUCCUUGCGACAAGUUGGACUAUCGAAGGCUGAGACCAUUUUCUAUUUCUGCACAAAUCAAUCCAGUUGCAUAUCGUUUACAUCUACCGAAGACAAUGAAAAUCCAUCCAGUAUUCCACGUGUCUCUUCUUGAACCAUACAAGACAGUGGACAUACCAAGAAGACGACAAGCUCCACAUCCUCCUAUAGAAGUGGACAAUAAUGAAGAGUUUGAAGUAGAAGAAGUCUUAGAUUCAAGGCAGCCUCGAAAUAAAAUAGAACAUCUUGUCCAUUGGCGCGGAUAUGAUUUUAGUGAACGCACAUGAGAGCCAAUGAAGAAUCUUGCAAAUGCAAUAAAGGCGGUGGAGGCUUUUCAUCGACAACAUCCAUCAAAAUCAAGAUGAAAACCUUCUUUAUAAAAGAAACAACAUCUAGGCAAGAUAACAUUCUACUUUUCAAUUCUUGUUCGUAGCUUCGUUGUAGUAGUGGCGCUCAGGAGAUGGAGAACCAACAACCAGUGGAUUCAACUCAAGAGCCUUUAUUUGCUGACCUGUCGGACGAGACAUUACAAUUGUCACAACCUUCAAGACCACGCAAUCGAGAUGAAGAUCUUCAAGAACGACAUGUUCUUCCUCAAAUAGAUGGUGAGAUACAACGCGUUUGAUAUCACGAUUUCGGAAGGAACUCUCGAUGUUUGGUGAUUUUGUUAGAGGUGGGAACAACUCCUGAUGGUGUUCCAAAUAUUCUAUUCGAAGGAAGUUACGAAGGCCUCAACAAUGAUCAAAUAACUGGGUGGUCUUCCCGCCCUAGUAUGGGACACUACCGAUGCUUGAGAGGCCCUAUCAAUCAUCUUCGAAGAGAACAGAGAUCAGAGUAUGUGGCGAAUACAAUUCGUCGCAUCAUAGAUUUUCUCAACAUAUGAUGACCGCUCCUCGUGGAACUCGUCCCUAGAAGGGGGGGUAAUGUCACGGCCAUAAUCAUGUAAGCUAAUAAUUACAUAUAGAAAUAGGUAGAAGUAAGUAAAAGUAGGUAAAAGUAAGUUAAUUCUAUAAUAUUUAAUAUAAAAGCUUCCUAGAAACUUCCUAGACACUGCUUUGACUUCAUAUGUGUCUUUAAUUGACUUUUUGGAUUAGAAACGUGGUCAACAAGUUGGCCAUGUACCACACAUGUUGUUAGCUUGAAGAUCAAGCUAACUAUGUGGCCCACACGUAGAAAAACUUGCCUUGUAAGUCAAGGCAUGUGCCCUACAAAGUCAACACAUAUUGGAGGUCCUAUAGAAUGUCGCCACGUAGCCCCUAGUUAGAGAGUGUAUAUAGAGACAAGAGUGAAGGCUUCUUCACUCUUGUCAACUCCUUUCUUGCUUCUAGUCUGUUUCAAGGGUCUCUAGUUUUCUUGUCUUUUGGCAAUAGCCAUUCCAGUUUUUCUUUCAAUAUAUAUACUUGUUUAUAUAUAUUUUGUUACCUCUCUUUGAGUGAAUGCUCACUUGUUUGAAUUGUUUUUUCAUCGAGUUCUUGUCCUUGACAAUAGGCUCUCAAGAGACUAUCUAUGACCAUAACAAGGAUUUCAAUUACUUCAAAAUGAGCAUUCAAGAAUUAUAAGGAAGGAUUAUAAGGUUUAAGAUUUGGACUACAAUUUUAUUUACAAAUUUUAGACAAUUUGGAAUUAGGGUGAUGAAGUUAUAGCUAUUGAAGUUAAGGUUUUUUUUUUAGACAUAUUGUUGCUCUUUCAAGGAUAUGAGGAGUUUUACAACAGCUUUUGGAGAUUGAAAGAUAUGAUCGCAAAGGUGAUUUUAAGACCUACAUCUUUUAUAAAAGUAUUUUUGUAUUUGGAAUUUGUAUAAAGGAGUUAUAGAAUGUUGAAGAUAGCACAUGUAAUUUGAAGGCAAUAAGUGAGUCGUUUUGUUGAUAGUAAUGGAUUGGAGCCAUAUUUUGAAUUUUUGGACAAAUUUUUGGCUCAAAAUUUUUAAAAGUGUAUGUUAUUAGGUUGUAAAGUUAUAUAUCAAAAUUUUAUGGUAUUUGAAUAUUUAGUCUAUGAAAUAUGAAGAAAAUUGUAUACAUAUAUAUGUAAGCAAGGGUUUCAAGCUAUUGUUAGGAUUUUAGCGAUAUGUCAAGAUCUAUAAUGAAUUUAUAGUUAAAAUUUGUUGUAAUAAUUUUUGAAAGUAUAUUGGUACUUCAUGUAAAAUUUUAAUUUUUUUGGAUGGUCCAAUCGUGAAAUAUGAGUUGUUGAAGUUUGGAAAGAUUUCAUCUUCAGGAUAUAUAAGGUUUUAAAAUAUUUUUAUCACAUUUUGGAUGAUCUUUGAUGCUAAGGGCUUAUAUAUUGAUAUAAUUGCCAUUAUAGGGAUAAUUUCAUAUAUAAACUUGGUGCUUUUCUAUCUUAUGACUUGAUUGAGCAAUUAGUGAUAGCCAGAAGCCCAACACUUUCUUAAGGCAAAUUCUCUCUACUCUGACAGCGUUUCAUAAGUUUUGAUGCUACUUUGUAGGUUCUACCAGGCCUUGAGAGUCUUGCUACGAGCUUGGCCUUAGCACAACACGAUUCAUAAGUAGUGUCUCAGUCUCUUGUUGCAAUGCCUCUUCUAAUCGCAACUUAAUGGGAAGUCAUCUUGAGAACAAUCUCUAGUUUCUAAGGAGACUUCUCUCUAUGACAAAACCAAACCAAAGUCUUGGUUUCUCUAAAGAAAGUGAGUCUUGGAUCUUUUCUAAAAGUACUCAAGGCUCACACCUAAUACUAACUUAUUUUGCACCCCACUUUGAAUUCUCGCACAAGAUUUACCUCAGGGUAAAGAAGGUGGUCCCCUCAACCUCUCAUAAUGCCACCACACUUUAGGAUCAUCCUAAGCAUCGAGGACCCUUUGGCUUGGAACUUGUCUUUUAACAAACAAGUGAGGGAUCGAUUCUUUUUGACCUUUACAUGCAAUAGGACAAGUGCUUUAAGGCAUGAAUGAAGGUGUCUAACCAAAUUAUAUAUACAUGGUUGUAAUCUAGAGGUGACUUUGGCAACAAGAACCAAAAUGUUUUUAGGUAGAUUAAAGUUGAUAAAUUUAAUGAGUAGUUAGUUUGAGGUCCUCAAAUUGCAGAUCAUUGAGUUUUGUAAGUACAACAUUCAUGAUUGCUGACAUGAGGGAUCAUACUAAAGAAUUAUGCUGCACGUGAAAAAGAACUUGCUGGAGAAAGAUCAACGGUCUCUUGAGCUGGUUUAGAGGCACCCCAUCUAAGCCUGAUUUUACCUCCAUAAGACAAGUCGUGUCUUAAUUAAAGAUCCGUGUCCGGUGAUCAUAUUCGUUGACUAGAUGGUCGACCACAAAAAGUGCCAUACUUGGGACUUGUUAGAAAGCAUCUGUUGUUGUACUUCCCUGGCCUCUUAAAUCCGUAAUUUACAGGGUCAUCCUAAUAGAAAUUUUAUGUCAUCAAGGGGCAUUUCAUUGAGUGUACCGGUGCUUCACAGGAGAAUAGUGGCCAUCGCCAGAGUCAUAAUCCUUAUCAGGAAUUGGCAGCGUUAGAGACGCAUCCACUGCCAAGCUCGUCUUCGUAGCUGCCAAGCUCAGCUGCAGAGAGAACAUCUGCUUCUGCCACAUCUUCUCCACGGAGAACUUUGAUUCAGACACCAUGCACAGUACAUCGUAAUGCAGGAGCCUCUGCCGCAUUGUCUUCGUGGCAUUGUCUUCCUCCUUGCUUAUUGCAUUCUCCGCCAUGAUUGCACGCCGCUGCAACUCCAGAAGGCAUGAUGGGUUGUGCCUUGACAGCAGCCACUUUCACUGCCUGCAAGACACAGCAAUUGUAGAAUAAAUUUAAUAACUACAUGAAGAGGUCUGAAUUGUGGGGAGGGGGUGAAGAUUUCAGGGGAUCAAACUUGAAUAAGGCUCUAUCCGAGCCUAAUGAACUGGAAGUGCUUCCGUGAUGUACACCAGGAAAGCCUGUCAUGAGAGGCACUUAUGAUGGUAAGUUUGGAUAUAGAUGGAACUCAAAGCUCUACUGUCCAGCACGGAAGAAUUACUGUGCAAUGCCAACUUGGCACUUACCUCGAAGUAUGCAACUUCCUCCAUAGCUCAUUUUUUCCAGGAAUCCUUGUUUUUCGAGGAGUUUUCCUCUUCCUGAAAUAAACUAAAUCAACUUGGCAAAGUCUUGUCUUCAUAACAUCAGGUAGAAAUUGGAAUGAGGGAAACAAAUCAACGACUUGUGGAAGAUAUCGCUUGAACGUUAGAAUGAUGUUUUGUACCGUUUUAUACUGUACUACAUUGUGCAGGAUUCUUGAAGUAUUAUAAGAAACAUGCAAGUAUGAAUAAAUGUAAUGUUUUCAGACGUUGGAUCUCUCCUUCAUACUGACAAGCUCAGAAUGCCUAAUCGCGUUCACCUUUGAAGCAGACAUUGCAAUUCAGAGACGAUAAAUGCGAUUCAGCACUACCAUGGAACAGAAUCAUUCAUAAUCUGUCGUGCUGCAUCUCCUCGUAAGCACCACAACACAUCCUACUAAUUACUAGUUUUUUUUUUAUGUGUGGAGAUUUAUUUUUUAUUUAUUUUUGUUCCUGUAAUAAUAAUAAAAUUUCCUCAGACCGACAAGCACUGUCUACAUUAAUAUGUGAUUUACAUACAUGCUUGAGUUAUGACAAAUUCCUCUCACAUAUAAAUGUAAAUCAUGCUACAAAGUCCUGUUAAUUUUCUAGUUCACCUGGUCACAGCUAUGGAACAGCUAGAGAACGAUCUCUGCGAAAAUGAUUAUCUCCCCUAUCUUCCUAAUAAUCAGAGCUUUUCAGUGCAGCAUCAAAAUGAAGCCUUAACGAGUAAAAAUGAGCAGAACCUUAGAAUUUCAGCCCACUUCACCUUAUUCAGACGCAACGAGUCAUCCUCCUUUCAUUUCUUGGCAGAAGCUGGAGAUGUUGUAAAAGGAAGGGAAUGAAAAUGCAAACCAAGUGUGUGAGUUGAAGGGAUAUGAAGUGCAGGCGAUUUUUGAGCAGUUGGAUAACUGAAACUUGGCUGUUCGUGAAGAAAUUCCUGGUUGGAGUCAGAAGAUUUAACCUUUCAUCAAAGGUAAUGGACAAUCUUGCAAUGCUUCGCUUUGGCAGCAUGGAAAGAGCAGAUAUAACUGAAGGGGACGUUGCGAAUUGGGGACACGGGAAGGGUCCAUAGCUCGCAACCAUCAUACUCCCCAUAAGAGAUCUUUUACCAUUUUCAGAUGCAAGAUCAGAAGGAAUUGACAGUUACUUCGAGGGCAAGGUAAUAAAUUCGGCUGCCUAAACCAAUUUGAAUACGGAGACUUGAUAGCAGUAUUUUCCUUCAAAAUCAUAGAGGAGACUUUCACAGGAAGAGAGAGAUCAUCCAAGCACGUGUCCAGGGUCUUCUUGGAUCAGAUAGAUGUUGAUGUUUGCGCCCUCCACUCUCAUAGAUCACUUUCUGUGUUUUUGUUUGAAUAAGAUUUUAGGUUGCAGCAAUAGCAUUGUUUUCUUUACUAGGUGAUUAUAACCCUCCUCUAUUGUCCAAUUUAUUUGUUGUAGCUAUUGUGUCAAGUAAAAUAAAAUAUAAGACAAAGCUUGAUAGAUAGUCAAUGGGGUUACAAACUGUUUUUUAGAGUUCUUCCGGAGGAUUGUAGGAACCACCAUUGCCAAGAAGUUAUUGUGUUGGGGUUGAUAUUUCCAUCUCAAGGCUGUCUAGAAGGUAGAGUGGAUAUGUGUUGUCAUACAUCCUACUGCUCUUUUGUGGAGCUGGUCCAUAAUUUCAUUCCACGUAUUUUGCUUGAUGGAUUUUCAAACUUACUCUAGUAUUUCUCACUAGAUUAAGGGCUACCAUUUUUUGUAGUGACUUCCAGACCCAAUUUCUGGAGAUGUACUGUUGAGACUGGAUUUGGAGCUAUUAAAUGGAAUGGAAUCUAGGAUAUGUAUCAUUUGGUUUGGUUGUUUUCUGGAUUUAGUAUGGUCAUUGGUGGGCUUUCUAGUGUGGCUGCAAUUUGUGGUAUUGUUAUCAUAUAAUUGACACCUAUUGCAACAAGUGGUGAAUCCACUAUACAGAAGCAUAUGUUCUUAUUCAUUCUUGUCAUAGGUGUCCAUUCUUGUGAUAAUAAUUGAUUUUGAUAAUAUAGCUAUAUUUUCCAUUAUGAUUCUAAAUCUGCCACUUCAUACCUUAGAGAAAUGUAGCUCAUUAUUGUUGAUCAUAAGGACUUCAAAGACUUGUGUGAAAAGUAGUUGUAGAAAUGUUUUUGUUUGGAGGGCUUGCAAGAGUCCUAUGACUUACAUCCAUAGAGUAUUCUUGAGUUGUUUGUGCAUAGCAAAUUUUUUUCAAUUUGUAGUAUGGCAUCCAUAUAUAGAAAUAUUUUUUUUAUUAUCUAUUUUAAAACUAUAUGUUACCAAAGUAUGUUUCAUUCCUUUUAUUUGGUUGAAUUGAAUUUCCACAUAAUUAUUUUUUCUCAUGAUUAAGCAUUAGAACAAAUGAAGCAAUCUUGCCUUAGCAUAGAUGAUCAAUUGCUUAAUUUUUAGGCUGUAUUUUUUCAUAAGGCCCAGCAUUAUGUAUUUUCUUAAUUGAGUCAUCUAUUGUUGAUAUUUGAGUUAUAUGUCUAUAGAUGUUGUGAGGUUAAUAGGUAUUGUGUUGGUUUUUGCAAUUAGUUUUGUAAUGGUACUAUCUACAAGUUAUACAAAUUUGGUGGUGGAUUCAUUGGUAUCAUUGUGCUAGAUGUUAUAGUUCUAAUAUAGUAUGUAAAAAAGAAGUGAGAAGGUUUAGAAAGACUGGCUUUGGUACUAUGGAAAUGUCUUUUUUCUUUAUUAAUUUGUAUGUAAAACUUUUGACUUGCAAUUUCAUACAUGUUUUUGUAAUAAUUAGAAUAUAUCCUAUUGAAUUUUAUACUAUUAAGAAAUAAUUCUAUAACUAUGCUAUUUAUUAAAGUAAGUAAAUAAAAAUAAAAGUAAAAUAAUUUAUAUUAUAGAAAAUAUUAUCUUAAAUAAUUUGCUAAUAGUUAAAAGAUUGAUUCUUAGUAUGUAAGAAAGUCAAGAGAUAAGAUAGAUGAAUGGACAAAAGAUCUUAAAAAUAUAUAGAAUAUGCUAAAGAUAUAUUCUCAUAGUAGAUAAGAUACCAUCAAUAGUCUUAGUAGAAUAUUGGAUAGAUAUAUUCAUCAAAGGAUGGAAAUUAUCUAUGAAAGCAACAACCACCACCUAUAAGUAACAGAUAAUGGAAGUGAGAGUAAUCUUAUUUCAUACUCUCUUUGUAUACAAUCUUAUUGAUGCUAUGUAUUAUGACUUCAAAAUUUUAAUUUUGCAAUAGGUUAUAGACUCGCUUACCUUUAAUUCUAAGUUUUGAAGUUCUUUAAAGUUUUUUUUUUUUGUGAAGAAUAGAUCUUAUGAUUAUUAUUGAUAUUAAGAUUUGAUAAUAUCUAAUCUCACUUUUCUAUCUAAUUAUUAAUUUAUUUUUUUCUUACUUGUUAUUUAAUGCAUUCAUGGUCUUGAAAGUUAUAAGAUACCUUAAAAUAAUAUUUUAAAAUACUAAUAUUAUGUUUCUUUAUUGAAUUACAUCAUUGAUACAGUAACAUUAUGUUUUUAUGUGUUAAAUUUCUUAAGAGGUCUUCUUAUAGUAAUAAAAAUUUCUUUAUGAAAUUACAAGUAUUAUGUGAGAUUAGACGUGAUUAAAUAGUAAAAUCACUAAUUUACUCAUAAAGAAGGUAUUUUAAAUUUUUAACAUAACAACAUCUAUAUCUUGAUUUUGAGAGUUCUAUUUUUUCUUUUUUUUAUUUUUUUUAUACACUUUUUUUUUAGAUAUGACUUCAAAAGAAAGUAAGAACUUAAAAGUGAUUGAGAAAUUUAGAGGUGACAAUUUCUACCAUUGGAAGAAAAAAAUAAAGCUUUUGUUAGCUUCAUUGGACCUUUGGAAUAUUGUUGAUGAAAGAAAAGAUCUUCCAAGUGAUAAUGUUAAUGUCAAGAUGAAGAAAGAAUACAAAUGUCAUGAAAAGAAGGCUUUUGGGUUGAUUACAACAAAUCUUGAUGAUGCUAAUUUUUUACAUGUAAUUGCUUAGAAUGGACUAGCAUAAGUAUAGAAGACUCGUUACAACAUCUAUAAGAAUAAAAACCUUACCAAUAUUCUAUAGACAAGGAAGAAGUUCUUAAUUGUAAAGAUGGAAGAAUGAGAUGACCUCAUGGUUUAUAUCAGUAAGAUAAAGUACUUGCAAACUAAUUAGAAAUUGAUGAUAAAAAUAUUGUAUUGACAUUACUUAUGAGUCUUUUGGAAUCCUAUAACUACCUUAUUGUAGUAUUUGAGUCUAUUAAUAUGAAAGAACUUAUCAUGAAUUAUGUCACGUUAAGACUUAUUCAUAAAGUGAUCAAGGAGAAGAAAAAAAGGUCCUUCAAAGUGAAGAUUUGGCUCUAUUCAUAAGACAAGGAAUAGAUAGCUAUUUUUACCAACAUUAUAAUUUUAAAAAUAAUAUAAAAAAUUACUAUAUUUAUCAAAAAUUAUGUCAUUUUAUAAAAAAUUACUAAAAAAUUAAGAAAGGAUAUAGGAAAAAUACAAAUAAUACUCAUGAUAUUUUUUGUGGAAAUAAUUAUACUUUCAUGUUAAGUGAAGGAGCCUCUAUGGGUGCCAUAUUCAAGUAGAUUAUAAAUUCAAAUACUACUAAGUAUAUGACAUUAUACAAGUAUUUAUUUAUACUUAUGAAAUAAUUUCAACAAUAAAAGUUUGGUUGGGACACAAUAGCAUGGUUCAAGCCAUCAGAUCUAGCUCUAUUGUAGUGGACAUUGAUAUGAAGGACCAAAUCAAGAAGAUCAAAUUGAGAAAAAUCUUACAUGUAACAAAAAUAAAAGAGAACCUCUUUUCAAUGAAUAAACUUAUAUGAUCUAGUUGUAAGAUUCAAUUUAACAUGAAUGGAUGUUUUAUGAAGAUAUUGGAUAGAUAAGAUGAUGCUAAAGGCUUUAGAGAUAGCAACUUCUACUUCUUUAAUUAUAAGAAGGUCAAUGGAAUUGAAAUACCAAAAUUUAUUGAAUUUCUACAAGAUCAAGAUAAGUUUGGAAUAUAACAUCAAUAACUUCAUCAUUUGAAUGCCAAAAGCAUGAAGAAGCUCCAAUCUAUGGUAAGUAGCUUAGAUCUUGGUGAAUUUAGCCACAAUGCCAUGACACUUAUUUAUAAAGGUAAUAGCCAAGACAAACAACAAAAGGCUUCAUUUCUCAAAUGGAGUUGCAACAAGUACUAGCAAAUUAUUAGAAAUUAUCUAUUUUGAUGUUUGUGGACCAAUGAAGAUACCAUGAAUUAGACGAAUAAGAUUUUUUUUCAUAUUUAUUAAUAAUUUUUCAAAAAACUUAUGGAUUUACAUCAUUAAAGCCAAAAAUGAGUAUUUUUUAAGGUUUAAGGAGUUUAAUGUAUUAAUAAAGAAGAAAUAUAAAUAUAAGAUCAAAGUAUUUUAUUCAAGAAAUGGAGAUAAGUAUAUGUCAAAGUAUUUUGAUAGAUUCUUAAAAAAAUCAAGGCAUUGCAAGACAAACUCUAUUCCUUAUACCCUACAACAAAAUGGAGUGUUGAAAGAACAAAUCACACUAUUGUGGAAAUUGCAAGGAGUAUUCUUCAUGUAUAAAAUCUUGGACAUGAGUAUUGAAUAUGAAUAUUGGAUAAAAGCCAUGAUAAAUACAAUGUAUACUACUCAUUAUUAUCAUCUUUAACAUUUUGAAUGUGAAGAGACAAGCUUUAAAAAAAAAUCAUGCAAGAGAUCUUAUAAAACAUGAAGGUGAAUCUCUAUUAAGUGACAUGAGAUAUUCUAUGAGAGAAUCACAUUUUUUUUCAAAUAAAUAGAUGACUUUUUCUUCUAAUCUCAUAUUACUUAUAUUUAGUCUUAGUUGUAUCCAACUUAUUAUUUUUAAUUUGAUUAAAAGAAUGUAUAUAUGAGUUUUUAUAAUUAAUUAUUUUUUAAUUGAUUAAUAUGAAAAAUUCUCAUUGACAAGGUCUUUAUAGUUAGUAGUCCACUUUUAAAGGCUAUCCUUCAAAAGCUUUAAAUUAAUCUUUUACUUAGUAAAGAAAUUUUAUUUUAAAGCUUUUAUAAUUCGAUAUAAUAUAAAAUAAAUUAAAUACCAUAAAAAAAUUAAAUUAUUAUUCUAUUAGGAGUCUAAAUAUAUCACCUUAUAAUUUGAUUCUAACAGUUAUUAGAAGUAUAAAAUAAUUUAUUAUUAUUUUGUAUAAAAUAAUUAAGGCUUUUUUAACAUAAUUUUUUAAAUUACAUAAUAUCUCCUUAAGAUGAAUUCAAUAUCUCCUUAAGAUGAAUUCAGUAGAUAAUAUCUCCUUAAGAUGAAUUCAAUAUAAAUUCUAGAAAAUAAUAUUAUUUAUAUUAUAUAAAAAAAAAAUUAUUCCACCUUUGAAAUGAUUUUCUUAAAUACAAUUUUAACUUAAUAUGCAUUCUUUAUUUCAACAAAUUGUAAGAUUUUAAAAAAUUAUGGCUUCUCAUCUUAAUUCGUAUAUAUAAAGAAUCUUUCAAUUAGCUUUAUAUUUUUAAAGAAGUUCUAAAAGAAAAAAAAAAUGAAGUAAAAUAUAAUCUUUAAGAUGAAUUAAAUAUUAUUAUAUUUUAAAAAUUAUUAUAGGUUCAACUUAAUAUAUAAUGUAUAAAUUUUUUUAUUUAUUAUUAUUAUUAUUAAUAUAUCUAGGAUAUAGAUCAUAAAGAACCAAAAAAUCAAUAUACUCUUGUGUCAUUAGAAAAGAGUAGAUAAUCACUUAAAGAUAAUACGACUAAAAUGGCUAUUGCAAAAGACAAGAAGACUAGAGACUCUUGAAAUUAAACUAAAAACAAGAAAGUUGUUGACAAGAGUGAAGAAAGUGUCACUUUUACUUCAAUAUGUACUACCUAACUUGGAGCUAUGUAGCAAUGUUCUAUUAGACCUCUAACAUGUAUUCAACUUACAAAACACAUGUCUAACUUAUUAGACAUAUAUCUUAUAUGUAUGCUUUAUGGCUAACUUGUACAAUAAGUCAUCAAUGUGUGCAACAUGUGGCCAACUUAUUGGCUGAGUUUUCAAUCUACUAAUCACCUAUAAACACUUAUAAAGUUACAUCAUUUUUUAUAAAAAUUCUAAGAAGAUUUUCUAUAAGAUAUUAUCAAAUUUACUUAUUUCUACUUACUUCUAUUUAACUCUUUUAAUUUAAGUAUAUUUGUAUAUUCGUGAAAAAUUGGAAUUAAGAUACUAAUUGAUAUUAUAUAUAUAUAUAUAUAUAGAUAGAUAAUUUCAUGGCUUGUUAUAUUUUAUACAAUCUCUAACUGCAAGACUUUUAAACAAGUCUUAUUUUGACCAGAAAAGAGAUAUUUGUAAGUCUUUUAUUCUAAAGGCUUUUAAAAUUAACUUGUAGAUAUAAAGAUCAAUUAAGAUAUGCAUUAAAUACAAAGUAAAAAUAUAAAUAUAAAAAUUAAUUAAAUUUAAGAAUUUGGAAUUUUUUAUAUAAAAAUCUAAAAAGUAAAAUUUUUAAAAAAAUGAUUAAAACUUAUAUUGUAGAAUCAAAUCAGCUAUCCAUACUAUCUAUUAAAUUUUUUAUGUUUAAAAAUCAAAUCUUAAAAUUAUAUAUUUACAUACUUUUGAUACAAGUCAAAUAAAAAUUUAUUUAUUUUAAUAAAAAAAUUAUUUAAAUGGUAAAUGAAAAAAUAGUAAAAUAUUUUUAAUAUAUGAUAUAAUUUUGAUUUUUUAUUUUUUAAAAAUAAAUAAUUAAAUAAUUAAAUAGAUAAUAUUUUUUAAUUAUUUUAAUUUUUAAUUGAAGAAGUUAUUUAAAUUAGAUAAAAAUAAAAUAUCUUUAAAUUGAAAUUUUAUUGGUGUAAUUAGAUUAAGAAUCUAAUUAAUUUAAGAGAAUUAGAUAUAAGCCUUGGAUUAUCUUAACAUUAAUAAUUUUUUAUAAUUAAAACAUCUAAUUAUAAUAAUUUGUUAUAUUAUAAGAAUAUUUUUUUGUUAUUUUAGUUGAUAGAAGCAAGUAGAAGUUGUAAAAUUUAUUUUACAUAGAUUAUAUCUUCUUCAAGAAAUAUCAAAGAAGCUUCCUAGAUGCAAAUUAAAUACUAAAAUUCUUUUAAACAAACCGCAUAGAUGUUAGAACUUGUUUUGUUAGCUUCCUCAUUAUAAAACAUUGGAAUGGAAGCCACCUCCAAUUUAAACACUUGGACCACAAGCCUCAUGGAUUUUAGAAAGUUUCUACAAUGCAUUCUUGGUAGCUAGAAUAUAUGGAGGCAAGAUUGAAGCUAUCCUCAAUCUUAUCAUUAUAUCUCUUGUAGUUCAGCUCAAUUGAUAGACAUUAUUAUUUUCGUUUUUUUCUAUUUGAAAUAAGAUUGUUCAUUGGUAGAUGGAAUAUUAUUCUAAAUAAUGGUGUGGCACCUUUUAAAAAGUAUUAUUUGUACUUGCAUUUGCAUAGUAACACUUUCUUUUUGUUUCUUUAUUAAUUUAUUUAGCACAGAAAACCUAGUAGGCAUGAAAAUUUUCAACAAGAUUCAGAAGUGAUCAUUUCAAAAUGGAUAACCUACAACCUAAAAUCAACCACCUUAUUAUUAAGGAUCUUUUUGCUACUUAUUCAAUCAAUAAAUUUAAUGUUUAGUAGAUUUAAUGAUUCAUAGGUCGAACAUGGAAGUACAAAUACAUUUUUCGUAGAGUAAUGUUGUGUUCAAUAUUUCAAAUUCUGCAAAGGAGACGAACGUAGAAGUUCAAGUUGUUUGGUGCAGUUACAAAUGUGCAAUUCUACAAUUGCACGGAGAUCUUUGAACGAACACAUAAAAUCUAUUGCUUGCUUGAAAUCAAUAAAUUUAUGUAACGAAAAUUAAAAAAUUAUAAACAGUGGUUUUAACAAAAAAAAAAAUAAUUCAACUUGGGUGGACUUGAAUAAAGAAGUACAAAUCUCGUACCAAUCAAACUAUUAUCUUCAAAAAAAGGUUUCUGGUUUCUGAUAAUAAGCGGAAGGAAAGUUAAGUAAAUAGGUGUUCAAUAACAAAGAAAAAAAAACUUUUGUUUUCAAGAUUUUGUUGAGGAGUUUCAAGUCAAAAACUUUUGUUUUCAAACUUUUGUGUUCAAGCUUUUGUUGAGGAGUUUCAAGUCAAAAGAAUAUUUCAGUUUCAAUGUUGACAUUUUAGUAGCAGAAUAGGAAGACAUAGCAUCUGCUAAUUCAAAAACCAAUUCUGCCAGCAUCUGCUCGUCCUUAACUAACAAACCUUAUUUGGUUUGUAUAUAUAUAUAUAUAUAUAGAGCGAGAGAGAGAGAGAUAAAAUACACUAGCCAACCCAGCAGGAAAAACUGUUCAAAACCAGUAAAAAGAAAAGCAACUAUGUCAAAUGAAGGAUCUGAGAGAAGACCUGCAAUUGUAAUAACCCUAGAUUGUUCUAACUGAGCACCUGUACAUCAUGCAUUAACUGUGCUGAUUAAUUUUAAUUGGUGAAUUAUACCAUGCUUCAAGCGUGUAAAUUAUGCUCCACUUUACCAACCAGAGCAUAUCUUGGUGCUCUACGCCAUCAUAUUCACAGGCUUGGUUAGAACACUUCAAGUUAGUCUCGCCAGGUCUACUGAUGCGAAAAACUACUGAAUGGCUCGAAGAUUAAGGGCACAAAUAUGGACACAGUCCUAAUGAAUGUGGUGGAAACGGAUUACGACGCAGGUAAUAUUAUCUGCGCUUCCUUUCUUAUAGGCUUCCUCUGUCAAGGUCUUGGCGGCUUCUGCAGGAUCUGGAAUAUUCUGUACCAUUGUAACAGCAUCCUGUCAACAGCCCCACAGAAGCUCGUAAGUGUAGAGGAAAACCUACUUUUUGAUUGCUCAACAGGCAGCAGUUCAGAAUCGGACUUCCACAGAUACAAUCAUUUUAUCCAAUCAUUCCAUAUAAAACACAAAUGGUGGCAAAACGAUUAAAGAUCUUGAAAUAAACCUGGUUUGAUACAACAUCCCAUAGACCGUCACUUGCGAUCACCAAAAACUCAACAUCACUGGUUAUGGGCUCUUCCUGCACAGGAAACAAAAAAAUCAGAAGCAAAGAUAUCUUCAGCAUACAUCCACUAAUAACUCUGAAAUUCAAGUUAAUUAUUGUGCUAAGAGGGCAGAAACGAUGAGCUAACCUGAAUUUCUGGUUCGGCAACAACAUAUUUUUUCAGCAGCCGAUCACCAAAUGCCCGAGACACAGCAAGAACGCCACCUACACGCCAAGUACCUGCAUAAUCGAACUUAUCACUAAGACAGUGCUCCUCAAACAGAUAGAUGAAAUAAAUAAAUAAAAUAAAAUAAAAUAAAACGAUAGAGAAUGAUACUUUAGAAAAGGAUUGAGCAGCUCACCAAACAGUAUAAAAGAGGCGCGGAAUCACUCAUUAUAAUAAUUGGAAAAAGAACCUUAUAGUUUGACACAUCAAACAUUUGGAAACCAUUCGUAAUAAAUUGAUCACAUGACGUUGCGACCUCACGAAUAGAACACUUGGUGAGAAAGAAUACAACAUGAGAUGCUCACCAGACCACAUGACUACUCCUCCAGCCUUUUCAAUGCGUUGUCGUUCAUCAGAUCGAUUUGGUUUGUGGUCAAUGGAGAGAGCAAUCGCUGAAACCCACGCAAUCAGAACUAAUAGCGUCAUUGCAUGAGGGAAGCUACUUCAUGUUCAGAGAAUACCAUAUACCAUUUAUUCAUUGACGAACUUCGGAAAUUGCAGACUGUAACGAGAAAUUCACAAUUGAAGACGCCUUUGAUCUCGAAAAAAAUUCAAGAGCACACACAAAAGAAGUCAAUAUAAUCCAAGAUUCAAAAUGGCUAACUCCUGGAUGGUUUGGUGUUAAAGAAUAAUAGUUCAAGCUACAGAGACACCAUCUUAUCACCUCGUCCUGCGAUGCAAAUAACAGCCCUUGAAUCGCCUACAUUAGCAACGAGCAAACGAUCUCCCACCAAAAUAGCCGUGGAGGCAGUUGAUCCUGCAUCCCGGUGUUGGUUGUUGUCAGCCUUGAGAUAUUCCUGAUCGGUUUUCUUAAACGUCUCAGCUGUCAAAACACUUUCGAAUGUGAGCAAUUCUUAUUCCAGUCUAGCACAUAAAGAACGACCAAGUUCCUACAAAAUAAGACAACCAGUAGUGACACACAAUAUAGACCAAGCUUCCAGACAGUCAUUUGGUAAUAAUGCACUAAAACUUCUGUACAAAAAUACUGUCAAAAAUAAUAGCAGUGGCUCUCAAGGUGCUAACCAUUACAUACCAAUUGCGAGGUUGGUGUCAGUUACAAAUUGAGGAUGCCCUAGCAAAUUCUUGAAGAGGUUUUGCUUCACGUAUACUGCUGCUCGGGAGCCACCAUGUCCUACCAAAAUACAUUAAAGGAAUAGCUAUAAACAUCAGGGACAUCAUGUAAAUAGAAUAGCAGGACAAUCGAAGUUCAAACUAUAGAACAUAGGCUAUCGACGGAAGUCCAUUAUCCAUGCAAUGAAGUCGCAGAAGCCACACGUACAAGCUCGAUAUUGUAAUCAGUGCACAGUAGCGAAAUAGCUCAAGCGUUACACGAUGAAAUCUAGCUGCUCGACAGCUAAGGGCAACUUACCAUCAAAAACGCCGAAUAAUCCAACCAUUACACCUUCAACCUUAGAUAUUAGAGUAUCAUGGAAAUCUUCCAUCGAGGCCCUCUUCCCACGUGAGCUUGAAUAGCCAUAGCUGAACCUGUUGUUUUCACUGCACAGAAUGCAUACAUUCUACUAAAUCCAUGUGCCAUACAGCACAGUUGUACAUUACAAUCCUGAUACUCUCAACUCAUACACACGUUGACACCCAGGUUUAAAUUGCAGUUCGUAAAAGUUUGGUACAAUUUUGAAGCAAAUAAAAUCCUGCUGAUGAUCACUAACGGGUUGUUCAAAAUCUCUCCUCGAAUACUUGCCUGACGUAAUGCAAAACUAAUUUCCAACGGAUAGUACGGCAUCCCUCAGAUAAUGAGAUUUGAACUUCAGUGCAUAGUAUGCACUUAAAAUGUGGUGCAACUAGCAUGUCCAAAAGGAUAACAAGACACAGUUACAAUAGAAACGUUUACAAAAGUUGAACCUCGUGAAUAAGUCCACUCAUAAAUGAGAAUGAUCAGGCAGAAAACUGAGGUAGAAAGUGGUUGGACACAGUAAACUUGUCACUUCUAAGUCAAUAGAUAAGCCACAAGUGCAGACUGCAGCUGUAUAUUAUAUCAAACGUUCUGUGAAGAACUCGAGUUUCGGCACUGUUAGGUAAAUCCUCGAUAGCGAUAACAGCAAUGGCGGCACCGACACCAGUAAUCAGCACAGAAUCGUGAAAUAGCUCAAGCGUUACACGUGGAUAAACACUACCUUCUUUCACACCAUGACAAAGACACAUAACUUUUGCAAAAAACUACGCAGCGUGUAAAGCUAGCAAAGUCCUAGCUCAGUCCGGUGCGACGAGGCAACAUUGGCAAGUCCAUAUACAAAUAGAUCCCAUACCUACCGCAAUUUAAUCAGAGCACCAUCGAGAGUAAACCUGCUGCGGAUCAACUUUUCAAAACGGAUGCUCAUACUCUCAUUAUGUACUUAAAUCCUUAACGAAGUGAUUUCCUCAAUUUCUAUGCUAGACCGUGGUCAUUCUAACUGAACAUCCUUCGUAUUGUAAAGAAGCCAGACCGAAAGACACGGGCACAAACCCGAUCAAAAUCGCCAUCACAAAAAUAAUAAAAAUAUGCUGAUCUCCGCCAACCAACAGCAAACAAAGUCAAUAAAAAAAAUCAAAUAAAAAUACACACCUCACCCCACCUCCCCAGGCGGGCACACUCUCCUCCCGAUGCGAAGAGUUGAUCACACUCAUUGUCUCUCUCGACGAUCGCUAGCGCGAACUGCACCACUACUUCGCAACCUCCUGUUUCAUGCUAGUCACUAAGCCUUGUUUUUGUUUGCCCUUCCCUUCUCGCCCCUCUUAAUCCACUCCUCUUUCGUGCUUAACACUCCUCGCACACUCGCAU